rnacentral:lncRNA from 1 species
GCUUACGAACCGUGUUCAUCAAUGUUUACAAGAUACUUUUGCUUCAAGCUUACAGGUACAUAUUAAAGUGUUACUGAGAUUAAGAUAGCUGAGUAGUCAGAAAACAAAAGUUCAUUUGUAUCACUAUUAAACAUUGUAAGGCACUGUAGAUUAAUUUAUUUUAUUAUUUAUCUUAUUUACCUUUUAAGAAUUUUGCUUUCAAAAUGAAAUCUAUGUUUAACUAUAAUCAUCAAAAGAUAUUAAAAGCCUCUUUGUUCAAUACACAUCAUGUAAAAUAGGAAAAAACACUAAACACUAACUGUAUGAGUAAUCCGUACUUGUGCAGUAUUUGAGAUAAGAGACCAUCAAGAUCAACCAAAUACAUGUGUUUAUGCUGUAAAUGAAAACAUGUAUCUUAACUCUAUAAUAGCAAGCAGAUUUAUCCUUGGAUAAACAAACUAUUCAUAUUAUUUAUAACAUUCUUGAAUAGUCUGUUUUUACAAACAUCCUGAACUUUUUUAAAGAAAAUGUAGCCUUGGGGCAGCCAUCAAAAAUGUUCAGGCCGGUAUAUAAUAAUAUAUAAAGGUUGCUACACUGGAGAAACUGGCCUUAAGCUGCAUCUCCGAAUGAAUCCACACAGACACUCAAUUAAAAUCCACAAGGUAAACGGAUAUUGGCCAUCACUUCACCCAGACUGGUCACUCCAUCCAAAACCUCAGGAUUAAAGUUAUUUUUUUUUUUUUUUUUUUAACUUACUUUUAUUUAUUUAUUUUUAUUUUUAUUUUUUUAACUUUCCAUACAAAAAGGAACAACUGCAUCAAGGGUCACAGUCCUGCUUUUAACCAUCUUAAAAUGAAACAGCUCACAAUAACAAUACAACGUACAACACUUACAAUGACACCUUUAGGGAUUUUUGUGGGGUGAUUCUGUCAAUCUCUCAUUAAUUUAUGACGAUAAUGUAAUUGCUUUAAUUUAAACCUUUUGUUCGGGUAUUUCUUCCCUCAUUCUCCAUUUUCUCCAGCCAGGAUUUACCUAACUCCAGAUUUUUAUGAUUUGGUGUAAAUAUUAGAGUUGUCAUCCUCAAUUGAUAUAAAACUUGUAUUUUUAGAUGUUUAUAUGAAAAUUUCUCUGAGCACUUCCAUUUUCAUGCAAUGAUUAAUUUAGCUACAGCCAUAAAGUGUACAUAUAUAUAUCUCCUUAAUUGUAACAUUUGAAUAUUGAGUUGCAAUAAUAUGUUUUGUGGGCCUCUAAGAUUUUUUUUCCCCUCAUCUCUCUGGUACAUGAAAAGCCAGUAGCCAAUAUUCCUUCACUUUCUCACAAUCCCACCACCCAUGCAAAAAGGACCCUUCCUCUUUAUUGCAUCUCCAACAUAUCGGAGAGCUAGAAUUAUAUUUUGUUUUGCCAUUUUAGAUGGGCCCAGUACCAUCUGUUCAGUACCUUAAAUACUACUUCUAAAACCUCCUGUUCAGUACCUUAAAUACUACUUCUAAAAUAUUUAGACAGUGAAUAAUUUUACUAGUUUGAAAUAACACCUGGCACCACUCUUCAUUUACGAUUUUAACUUUAAGUUCUUUUUCCCAUUUUUGGGCUAUCAUAUUCUUGAUAGGAGCUUCUAUUUUUAACAACCUGCUGCUAGCUUUUGAUGGAACUUGUCCUACCAUUUCAUUAUUUAAUAAUACACUUAACCUUUCUAUUCCCCCUCAAGGGUUAUGAAGGAGAUUUUGUUUAAGAAAGUUUUUUAUCCUCAAAUAGUUAAACCAUUCUUUUGACGAUAAUUGACAUUCCUGGAUUAUUAGCUUGAAUGGCUUGAUUUUAUCAUUUAACAAUAUUUGAUUAAUAUACUUUAUACCCUUUCAUGUCCAUUCUACAAUAUCCAGGUCUAUCAUCCGCAGCGUAGUGUCAGACAAUUUGAAGCUACUCAGGACUUUGUUACCCAAGCCACUCCUACAUUUCAAUCUGUCCCAUUCAUACCAUAUUGAUUCCAGACACAUAUUUGAGGCACUCGCUUUUUUAACACGCUCAUCCCCUUUACACAUCCACACCAUCUGGCUCACGUCUACUAUCUCGAACAUUUCUGUUUCAAGUGAAAACCAGCCCUCUUCUUUAGAACUAUAUAGUUGUGUUUUAUACAAAUGGAAAAACAUAUUUGAGAAAUAUGUGUGAUUCACAUUAUGGAAAUUUAUUUUGCUUUCACAUUUUUUCUGCAUCACUUGUUUUUUUUUUGUUUUUUUUAUUUUAUUUUUUUAUUCUAGACCUUUUUCCUUUCCAUAUAAAGUUCACAAUGUGUCUUUAUAUUAUGUCCAGCCAUGGUUGGGGCAUUUUUUAAGGCAUCAUGCGGAAUAGAUAAGACCAUUUAGGCAGCAAGUAGGCAUUGUUUAAACUGUUUCUAUCCCACUAGGAUAAUUUCACAUGUCUCCAUUUUUUCAGGGAGUCAUGAGUAAAUCUAAAAGUAUUUAAAAAAUGUGUUUGCAUUAUUUCUGUUGUAUUUUUCGUAAUUGUAUUACCUAGAUAUGGUAGGUUAUUCCUAGUCCAGUUAAAUUUAUAACAUUCCUCUAAAUGGGAUCUACUACUUCUAGCUAUAUUAAUGGCCAUGGCAGUUGAUUUAUGCACAUAGAUUUUAUAAUUUGAAAUUAGACUAUAUGCUACCACCUCUUUCAUAAGUGCUUCCAGCGAUUCGGCAGGGUCAGUCAGGGUCAGAAUCAGGUCAUCUGCAUAUAGAUUAAGCUUAUAUUCUUUAUGUUUAAAAUGAAAUCCUUUUAUUAAUGGGUUGUUUCUGAUGUUUGACAAAAUUUCCAUUGUCAUAAUAUACAGAAUUGGAGUUACCUGGCUACCAUGCCUGGUCCCAUUAUGUAGUGUAAACCAAUCCGCACAGAUGUUUGGUCCCCCCUUCUUGCCGUGGGGCCAUCAUAUAGCGCUAGGAUUGCCCGGUACAUCCAACCCGGAAUACCAAAUUUCUCCAACGUCUUUCUCAAGAAUACCCAACCUACCCUAUCAAAUGCUUUCUCUGCAUCAACCGCUAAGAGAAGCAAGGGGAUUUUGUUCUUAUUAGCAUGCGCCUCGUGUUAUCACAACCGACAAUGUGGUAGGUAUGUAUAAAAAAGGGCAAAAAGAAAGGAUAACUGGACAUAUCGAAAAAAGCUUGACUCAUCUCUUGUACAGGUUGAGGUAUGUAUCAUGAAGCUGAGGACUUUCAAUGUCCUAGCAUUUUAAUAAUGUGUACUGGCACAUUUUUCUGGAGGCAGUAGAUGCUGUGUAUGUUUUUAUAUGUCAUGGCUUACCUUAGUGGGAGUACGGUAUGCAGAGACAUGUGCUCACCCUUGCAAUUAAACACAGGCCAAGGUGGUCAGGUAAGAACUCACCUGGCCUGUGAGUCUGUGCACGGGGCUGUGCAGGAUAAUGCUCCAAGUCGCAGUACAGAUAUGGACAUAAGCAGAAGAAUCAUCGUGGGUGAGCCAAAGGUCAGAGGGUGCCAGAUGUCAGUGUUAUGCUAAUUAAUGAAUGGAACGCAACUGCAGAAAAACUUUUAAUUACCUUUACUUUAUUUUUAACUGAAAUGCAAAAGUUGAUACUGUAGCUUUAAAACUUUAGCAAGUUGUUAGUUGAAGAAAGGAACAAGCCGCAGAGGUUUUGCAAAAAAAGCCAAGCAGUCCUAAAUAAGGAUUAGUCCAGAAUCAGUUUGCAGAAUCAGAGUGAAAUUAAUCGUAGCAGAAAGAAAGUAGCUUCCUGUGUGCAACAAUGAGGCAGGUUAUAAUAGCAGGCAGAUUGAAAGCCAAAUUGAGCUGAAGAAAUAAAUACUUAGCGUUCUGUGGAAGUAGGUUCAGAAGUAUUGUUGAAUCCAGAAUAAAGUAGUCCUUAGAAUUAGAAGCAGAGGUCGAGGAGAGGAGAAGGUAGGUAAGCCAUUUUCAGUCCAGGGUUCGGUACAUGAAUAGAGGUUAGAGAUAAUUUGAUAGGCGGUCAGAGGAUCUUAGGGAAACCACACAAUAAUCCAGCAUUUUGAAUCUGGCGCGGUCUUCCUAUGUAGCGUGAGGAGACCACGUCAGAGAAGGGGGCGGGGUAGAGCUUCGUCAACCCGGAAGUAGCCUGGAAGUGGCGAAACCGGCAGGUAUAACCUGACAGUCAGGAUAAACAACUGUAAGCCAAAGAUCAGAGGAUGCCAGAAGUCAGGAUACACGAAUAGCAAGCCAAGGUCAGGAGCCAACUGGAGAACACUGGCACACAAACACCAAUACAGGAACCAGAGUCAAUGAACAGACACUGCCCUCAGGGAGAGGCAGUGUCUUAUACCUGGCUAAGCUGACCACUUAGAAUGUUGAAGUGAUUGCGGUUUGUGAAAGUGUUAGGUAGGUCAAGUGGGUUAACUAGUAGCACACGGCUGUUCUCAGUGGUCCAUGUGUUUGGUACUUUAUUCAGUAUACGAACCAAAUGGGCCAAUCUGUUCGGUGAGGCUCGUAUACCGAUCCAGUCAAUGAAAAAUAGUAACUUAGGAACUCUUAUAACUGAGUUGUUUAACAGAUUAAAAGGUGCUAAAAUCUUCACCAAAUUCGAUUUAAGAGGAGCUUAUAUCAGGAUACGUAAAGGAGACGCGUGGAAGACAGCUUUUAACACUAGAUACAGGCAUUACGAGUAUACGGUAAUACCUUUUGGGUUAUGCAACGCUCCAUCUGUCUUCCAAGAUCUCAUAAAUGACGUAUUAAGAGGUUUCCAACAAGAAUGUGAAAUCGUAUACCUGGAUGAUAUCUUGAUAUACUCUAAAGACAAAAUGACACAUCACAAACAAGUGAUGAAUGUUUUUAGCAAACUGUUACAAAACGGGUUAUAUUGCAAACUAGAAAAAAAAAUAUAUAGAAAUGUGCGCUAAUAAUCAUUGCACUAACAGAAUGGAAGAUGUAAAAGCAUUCAAGGGUGCCUCCCCUGAUGGUAUCGGGGGGCUGUAAACCCAAACUGAGCAAAUUCUCUUCUAAUUUAACUGAUAUAGCAAUAAUAAUUCUGUGAAGAGUGAGUUAUUUAAGAGACCUUUCCUGUCUCAAUAUGAUAAUAAUAAUUAAAAUGUGAAAUUAUCUCUUCAUAUAAGUGACCAAUAGAUACUGAAUUACUGGUUUAAUUAUUCAAAUACAAUUAAUUAAAUGUUCUCUAUAAAAUUAAUAAAUAAGUGAAUGUUUAUAGCAACACAUACCUUUCUUCAUCAUAAAAGUCAAUCUGUAUUAGCUGAGUUCACAUAGAAAUAUGUCAGAAAUUAUUAUAUACAAGGGGUAAAACAAACAAAAAUAUAGGAACUGUUAUAGACCAUAAAGAAGUAUCUCAGAAACUGUCAACAUAAUAGACUAUGACAUGAAAAAUUAAAGGAUAUUAUAAAAAGCUAACUAAGUCUAUAUCUAUAUUUAAUACUUUUAGUUCUAAAGUUUGAAGUUUGUGAAUCCCAAAGGUCUCACUUUGAGUAAGUUUUUUAAUCCGGUCAGCCCCCUCCCCUUUCAAUGUGAAUACACUUGAAGUCCCUAAAAGAAAAUAGGGGGCAUGAAUUGCAGUGAACUGGGACUGAAUGUGUCCUCAAGUUUCUCUUAAUAUUACCCAUAUGUUCUAAUACCUGAACUUUGAAAGCUUUCUUUGGACGACCUAUGUUUUGUUUGCCACACGGACACUUCAGCAGAUAAACUACAAAGCCUGUGUGGCACUCAAUGGCAGAUUUAUUACGAAAUUGGUCACCUGUAACAAAACUAAUGAAUUGGUUUGUUUUUUGGAGACAGAUGGUCAAACAGGCUUUACAGGAAUUACAUGCUCUGAACAUAGCAAUAUUGAACAAAAUAUUUUUCUUCGAUGGUCAGUUUUAUUUACAACAGCAUAUAAACCAAAAUCACAUGGAGAGACAAAUUAAUAGUCACAAAAAGCCAGGUGCAAACCAUAUAAACACUCCCUCAAGUGCUUAAAUACAAAGAUAUAUACAUAAUACAGAAUGCACACUACAACAACCACAAUUGUCAAGUACAAAACUUUAAUAAGUAGGCAAAUUACAAUGAAUAACAAAAAAUAAACUGAGUAACAAAAUGAGGCAAACAGUAAUCAAGAGUAAUUUACCCAAAUUUCCCAAGCCUCAAGGCAGAAACACAAGUCACCAACUCGCACCUACUGGUACCCUUGAUAAAGGCAACCACUUGGUGCCAAAACGUUGGGGGGAGUUGGUGACUUGUGUUUCUGCCUUGUGGCUUGGAAAACUUGUGUUAAUUACUCUUGAUUACUGAGAAAAGUACAGUGACAGUGAAAGAAAGAAAGAAGGCUUUCACCGGCAUUGUAGUGGUUGCAGGGUACUAAGGGCAUAACCCAAUACAAAAAUGAUAAGAAAGAGUGGAACGGAUUUGCAAAAGAGUCCUAUUUUAAUAUUUUGUUUUUUUAACUUUUUACUACACUUCGUACUCACAUUGUCUUUUAUGUUUUUUUCUUAUUUAUCCAGUUAGGGAUCUAUAUAAAGUUAUUUAAUAGUUUUUUCUUGCUUUCUUGUAAAAUAAGUCAAUUUACGCCUACUACUGGAGUUUAAGCCUGUAAUUAGGGUAUUUUGACUGGCAUCGGGCUUGCUCUUUUGCAAAUCCAUUCCAGUCUUCCUUAUCAUACUCUUGAUUACUGUUUGCCUCAUUUUGUUACUUAGUUUAUUUUGUGUUAUUCAUUGUAAUUUGCCUUGUUAUUAAAGUUUUGUAUUUGACAAUUGUGGUUGUUGUAGUGUGCAUUCUGUAUUAUAUACAGUUGUAUUUACAAACCACAGGCAAUGCCAUGGGCAUCAGGUUUGCCCCCAGUUAUGCCAACACCUACAUGAGGCGCUGGGAAGACCUUUUUGUGUGGUCUUGUCAUGACUGAAGGGAAAACUUGGUGCUCUGGCAGAGACUUAUUGAUGAUGUAAUUAUUAUUUGGAGAGAGCCUUUGUUUAUUUUUCAGGAUUUUGUUAACUUUCUUAAUCACAAUAAAUAUAAUUUGAAAUUCACUCCUAUCUGGAAUAAAUAUGAAAUUAAUUUUCUUGAUCUGACUCUGUUACUUCAAGCCAACUGAUGGCAACGGAUAUGUUCAUCAUGCCAGUUGCCAUCAUCGUCCUUGGCUGAAGGGCAUAGCCAAAGGGCAAUUCACAUAUCUUAGACGUAACUGUUCACACCUAUAAAACUUUACCUUCCAGUCUCAACAUAUCAAGAAAAAACUCCAGGAGAAGGGAUUUGGGAAGAAUGCCUUAGAAAAAGAGAUUUGUAUAGCUACACAAAUGGAUAUAAACCAAUUAAUGGACAAACCUAGACAACAACCCCAACACGACUCAUUUAGGACAGUUUUCAUGACCCAGUAUAACUUGGAUCAUGAUAAAAUUAAAAAAGGUCUAUCAAAGCAUUGGCCUAUACGUUUGCAGGACCCAGUUUUAGGAGCCUGUUUACCAAAAAGUCUUUUACUUAUCUAUGAAAAAUAUGUUAGCUCCCAGUUAUGCUAUCAAAUCCCACAUGAAUGACACCAAGGACAAUAUUGGUAUGUUCAGAGGAUGUAAUUACUGUAAAGCCUGUUUGACCAUCUGUCUCAAAAAAACAAACCAAUUCAUUAGUUGUGUUACAGGUGACCAAUUUUGUAUUAAAUCUGCCAUUGGAUGCCACACAGACUUUGUAGUUAUCUGCUGCAGUGUCCGUGUGGCAAACAAUACAUAGGCCGUACAAAGAGAGCUUUUUUUUUUUUUUUUUUUUAAGUUUGGGUUUUAGAACAUAUAGGUAAUAUUAAGAGGAACUUGAGGACACAUUCAAUCCCAUUCAUGCCCCCUAUUUUCUUUUAGGGACUUCAAGUGUAUUGGCAUUGAAAGGGUCACACAACAUUGGGGAACAGGACUAAAAAACUUUCUCAACUUGAGACCUUUUGGAUUCACAAACUUCAAACUUUGGAACCAAACGGAUUAAAUGUGGAUGUAGGCUUAGUUAGCUUUUUAUAAUAUCCCUUAGAUUCUUUUUUCAUGUCAGUCUAUUAUGUUGACAGUUUCUGAGAUACUUCUUUAUGGUCUAUAUUAACAGUUCAUAUAUUUUUGUUUGUUUUUCCCCUUGUAUAUAAUUAAUUUCUGACAUUUCUAUUUGAACUCCGUUUGAAUCAGCUUAUAAAGAUGAACUUUUAUGAUGAAGAUAGAUAUGUGUGGCUAUAUACAUUCAUGUAUUUAUAAAUUUUAUAGAGAACAUAUUAAUUUUAUUUUAAUAAUUAAACAAGUAAUUUGGGAUCUAUUGGUCACUUGUAUGAAGAGAUACAUUCACAUUUUAAUUAUUUUUAUCAUAUUGAGACAGGAAAGGUCUCUUAAAUAACUCUUCACGGAAUUAUUAUUGCUAUAUCAAAGUUAAAUUAGAAGAGAGUUUGCACAGUUUGUUCUCUGAUCCGAAUGUGACCGGAGAUGUGUCUUCUGGAUUAUAGCUACAGAUGUGCAGAAUGCCCAGACCUCCUCAAAAAAUUGUGAGCAGCGUUCAGAUAUGUUAUGAUGAUGCAGCCAUCCCUUGCUACUUGUGGGAAUCGGGAAACAAGGAAAGAAAAGGGGAGGGGAAAAGGGGGGGGGGGACCAGAGGGGUGAGGAAAAGGAGAACAGAGGGAUAGUCACCCUGGUGGUGACUAUUCAGUCACCACCAGGGGUCAUAUAUUGCGUACCAUUGGUGGAACGCACGGCCAUAUUGAUUCCUGUCAUAAACCACGGAUGGAACCCAUGGAAGUGCCGAGAUCAAUACAUUUCCGGUUUCGAGUAACAACAGAUGUCCACACACCUGCCGGGAAAGAUGAAGAUUAAAGGUGAAACAACUCAUCAGAUCUCAAAGGAAAACACACGCCCAUGGAUCCACCAAUGAACUUAGAUCCAUGGGCGUGUGUUUAAGAGGACUUGAGGGUGGGAGGGUUAGGCUGCUUUAUUCUUGUAUGUCAUUUUGCAUGCUUCUGUUAUACAGAUUGAUUUUAGGUUCCUGAGGAAGUCCAAGUGUAUUUGGAUGAAACGCGUAGAACCAACCUGUUUUUCAUUUUAUUGGUUCAUGUUUACUUUUUACUUACAAAUAAAGCAGAAUAUUUUUUUACCACCAUCUUCCCUCUGUUCUCCUUUUCCUCACCCCUCUGCCACCCCCCCCCCUCUCUUUUUCCCCUCCCCUUUUCUUUCCUUGUUUCCCGAUUCCCACAAGUAGCAAGGGAUGGCUGCAUCAUCAUAACAUACCUGAACGCUGCUCACAAUUUUUUGAGGAGGUCUGGGCAUUCUGCACAUCUGUAGCUAUAAUCCAGAAGACACAUCUCCAGUCACAUUCGGAUCAGAGAGACCAACUAUAUUCCUGUGGAUAUUUUGCUUUCCACUCCUCUGCUAGGAAAGCCAUAGUUGUUAUCCCUUUGUCCACUGCUACGCCUUUCACUCUUGUUAAGAAGAAAGCAAAAUCCUUAACAGCGCUUCACCUUUGCCACCCUAUAUGUGCCCAAUGUUCAACAUCAUGCUUUCAUAUAUGCUUUCAUAUCCUCUACCAUUUAUUUGUUGAAGGAAUUCUCAACAAGAGUAUUGGAGCUGGGUGGGGACUUUAAUAUCCCACUGGACCCAUUUAGGGACCCCUCCUGAGAACAAAACACAUUACCUUAUAGACUCAUAAAGAACAUCCGUAAUGCUUUACUCUCCGCUUGCUAGACUGCUGGAGGGCACUGAACCCUAAAGUACAUGACUAUAUAUUUUACUCACCUGUUCAUGGGUCGUUCAUAAGGAUUAAAUAACUGUUCUUAACCCAAGAGAUAAUUCACAAAAAUGCUGAAGAAGAAACAAGACCGCUUCCACAUCCACAACAUGUGCAUAAAAAACGUAAUCUUACACCACCACUCGAAUAUAGCUGCAUCUUCCAUGCAUACUGUAAUGGAUCACCUGGAGCCCUGACUGGGUAUCUCCGUUUAAGUAUGCUCCUAGCGCUUCCUGAGGGCUCCAAGCACUCCAGGCACUGGACACCUCGAGGCACUGGAUGACACUCAGUCCUGGGAACUCUGGAACCGAAUGGGGAAUUAGCUCAUGCUGAAACAGCAGGACGAUACACAGUUUUGGAGUGUAAACAGGAACAGACUGAGCUUAUUGUUUCUUAUAUACACAUAUUUACACAAUGUUGCCACCCACAUGGUUUUGUAGCACAGCCAAUCAAAUACACUAUAAUACAGUUAAACACUCCCAGUCAGGACAAAAAAACCCUCCCCUCUACCUGUGAUAUAAUUACUGUACACAAUGGGUUAAUGUAAUUAUCACAGGCAGGAAAAUGCAGUUUUUACACAAUUCUUAUAACUUCUAAAAUAUACAUCCAAUCUCCAUAAGUUACAUAUUACAGGGGCAUGCUGGAUUCACUGGGUAGAGGCCAAUAUGUAUGUCUUUCAGAUUUAUUUCAAGACAGGUAAUCGCUGCCAGGGCCGGAUUAACAUAGGGGCUGAUGGAGCUGCAGCUCCAGGUCCAGGCCCAUAGAAUAGGCCCAUUGAUUUAAAAAAAUAAAUAAAAAUUAACAUUUUUGUUUUUGCAUUUUUUUUUUCCACACACUUCUCUUAGGGCUUUUAUUUUAUUGGCACAGCCAGUAUUUGAGGCUGCCUGGCUGGUGCCAAUAUUGCAGUGAUAUUGGCAAUACAAAUGCUGGUAGUUUUCUCAGGAUAAACAAGAGAUUACUAUGCAAUACCAGCACUGGCCAGUAGGGGUCGCUGUGUGUGGAGACAGGCAGGGAUAGGAAGUUCCAGCAAAUCCUUCCCUGUCUAUCUAUACUCACUGAUCUGCAGGGGUGCAGCUACAGAGAGUCCAGACAGCAACUCCCACCCUGCAGAGACAGCCUACAGCUCAGGGAAGUAAGGGAUGGGGGGAAGGCUGCAAGGAGACAUACACUGAGAGACAUUAUGGCAGACACUGAGACACUAAGGGACAUUAGGAGACAUUAUGACACAGACACAUGGGGACACAGUGUUCCCAUGUCUCCCAGUGCCCCCAUGUCUCCCUGCCAGUGUCCCCGGUGUCUCAGUGCCCCCUAGUCUCCCAGUGUCUCACUGUCCCCAUGUAUCCUAGUGCCUCCAUGUCUCCCAGUGCCUCAAGUGUCUCAAUGUCCCCAUGUCGCCAAGCUAGUGUCCCUAGUGUCUGUGUCCCUGGUGUCUGUGUCCACAUGUCUCCCAGUGCCCCCAUGUCUCAAUGUCCCCAUGUCACCCAGCCAGUGUCUCUAGUGUAUGUGUCCCCAUGUCUUCAAGUGCCCCCUAUUUUCCCAGUGGCCCCAUGUGUCCAAGCCAGUGUCCACUAGUUUCCCAGUGUCACUGGUGUUUCUGUGUCCCUAUGUCUCCCCGUGUCCCCAGGUCUUCCUAGUUUCCUAGUGACACAUACAUGGGGACAUAGACACAUGGGAAUACUGGAGGACACAGGGAGACAUGGGGCAUUGAGACACUGUGAUACAUAGGGACACUGUGAUACAUAGGGCCACUGGGAGACCUGGGGACACGACACUAGGGGACACUGAGAGACAUAGGGCACUGAGACACUGAUACAUAGGAACGCUGAGACCUGGAGUAAUCAACACAUGGGGGCACUGGGAGGAAUCCAUCUAUACAGCAUAAUCAAACUAAAUAGUUUUUUGGUGAUUUUACAGCAUUUUCUCUUAUGUCACUCCUUGUGAUUUACAUCAUGUGAUGUCACCCAUACAUAUUUCAUUUUGCAAAUUAGUAAGGCCAGUAUGUUUUUCCAAGAAAGGUGGCAACCCUAACUACUUUUCACAUACUCUUACUUAAGUAUGGAAACUUAAGAGGGAUGUAUGGGAACAAAACUUGUGUGGACUGGCUGACACUGAAUAUAGUUAAAAGGACACUAUACAACUACAGCUUAUUGAAUUUGUUCUGGUUAGUAGAAUCAUUACCUUCAGGCUUUUUGCUGUAAACACUGUCUUUUCAGAGAAAAUGCAGUCUUUACAUUACAGCCUAGUGAUAACUUCACUGGCAACUCCUUAGAUGGCUGUUAGAGAUCCUUCCUGGGUCAUGGCUGCCUAAAAUGCAUCCAAACAUUCAGUGUCUCCUCCCUCUGCAUGCAGACACUGAACUUUCCUCAUAGAGAUUAAUUUAUUCAAUUCAUCUCUAUGAGGAGAUGCUGAUUGGCCAGGGCUGUGUUUGAAUCAUGCUGACUCUGCCCCUGAUCUGCCGUUUUGUCAGUCUCAGCCAAUCCUAUGGGGAAGCACUGUGAUUGGAUCAGGCCACCACUUCUAAUGAUGUCAGCAGACUGCUUGUUUUUCUGAGUCUAACAGCAUGCAGAGUUACAGCUUCAGGCUUGAAUACAGUAAGAUUUUUACUAUAUUUAUGGAGGCAUGAGGGGCCCAGGGGGGUUAGAUGGUGGUGUUAACACUAUAGGGACAGGAAUUCAUGUUUGUGUUCCUGACCCUAUAGUGAUCCUUUAAGGUAAUGCUGACUUUGGUCUCUCUAACACUGUGGCAUGUUCCCUUUCUUCUACACUCACUACAUACAGCUUUUCUCUGUCCCAGACUAUAUACCAGGAGCGUCUGCCUGCUAGUAAGAAGGUAAGGAGACAAGUGGACCAGAGAGUGCUAGGGGACAGUCCUUAGAAAGCGUUGAGCAAGCGCAUCAUUAGAUGCAUUUAUGCCAAGCUCAGGGUGCUGUCUGCAUAGUAUGCCCUUAGUUGGCCAGCUGCAUGAUUGGCAGGCAGUCUGACAUGCAUUCAUGCCAGGCUGGCCUUCUAAUUCUUUGGGCAGACGUCCUCUUUUUGGGCAUGUUCACCCCUUUUGGCAGGUUACGUGAUUUGUGUCAGUGGCAUACCCUUUUACCAUGCCCAUUGACUUCCUGCUUCACUGGACACUGCUGUAAGGGGUUAUGGAUUUACUUGAAAGAUGAAAACAUAAAUUAGAGGGAGAUUAGCAUAGAGUAUGUGUUUUCUUAUAGCUGCUGUUUUCUUUCUCUCCAGCACCAUCUCCAUCAGAUACAUGAUGCUUGGUAGUGUUUAAGGUUUUUUUGGUCGAUAUGAUUCUUUAAUUAGGCCCGUCAUAAUUGUCAGCACCAGGCCCACUGGGCUGUUAAUCUGGCCCUGAUCGCUGCCCCUCCAGAGUUUACUACAGGAUCGAACGCCCUCUUUUAUGGAAACUUUCAGAUAUGGUCAGCUUUACCAUUUCUAUUGCACACUUCAAAUAUAAACAUAUCCAAAAUUCAGACAAUUCCCUUCAGUGGUUGAAAAGUUAGUUGGAAGUCCUUUUUUUGACCGAGGAGGGACAAAGCAGCCAGUUCCAACUGGUCUGGCAGAGUCCCUGGGACAACGCCCUGCUGGAGAAUAAUGGGGGGGAGGGGAAGAGGCACACCUUCCCAUGGACUCAAAGUGGCAUAAAAAUUGUCCCAAAAUCCAAUAAGCCCAAAUAAUCGUUUCCAAAGGGCAAUACCCCCAGGGGCCAUAGUCCUGGGGCAAGAGGAUGGCAAACAGGUCCCUCCAAAAACCAGUGGCGAGGUCACUUUCGCCACACAUAUUAUACCUCACUCUCUAAUCUCUCGACCAGUAUGUGAACACUUACGCACAAUGGAGAAAAAUUGAAACGUACUUGCAUAUUCAUGUCUGGAACAAACUUGACCCAGAGGAAACAACACAGCAUGGAGGAACUAUGAGAAGCAAUUAAAUCAUGAGCAACUUUAAGUUAAACUUGGACAAAUCAGAAAUGUUAAACAUUGCGGCACCCACACGUGUAUUAGAUCAGCUGAUCGUGGCUUUACAUUUCUGUGGGUGCUCAGAUUACAUUUAUAGGGAUUUGGGAUCCCUUGUCAUGUAAAAGGUCCUGAACCAAGUUAACUUUCCUCCACUUCUGUCCUCCACUUCUUUCCACCCCCUAGCAGUCAUGAUGGUCUGGACGGUCCCCAACUUUUCUUGGCUCAGACAUAUUAACUCCAUAAAAAUGAACAUCUUACCCAGGGUCCUCUACUUCUUCCAAACUAUCCCUAUGACUCUCCCACCUGCAUUCUUUAAGUCAUUAAAUUAGGCAUUGGUGAGAUUUGUGUGGUGAGGCCGCAGUUCUAGACUCUGGAAAGCACAACUGAUGAAACCAAAACAGGAAGGUGGCAUCAGAUUUGAAAGGGGGGUUUGGAGUGUGGGGGCAGAUUGCCAGCUGUGGUAUGGUUACCAGAUGCUGACCUUAAAAGGGCAUCGCGGGAGCAGCCCUUCAUAGUAGCGACAUUGGAUGUUUGGUGUCAGAUUUGUUUUAAAUUCUUUUUGACUACACUGAGGGGCCCAAUGUACCCAAUUACAGGUAACUCGGCUAGUGAUGGACCACCUGGCACCCCUACUGGGUGCCUGCCAAUCGCUGCUUCCUAACUGUCACUGAGUACCAUAAGCAUCGCACCUGAUACCAUAAGCACUAUAGCCCUUUAGCUGCACAGCUUGUCCGGGGUCUUGCGGUCCCUUCCCACCCUGGAACCAAGUCAGGGAUCCAGCUUCCAGUGAGAAGACCUCUCCUCCAAGAGUAUAGCAGUGUAGCUCUUACAAGAGCUAGUGAUUAUAGCAAUCCAAAGAACAAUCCCAGGAGCAGGGAUUUUAGCUGGUAUAGCUUUCUCCUACAAGCACGAGACGAGGGUAAACUGGAACUCAUUUAUUGGUAGCCACAACUGGCCUAUAUGCAGGUCCUCAUGCAAGGGGCACUCCCUCCUGGACCAGAGAGUAGACUACAGUAAAAACAUACACACAAUUACAUUGGCUCGCAGAUCCAGGACACUCCUACAUAAAACAAGAUAAUCUCUCCUCUGUGCUGGGGAGAUAAUAGAGUCAAGCACUGUAUUAAACUCAAUUAUCUACAGGCACAAAAAACAUACAGUUUUAUAAAACCUCAAAAAUGCAUUUAAACACACAGACCCCCCCACAAAAUUUACAUCCUCUGAGAGCCCCGAUCUGGGUGACCAACAUAUCCAAAAAUCACCCAGAUCGGUUCAGGAAUUUCCUGGAAGUCAUAAUUUGACCAACCACUCAUGGUUCCAUACCCAAAACAGUUCCAGAGAAAUCAGGGCUUGCGGUCGGUCUAGUUCGGUAGUUUAAAAACUGAACAUAGUCAAUUUUCUUACCCUGGAACUUAUUUUCCUUGUUCGUGGGAAUGAUUCCACCGAACAGUGCCCUUUCAGUGUCCGAAAACAGUUCCAUGAACUCGACGACCAAACACCACUGCCUGUGUUCGUGGGAACAAGAUGGCCGCCACCUUGUGGUCGUUCAUGCAAACAGAGGCCACCCAGACAAUUAGAACACUGCGGUUAGAUUCGUUCCAAGUUGUUAUUAGGGCUUAACAAGCUCCCGGGUGGUCUCUGGUUCGUGCGGCUGUUCGGUUCCCAAACCAAGUUUGUUCCUAUAGUUUUUGAAGGGCCCAUAGUCUUGUUGCAGGAGGCUGGCAAGCAGGCCUCCAAGAACACGUGGCAGAGGCAUUUCUGCCACACGGCUUACCUGCCCACUUUUGAUAGGGGCAUGCUGGAUUCACUGGGUAGAGGCCAAUAUGUAUGUCUUUCAGAUCUAUUUCAAGACAGGUCAUCGCUGCCCCUCCAGAGUUUACUACAGGAUCGAACGCCCUCUUUUAUGGAAACUUUCAGAUAUGGUCAGCUUUACCAUUUCUAUUGCCCAACAACACCAAUUACAUAGACCACUGCUACCUCUGGAAGACUUAUGUUUAAAUGCAGUUUCACUACUCUUCAUCUACUCUUUAUCAAUUGUUGAUGUUGUAGGAAAGGACCCAUCCUUUUAAAUACCAAGUGCUUGACAUGACAUUUACAUCCCAGGAUACACUUACCUCUGCUCCAUAUGUGCAAAAAUACUAAGAAACCCAACAAGAGUGGUGACAUGGGGGGCAGGUGGCCAACUACCAGGAAUUGCAACCCCAAUCCUCCCUCCUCUACCUCCUCACUACCCCUUUCUCUCCCUUACCUCUUCUUAUUUUUUCUCUUUCUACUCCCUUUGUCCUACUUAUUCUUUCUCUGUGCUUGCAUUCUAACCGCUUAACUGACACUGACACUGACUUACCACAUACAAAAUUAGGGUUACCCUAGCAGAGGACUCUCCACAUUUCAUGAUGAUUAAAAAACCUUUUUGUUUUAAUUAGUUGCCUGUUUAUCUCUUUCAUUUUCUCUAAGUGACGAAGUAGGCAGUGCUGAGCCUAGCAACUGUAAGAUGGGUAUGCUGGGAUGAGAACACCUGGAUACUAUGUAGGAGUCAUAUUCUAGACUCCACAGCCAGGGUUCACUUCUAAGGACUAAGAAGCUCAGAGACUUAGAGGCUGAUCUUCUUUGAUCCCACCACUUUUUACCAACUACCCUGGUAUUGCCGCACGUAAGCACCUCCUAAGGUCAUUAUAUCAGAGUCCUCCUACUACACAUAUGAGAUUAGAACAGACAUCCAAGUUGCUCUUACCCACACUUAAUAUCCCAAUUAUCGCCUUAUAUAUUCAUAUGGUAAUGAACGACUUUCCCCGAAAAUACUUGACAAAUUGUACCCACUUCUUGGUAUAUUUCUCUGGAUAUUUUUCUUACCUGUCUACUGUAUCUGGUCCUGUUUGUGUCUCAAAAAAUAAAUAAUAAUACUGUACAAAAGUGCAAAAUAUUUUGGAUAGAGAAACAAUUCCAGUCUACCUAUACAUAUAAAUUCUUAACUAACCAAGUGAUUAAAAGAAUGAAUAGUAGAAGGUGUAACAAGGCAGCUUCACACCUUAGUGUUGGACCCUCAUACUAGUAAAAUAUUCGGACAGUGGUAAGUUAUUUGUUCUUUCUGCUCACUCUGAUCGUAUCUGACGGAAGUGAGCCGAACUAAUGAAUGAGCUCAGUAAGAAUGAGCCAUUUGUCCAUUUGGAUGAAUGCAUAGGAUCAUUAAAUAAUAUAAGCCCAGUACCCACCCAUUGCCGGUGGCUGGGGGCCCUAAGUAAUAAUGGGAGGCGUGGGAACCUAUUGUUCCCCCUCAGCUCCCACCCACUGCCGUCAGUUACCUGCAAGGCUCAAGAUUUACCUGUCAGAUCACUCUGAUUGGUUAGCUUAAGCCAACCAAUCAGAGUGCUCUGAGUCAAAUUCCUUGGCGUGGCGUCAGUCUGCGCAGAGCCCUUGCUGGGUGAAGAUGGAUUAAUUUUUAUUGUUGGCAAUUUCUUUUUUCCUGUGUUUUUUAAUUUUUUUAAUUUUAUUAAUUCAACAAUGUAUUUUUAUUUGGCCUGUUUUCGGGCAAAAAAAAGAAGAAAAAAAGAAAUCUUCAAUGGUAUUUAUUAGUGUUUUAUUUUACAGGUAUUUAGUUUGUUUACCUCACUCAUUAUUAUUAGGAUGAGGGGGAUAGGCACCCCUAGUUACUUGGUGAGGGUUUAUUAUAAUAGGUUAACCCCCUUAUUAUUUGAGGCCACCACCUGCUGGCAAUGGGUGAGGGCUGACGGAACAAUAGGUUUCUCCCCCAUUACUACUUAGGGCCCCCACCAAGUUAUCCGUGAUAUGGUGGGAGUGAGCAGAAAGAAAGAAUGUCUUACCGAAAGAAUGAGCCAUUCAUGCAUGCGGCUGAAGCGUUCUGCCUUUUGAAUUACAAAUUCAAGUUCAUUUUUUAUUGAUAAUUUGUUUUUCAAGUCCUUUAUUUAAAACUGUUUAAAAUGCUUUUAAUAUGCUGGGUCCAGAUACAAGUUCAUUGUAUACUGAGUUGUCACUGAGCUUGGAGAGGAUUUUUUUUUUUCUUAUACAUUUCUUUAAAUAAUAUUAUUAUCCCUCCCCCUCUAUCUGCAGGUUUAAUAAUGAUUUCAUCGUUUAUUUUUUAGUGAAAUUAAAUUGUCAAAUUUGCUGUUUUUUAUUUUAUUAAAAUUGUUUUUGGCCAGUUUUUACAAAGUUGUUGGAUUUGAAAUUAGAGGGGUAAACAGUAGAGGCAGGUUUAAGACUGGUGUAAUUAACAGGCAUAUUAUUAUGAGGACCCUUUUGAUUUUGGGCUGUUUUUCCAUUAUUUUGGAUGGCAUAAAACAUUUUGAGGGUAGCUUUUCUGACAAAUUUGUUUAUGUCAAUGUAGGUAGAAAAAGAAUUGAACUUUCGGGUGGAAGCAUACUUCAAACUCUUACUUAGAACUGCCAGUUCCAUAGCGUUUAGGACUUUAUUUGAUAAAUUGAAUAUGCCUGAUGUUCAUAUGGGUUUGGGUUAGUUUUUAUUCUCCCCUUCCUUUUUUGAACCCUUCUUCCACUCUUUCUCCCUGUGGUGUAAGGCUUCUUCUUUUUUUCCUUCUUUCUCCUAUUCAUGGUGUGAAAUGCCUGUCUCUAAAAAAAUAUUUUUUGUGUCAUUGUAGUCAGAUGAAAGUUUUUUGUUUUUUUUCUUAUAUGCAUAUGUCAUCCCUUUAUUUCCAAAAAUACUUUUAUUCACUUUGUUUACAUCUUUUCUUUUUACAUUUUUACUUUUUCCUCUCCCACAGGGAUAAUGUCAGUUUGAUCUAUUUAGUGUGCUAUAUUUAUUUUACUAUAUUCUCCUUUUAUAUUAAGGUCCACACAACCUCUAUUACUUUUACAUUUUAUUUUAUUAACUAUCACAUUUCCCUUUCCCUACUUCAUUUUUCAUACUUCCUUUGUCCUUUCCCCAGUAGGCUGCUCCUGCUCUCCCCCUCCAUUCCAACAUCUUGUGCUUUUACUAGCUCCUUUAAACUAGGAGGUUAAACUCGCCCCACCUCCAUGACGACUUGGGCCAUGCCAUGCGAUUGGCAGCCAUCUUGCCCUCUGGUGUGCUCCUGCGGCCACAAAAAUACUAGUUUCAAGUGUUUUUCACCACAUCUUCACACUUCAGCAUCCCUCCUCACUAGGGAUCGACCAAUAUUUAAUUUUUAGAGCCGAUACCGAUAAUCUGUGAACUUUCAGGCCGAUAGCCGAUAACUUAUACCGAUAUUCUGUGCAUUUUCAUUGAAAAAAACAAACAAACUAUUUCUACACAAAUCUGCUGUUAAAUGAACACUUUAAUUGUUAACAUUUAGCUUUUUUUUUAGUAAAUCUUUCUUUUUCAUUUGUAACUAAAAAUAAAUAAUACAGAAACAUACCAGUCAGAUUGCAGCAAAACAAUGGUGAUAUGGUCAAAUACAACAAAUUGGACCACUUUUUAAAAAAAAAAAAAAUAUCAGUCAAAAGGUAACCAGAUCAACAAUGUUCAAUUGCACACAGCCACAUAGCCCAUACUUAGAUUAAAUCUUAGUAAAAUUAGCUGCAGUGACAUAGGCAAUGAUAUCAAAGGGACACACUCCUAUAUAUAAGCAAGGCAUCAACACAGCUUCAUUAAGCUAUAUUUGUUUUGUUGCCUAACUGCUUAGCCUUAGUAUCAAUUUAAAGUUGUAAACACAUGGUUAAUGCCUAUAAUAAAGAAUAUUAAAUUUAAAACAAGAUAAAUGUUGAGUAACUUAACCGUUCUAGUGGAGUAAAGGUAGCAUAAGUUAUAAAAGGUCCUGUCCUGGGUUUGCACUUCAGCAAUAAAAAUGAAAAAAUGCAGAACCAAAUUAUGUUGCAUAAUAAAACAAAAGAAUAAAAAUAACAAUUAUAAAGUAGACCUAGACAAUACCAUUACAGUCAUCAUACAAGUAGUGGUAGUUGGCACAGGGUAGAAUACCUUACACUACACAGACACAGGACCAGUUCCUGGAGCAACACAGAUCAUUCAGCCAAUGACAAGCCAGCUUCAAGGUUACAAGAAAGUGAGUUAAGAUGGACAUUACAUAACAUUUGUAUGAAAACAAUGCUAAACUAAUCUAAAACUUUAGAAUUUCUUCAAUACUUCCAGUUGAGAAGGAGUACAUUGUAGUGCAGAAAGCACAACAUUUUUGCUUGUUCUCCUGUUAAACGGCUUCUGUUUCUUUCGUAGAUUGCUGACACUUCACUGAAAACAUGCUCACUAGGUACAGAGAAGGGUGAAGAGGUAUCUUCUGGCAUAAGAAGCAAGGGUUUUAAAGGGUUUUAAAGCGUGUCUCAUUUUCUUUCCACCACUUAAGUGAAUUGCCCUUCUAUUGAUCACUGGUUCUUUCAAAUAAAGAUGAAGCUCAUCAUCAAGGCUGACUUUUGGUAAAGUAAGAGAAUCCUCUACAUGAGGCCCCAAUAAAACGCUGAACAUGGCAUCAAUUUGGCCAUGUUUAAGCCUUUUUUCCAUUUGUUUUCUUUUGGGGAAUUUGUAUGUUUCUGUAGCAUCAUCAUCCUGCUCUUCCAGACUAGUAGCAUCAGGCUCUUCCAGAUGUGACCAUUCUAGAACCUGCACCUCCUUUUACAUUUCUUCUGUCAGCCAUUAUUUUGCCUUGACCAAUACAUUAUCAGAAGAGAAAGCAUGAUGUUUGAAUCGAGGAUCUAAAAAACAUGGCAACACAACAUUUAUAUUCUCUUCAUACUUCAAAAAAACGUUGUUUGAGGCUUUCCUUCAUGACCUCCCGGAGUGUUUUAAUGCCACAUGUAGUGGCCCCAUUAUUCUCUUGAAGAAGCAUCUUCAGCACUCUCACACAUGUAAUGACGAUGACACACUUGAGUCGUUAUGGCUAACCUCUAGAGUCACUUCCUCUAUUGGGAGGAGGGUCUGAAUAAGAUUUGCUACAAUCUCCCACUGAUCAGCAUUAGGGCAAGAAUAUCCUUCAUAUUCACUAGAAUAGAUGCUAAGAGCUCGUUUCUGUUCCAGCAUUCUUUGCAGCAUGUGGAGUGUGGAGUUCCUUUGAGUUGGAAUAGCCUGAAUCAGGCUGUUUUUGGACAGGCCGAGGUCUGACUGAAUGCACCUCAGUCGGUGCUUGGCAAUGAAUGAAUGGUGGAAAUGACUUGUGCACUUCUUUAGCAUGGCAAUUAGGUCGCUCACUGGCUUGACAGACCAUCAUUUACCACAAGUUGCAGUGUAGGCAUGUGCAUAAGGGGAAAAUUUUCGGUUCGGCUCGGCAUUCCGAAAUUCGGGACUUUCGCAAUUCGGAAUUUCAGGACUUUGGCACUUCUCUUGCAGCCGCUUAGUAGAUAACUCCCAAAUUUCCACGGUAUUAGGGAGUUAUCUACCAAAAAGCUGAAAGACCUAAAUUGGUCUUUCAGCCAAAUUUACUAAUACUAAGUAAAAAUACUUAGUAUUAGUAAAUGAUGCCCCUACUCGCUAUACCGCGAGUAGGGGCAUGUCUAGUAAAAAGUGAGCACGCUGUGUAAUUUGACUCAUAACACUCUGAUUGGUGGAUUAAGUAACCAAUCAGAGUGUUAUGAGUCAAAUUACACAGCGUGGGAAAAUUCCAAAGAACUUUCCCACGCUGUGUAAAAUGACACAGAGCACUCUGAUUGGUGGAUUUCAAACCAACCAAUCAGAGUGCUGUGACAGGUAAAUGUCAGUCUCUUCAUUUACCUGUCAGAGCACUCUGGUUGGAUGGCUUAAACCCACCAAUCAGAGUGCUCUGAGCUUAAUUGCAGGGCUAGGCAAGGCUUUACAAGCCUUCCCCCGCCCUGCAGAGCUCAAUCUGCAUGGAGCCCUCCAUGGGUGAAGAUGAAAUAUUGUUUUUGCGCUUGCUUUUUAUUUUUAUUUAUUUUUUGGAGGGUUGAAAAAAAGAAGAUUUUAGAAGAAAGAAAACAUUGAAUGGUAAGUUUUAUUUUUGUUACAGGUACUUAGUUAAAGGUCCCCCCCUCAUUAUUUUUAGGGUGAGGGGGGUAUGUAGGGGGUUAAUUUUUUUUGGGGGGAGGGGGUGACUAGGGGUUUGGGGACCCCUAGACACCUGUGGGGGUAACAUUUUUAUUUAGGGCCCCCACCCACCGCUCAGGGGUGGGGGCCGGGGGGGAGUACAAUAGGUCCCCCCAUUGGUAUUUAGGGCUCCCACCCGCCGCUCAGGGGUGGGGGCCUGGGGGGAGGACAUUAGGUCAGGGAUGGGGGACAGGGGGAAGGACCCCCUUAUUUUACUGUAGGGCCCCCACCCACCGCUCAGGGGUGGGGGCCAGGGGGAGGACAUUAGGCCCUCCUUAUUAGUAUUUAGGGCCCCCACCCACCGCUCAGAUGUGGGGGCCAGGGGGAGGACAUUAUUAAAAUUUAGGUCCCCCACCCACGGCUCAUGGGUGGGGGCCCCGGGGGAGGACGAUAGUUCCCCCCCAUUAUUUUACAUUAGGGCCCCCACCCGCUGCUCAGGGGUGGGGGCCGGGGGGGCAAUAGGUCACUGUUUAAUAGAUAUGCCCCUACUCGCGGGAUAGCGAGUAGGUGCAUAAUUUACUAAUACUAAGUAAUCUUUACUUAGUAUUAGUAAAUUUGUCUGAAAGACCAAUUUAGGUCUUUAAGCCUUUUAGUAGAUAGCUCCCUAAUAUCGUGGGAAUUAAGGAGUUAUCUACUUAUUCAUUCCUGUCAUUACAUUGACUGGCUAAGCAACUUACAUUUUAUAUGAAUGUGUGUUACUUGAUUGUUGUAAGUUUUGCAAAUGCUUACAGCUGAAUCCUGGCUCUGUUUGUAUACUUUUUAUUUAAAAUUGUAUACAAUGUAACAUUCUUCUUCUUUCACUUGGUAAGUAUAUUAGUACUUCAGCAAUACUGUACUUUGGAACUUCGGCAAUUUCGGGACCUCGGCACUACGGCAAUUCGGAACUACCCGAAUGUCCGAAUUGCCCAAAAUUUGUCCAAAUUCAUAUUUGGACCAAAACGAAUUGCACAUGUCUAUUGCAGGGUGUGUGCCAUGCAGCUGAGAUCUGACACUUCAGUAAGCUUCAUUCCUUUCACCAUGUUUGCUCCGCUGUCUCAAAGCACAAGCAUCACUCGAUCUGUGUGUAUCCCCCAAUAACCAAGCAUGCCUAGAAACAUUUAUUUAUGUACUUGCCAGUUUGGGAUCCUUGCAUAACCUUUGUAUUCAACACCAACUGCCUUUUUGUGCAUCCAUUAUCAAUGAAAUGACAUGUAAGACUCAUGAGUGAUUCUGUUGAUCCGGACCAGCAGUCAGUAGUGAAUGAGAGUAAAUUGCCAGCGUUCUCUGGUUGUAACAUUGUUUUUACUUUCUGAACCACCUUGUUAUGAAUCUUUGGCAGCAUUUUGGUUCUGUAAAACUGUUCAUUCUUCAGUGUGUACCUUGGCUCAACUAUAGACAUCAAGCACUUAGGUCCCCCUUAUUCCAAUUUAGGGCCCCCACCCGCCGCUCAGGGGUGGGGACCAGGGGGGAGGAUAUUAGGUUCCCCCCUUAUUAGUAUUUAGGGCCCCCCCUUCCCACCACUUGACACCAUUGUAAAUGGCUGGUUAUCCCUAACCAUCAUCUCUGUGAUUGCUCUGUCCAGAAGUUGAGAUUUUUCAUCAGACUUUUGCCACUUUGUGUGUUUCUGAAAUAGGUAUUUUAUUAAAAGUAAACAAACUAUAAAUACUAUUGUAAGGGCAUAAAGUCCUGGUAACUCUAUUCAUCACAUUUAUGCCCUUACAAUAGUAUUUAUAGUUUGUUUAUUUUCCAAUAGUUUAUUUGAUUUUUUUAGAUUUUCUGAUUUGCCAAUAGAAUUUUUAUGAGAUCACUAAUAAAAGUAUUUUUUAUAUACUCUGGGCUGUUGGUUUCUGUAUAUGGGCGUGUAGUCCAUAACUACACUACGUGCUGUGACUGAGCCGAUUUGUGGCUCCAGCUUUGUGAGUAUACAUAUUUCCACCGAAUUUUGGAUUGGAUUAUUGGUUUCAGGAUAUACUGCACUAUAUAUACUUUUCUGCUUAAGUUCUAGUCCAUACUACACAAGACCAUCAUACUUGAAGAAGGGGAAGGUCGCCUUUACAGACCUGUCAGCUGUCUACUCCCGAGCUUGGUGCAUAGCUCAGGAGAAUGUGAGUGAUUUCUUUAAAUAUAUAUAUAUAUAUUGUGAGCGUAAAAGUGGAAUAGUGGUUGAUGGGAGAUACAUCAGGCCUGAUUUGCUAAACCGCAACCAGAGGAUUUUCAGUUAAAUGCCCCAGGGAGAGAUGUUAAAGUUUGCAAUAUGCAUAGCUGAUGCUCUGCAAAACAUGGUAUGGGACCCUGGGGCGGAGUAUUUGGAGAGCAGGGUGGGCCAAUGCUCCAACAGCACUAGUUGCUGUGUAACAGACCGCAAUUUGGAUCUGAUUUAAGAGUUAACUAAUUGGCACUCACCUGUAGCUACUCAAUUAGUAGACAGGCCUUUAAAAGAAGAGGGCAGCCUGCUGCAGAGUGAGGGAGGAAAAGACAGCUAAGAGAGUGAAUGACAAUUGUGUUCAUUGCAAAGACAUUUCUUUUGUUUGGAAAAUUGGUAAGUGGGAAAGCCACCCAAUUGCAGAUAGCAAUUCCUGUCUAGUAAGAGCUCAAGUAAGAGCAAGGGAUUUUGUUUGUUUUGUUAUUAUUUAAAGCACCUGUUUUCUUAUUGAAUAAAAAGGAAAACCGAACUGAAUGUGUCCUGGACUUUGUACACCCUAGAAGGCUGUGGUUACUGCAAGAUCUGUGACAAUCCUACCUAUAAAAGAGGUGGUUUGUUACAUAUAUAUAUAUAUAUAUAUAUAUAUAUAUAUAUAUAUAUAUAUAUGAACUUUCUAUAUACAACAGUAUUACACUAUUGGAGUUUCUAACUCAAUUUCUAGGCACAUCCCAAACAGAUAAAAUAGUAUUUAAAUAAUAAUGCAGAGGCAGGGAGGUCUGCCACAUGGCUCCCUCCUUGUGGGACACUCCAGCAGACCUGGCUUGAUCCUUCUUGGGUCAACUUGCGGAUGUCUAGAACUAGGUAGCUGGAGAGACGUCUGUUUGCCUGGACAACCCAUUGGCAUUGCCAUUCUGCUUACCGGGUUGAUAGCUGAUGGUGAAGUUAUAGGCUUGCAGGGCUAAGCUCCACAGUAGGAACCUGCCAUUGUCUCCUGCAACCCGGUUAAGCCAUACCAAUGGGUUGUGGUCAGUGACCAGGGAAAAUUAUUGUCCAUAAAGGUAUGGAGUAAGUUUCUUAAGUGCCCAAACCAGGGCCAAAAUUCCUUCUCCACUGCUGCAAAACGCACUUCUCUUAAUAGUAGCUUUCUGCUGAGAUAUGUGACAGGGUGUUCUACUCCAUCCUCCCUGAUUCGGCUCAGCACUGCCCCCGGUCCAAAUAUGGAAGUGUCUGUGUGGACAAGUAAACGUUUGUUAGGUACUGGGGCAGCCAUUAACAAGUGCUUGAUUAAGGGCUUGAAAUUAGGCUUCACAAGCUGGAGACUGCAGGACCUGCCUAGGCAAAUUCUUCUUUGUCAAGUCAGUCAAGGGCUUGGCUAUAGUACUAUAGUCAGGGACAAAACUUCUAUAAUACCCUGCAGUCCCUAAGAAGGCUAGUACCUGGGUCUUCGAUAUGUGGGCCAGUUAUCUACCGCCUCUACCUUGGCCGGUUCUGGUCUCUGGUUCCCACACCCCACUCUGUGACCCAAACACUGCACUUCAGCCAUACCUAAGUGGCACUUAUCUGGCUUCAAGGUCAAGCCUGCAGCCUGAAUCUUGUCCAGAACUACCCCUAUGUGAACCAUGUGGUCUUCCCAAGACUCACUGUAGAUCGCAAUGUCGUCCAGGUAUGCACAUGCAAAAUCCUGGAAGCCAUCGAGGAGCUAAUCCACCAUACGUUGGAAGGUAGCCGGGGCAUUUUUCAUCCCGAAUGGCAUGACCCUAAAUUGGUACAGGCCAAACAGGGAUCGCUUCCUCGGCCGGGGAAAUCUGCCAAAAGUCUUUGAACAGGUCUAUUGUAGUUAGAUAACGUCCCCUGGCUAUACGAUCUAGCAAUUCGUCUACCCUGGGCAGCGGGUAGGCGUCAGUGGUAGUCUUUUCAUUAAGUCGCCUGUAGUCCACACAAAACCUGGUGAGGCCCAGGGACUGUCUGAGUGCUUAAUGACUCCUAACUGAGUCAUCUCCUGUAUCUCCUUCUGCAUUCCUUUUCAGACUGCUUCAGGGAUACGAUAGGGCAGCUGUCUGAGGGGUGCUUGUCCGUACCUUAUGUACGGCCAGGGUAGUGUAUGAUGGUUCUUGGGAGAAGGUAGCCUGUUUUUUCCCAUAAAAGCUGUUUGGCUUGUUUGGUCUCCGUGGGGCUUAAUCGGUCUCCUAACUUCACUAGGUUAGUGAGAUAAAUCUGGGGAUCCCUUUCUAAUAGGUCAGGGAGGGGUAAAAUUUCAGAGUCAUCAAUAGCAGGGGCACAUACUGCAGCGAUAUCCUUCUGUGUUUCCUGGUAUUACUUCAGCAUAUUCACAUGAAAGGAUCGCUGGAUCCUUUUAUCUGCACAACUGGCAAUGACACGUAGUGUCACAGAUUUGGGCCACUACUUUAUAAGGGCCCUGCCAAGAUGCCUGCAGUUUGCCCGUUUUCACAGGUUUGAGCACUAGGACCUUUUGCCCAACCUGGAAAGUGUGCUGUCUGGCACCCCGAUCGUACCAUCUUUUCUGUCUCCCCUGGGCCGCCUGGAGAUUCUUUCUUACCAUCAGAGGCAGUUGCUCCAUGCAGUCCCGAAGUUCCAGCACAUAUGACACUAUGGGGGUCUCCUCCUGUUCUGUCUCUCCCAGUGUCCUCUAAUGAGAUCAAGGGGCCCGCGGACCCUUCUCCCAUAGAGUAACUCGAAUGGAGAGAACCCUGUAGAUUCCUGGGGUACCUCCCUGUACGCAAACAGGUGGGGUAGGAAUCUCUCCCAGUCUCUGCAGGCGUCAGCAAAGGUCCUCAGCAUUUGCUUGAGGGUUCCAUUAAAGCGCUCACAGAGACUGUUAGUCUGUGGGUGGUAAGGUGUACUCAACAGGGGCUUAAUGAUGCACACCUUCCACAACUCCUGGGUGAGAACAGCAGUGAAUUGUGUCCCUUGAUUGGACAGGAUCUCCUUAGGGAACCCCACUCAGGUGAAUAUUUUAACCAGGGAAUCGGCUACCGUCUCUGUCUCGAUAUUGAACAUAGCUACUCUCUUGGUAAAGUGUGGCAUAGUCCACCACAGUAAGAAUUUACUUCUUUCCGGAUGGACUAGGUCUAGCUAAGGGACCCAUAAUGUCAACGGCUAUGCGGUAAAAGGACUCCCCAAUAAUAGGCAAUGGCAUUAGUCUGGCCUUAGGGUGGUCUCCUCGCUUCCCUACUCGUUGACACAUCACAAGUCCUGCAGUACUGCCGCACGUCCCUAUUAAAACUGGGCCAGAAAAAAUUCUGGGUAAUCCUAUGGGCUGUGCGGCGUGUCCCUAGAUGUCCUGCUAGGGGGACAUCAUGCCCGAUUUGCAGAAUUUCCAACUGAUAUUUCUUGGGUACUACCAACUGUCUCUUCUGCGAAGGGGUCUUACCUGUUGUAGAUUUCUUGGGGAUCCUAUAUAGCCUAUCCCUCACCCACUCAUAGAGUUUGUUUCAGCAAUAUUUCAUCUGCUCCCCUCUCCCAGGUGUCUGCCUUGGCCCUAUAUUUAUGAAGAGUCGGAUCUUCCCAGGUCUCUUUCCCAAAUGCUUCUGGGGUAUCCCAGCCUAGGGUGGGCCUGUUCUACUGUAAUAGUCGGGGUAGAUGUCCUUACCUGGGUCUUAGCAGCAGGUGGGCUGGUUCCAGCAGCACGGGUCUGGGCACGGGUAGUCACAGGGUUAGCCUCCGCGGUGCCCUGCAGGGCAUAGGCAGAAACAAGGGGGGCCAAAUCAUUCCCCAUUAAGACAUCAGCCGGUAACUCCUUCAUGAUGCUCACAUUAACGUGUCCCGAACCAACUCCCCAAUCCAAGUGAACACGGGCAGUGGGUAAACAGUAGAUGGUUCCUCCAGCUACUCAACAGCUACAGUGUGCCCCGUGUGUUCACUUUCCGGGAUCAAAUUGCGCUGUAGUAGGGUCAGAGUAGCUUUGGUGUCUCUUAGCCCACUGGAUGCUUUCCCAUUGGCAAGGACAGUCUGUCUGUGUUGCUGCCGAUUAUCCCGGGCAGCUGCAUGGACAGGGUCAGCCUCAUGUAGACCCCCCAGUGCUCUUCUGCUGUGUUCCCCACUUUGAUGCAGUGGGCAGCAGGCAUUGGUGCACGAGGGUUCCCUCCACCCGGCUUCCUCCACGACUGAGACUGCCAGGAAGAAUUCAAAUGGCAGUCUGGUCGCUUAUGUCCGCUUGGUCACAGCUAUAACAUUUUAGUGGCUGUUGGUUAUUGUGCUGGGAAUACCUGGACGGAUUUUAGUAGGCGAUAGAUGGAGGGGGUGCCACAGGUCGGUAAUCCGGUCGUGGAGCUGCUUUGACCACACGGGUGUCUGUCUUGCGGGUAUACUCGUCCGCCAGGCGAACUGCUUCCGGCAGGGUGUCUCUGAUCCAGUCUCUGAUCCACUCUCGAAUCCCAGGGCUCAGCGUGUUGUAAAAGUGCUCCAGCAGGAAUAACUGCAGCACCUCUUCCCCGGAUACCGCCUGGCAUCCAUUGACCCAGUGGGAUGCCGUGCGAUGUAGGCGGCAUUCCCACUCUGUGUAAGAGUCCGCAUUUUGUUUGGUAGUGUCCCGGAAUCGCCUUUACCAGCCCACAAUCCUUAAUAUCCUCAUAAGGGAUAGCCCGGAAUGCUUCACUGGACAUUUUCCCGGACACAAUUGUGAACCAUUCGUCUGUGGGUACUCUGUGCAGGGCACAUUGCCAUUCGAAAUCGGCAAGGAUUUCUCCGUCAGCUUCUACAACAUUUUUAAAAGCUGCAAAAUUUACUUUUCUUUUCUCUACCGGAACUGCUGGUACCUCUGCUGCUGCAGCACCUCUUUGCUGAGUCUGGCACCGGUUAGCAUCCACCGCCGCUAUUACUUGCGUUAUGACUUCCAUUGGGGGAUUCGGUCCAUAGUGUGCCAAUCUUAUCCGAAUCUUAUUCCAAAACUUGCCUCUUCUGCUGUCCUCUCUGUUUCAGCAAUAUUUUCGUCUCGAUCCAUCUCCAGCACUUUUUGCGGUUACUAGCCGGUCGACCCCAGUUCUCCAGCAAAUCCUUGAGGGUAGAUCGCUUUAGUUGCUCAUAGUGUGCCUCCAUUCGCUUAGGUCACCUUGUAGCAAAUCCCCAGAUAGCUUAUAUCUGAGCGCUUAAUAUAACCACAGGCAGGGAUUGUACUGUAACAGAGCUCCCUGUACCCUGGCUGGAUACCUCCGCCAAAAGAUCUCUUUAUAACUGGAACUGGGGACAAACCGCAGCACCUCUGCCCACGGUCGCCGUGGCUUAAUUGGGACCCUGGAACCGCUCCCUCCUGGAGCCGAAUGGGGAACUCACUCUAGCCACCCCUAGGAACUGGACAACAAUCAGUCCUGGGAGCUCUAGUGCAGGAUUAGUGAUUAGCAGUUUCCCCUCCCAGUAACCAGACGACACAUAGUUAUGGAAGUACAAGCUGGAAUUUUUUAAUCUGGUUAAGCACACACUCCCCCACAAACAAGAUCCCUCUCCUGGACCUGAGAGGGGACUAGUUACAAGUUACAAACUCCUCAUCUGUGCCUGAGAGAUAAUUGAGUCAGGAAUUGAACUAACUCAAUUAUCUCCAGGCACAGAAAUACAUACAAUAUUACAAAAACCCCAAAAUACCUUUAAAACACAUAAAAACUUCACAAAAGUUACAGCCUCGAUCUGGGUGACCAACAUAUCCAAAAAUCACCUAGAUCGGUUCAGGGGUUCAGGAUUUCCAUGGAAGUCAUCAUUUUAAUUGACUGUGCACAUGGUCCUAUGCCCAAAACAGUUCCAUGAAAUCAGUGCUAAUGGUCGGUCAAGUUCGGUAGUUUAAAAACAAGCAAACUACUGAACAGAGUUAAUAGUCUUACCCUGGAGCUUGUGCACCUUUUUCAUGGGAAUGUUUUUACCGAACAGUGCCCUUCUAAGUGGUGUAGUACCGAACGCAGGCGAUGCUGGAAGUCCUGCGGUGUUCGGGAGUUUCUGUGUCAGAUUUUAGUUCCAUGAACUUGACUAUUUUUUAUUGAGACAAUAUGUAACGUGGUACAGAAUAGAAAAAAGGAGUUAUAGCAAACAGACAUCUGACAAUAAAGUAUUUAUAAUAUAUACUCCUGUAACUAUUAUUUUUUUAUUUAAUUUUUUUAACACAGAAACAUGCUAGACGUGUAGGUCUACUCAUCUCACACAGCAAACAAUUGGGUACAAAAGAUUUGCUAGACUUGAAAUUGCUAAAGAAAUUAACCCCUUAAGGACACAGCUUCAGAAGCUUGACUUACGCUUAAUGACACAAGCAAUUUUUGCAUUUUCUUGCUGUUUGCGUUCAACUGCAAUUUGCAUCUCUCUCAUUUAUUGCACCGACACAUAUUAUAUACUGUUUUUUAAAGGACAGAAAGGGCUUUAAUUUGAUAUAACAUAUAUAUAUAUAAAUGCUUACUUAUUAUAAAAAAAAUACAGAAAAAUGCAAAAAAAAUGAAAAAUAUUGUUUUUUUUUACAGUUUUUGCAAUAAUAAUGUGUGCAUAAUUAGUGCAGGUUAAGGAAAGUAAUUAAAAAUAAAUUUAUUUAUUUGUUCUGAUUUACAGAAUAUAUAAUGUGUCUGGGAUUUUAAGUUUUUUUUGGUAGUUACAGGUCACAAAGCACAAGGAGUAAAAUAAACUUUUAAUGUGGAGCGAUUUUAGAAUUUGGUAUGUUUGUCUUGUAAGCUUAAUAGCCAUAAAAGAAAACAAAAUUGCCACACAAAAGUAUAUAUUUAUAUAAAGUAGACAUCACGGGCUAUUUACCUAAGGUUGUUUUGACACUUUCUACGUAGCCAUUUCACCGCCAACCUCUGCUAAAUAUUGGAGUAAAAUUGUGUUCUUUUUGGUUUUUGGCACACAAACUUAUAACAGAGAAAUUCUCGUGUAUAUUUUGUAAAGUUGGUGUGUGCUAUUCCUGUACAAAGUUUUAUUUUGUGUUCAGUUACAUCUGCUGAGUAAAAUGACACCCCCAUUGUAUGUCUUUUGCACUAUUUCGUGAAGUUACAGUGCCAUACAGGAUACCUGUCCUUUUCAGUAUUCACAGUAGAAUUUUGAGAGAUGGAUUUAAUGAGCCUUAGCUUCCAUUUUGGGGUAUUAUAACAGUUUGACUGUUCAAAAAACCCCCACAAAGGCCUACCAUUUGUAAAAGUAGACACUCCAGGGUAUCUUAUAAGGUGCAUAUUGUGCCUUAACAUGCCCCCAUUUUUUCACCAAUAUAUGCCAAAGUAUGUGGUAAAAAAUAAUUUUGUGCAUUUUUUACAUACGGAUUGCAUUUUUGCUGGGCGUUUUGUAUAUUUCAUAUGUGCCACUAAGUUCAAACCCCCAAAUUAUGCUCAGCUAAGUCUUCUGAGUAAAAUGACACCCCAUAUGAAUGUCUUUGGCACUAUUUCGUGAAGCUACAGUGCCAUAUAGGAGACCUGUCCUUUACAGUAUUCACAGUAGAAUUUUGAGAGAUGGAUUUAAUGAGCCUUAGCUUCCAUUUGGGGUAUUAUAACAGUUUGACUGUUCAAAAAACCCCCACAAAGGCCUACCAUUUGUAAAAGUAGACACUCCAGGGUAUCUCAUAAGGUGCAUAUUGUGCCUUAACAUACCCCAUUUUUUCACCAAUAUAUGCCAAAGUAUGUGGUAAAAAAAUUAUUUUGUGCAUUUUUUACAUACGGAUUGCAUUUUUGCUGGGCGUUUUGUAUAUUUCAUAUGUGCCACUAAGUUCAAACCCCCCAAAUUAUGCUCAGCUAAGUCUUCUGAGUAAAAUGACACCCCAUAUGAAUGUCUUUGGCACUAUUUCGUGAAGCUACAGUGCCAUAUAGGAGACCUGUCCUUUACAGUAUUCACAGUAGAAUUUUGAGAGAUGGAUUUAAUGAGCCUUAGCUUCCAUUUGGGGUAUUAUAACAGUUUGACUGUUCAAAAAACCCCCACAAAGGCCUACCAUUUGUAAAAGUAGACACUCCAGGGUAUCUUAUAAGGUGCAUAUUGUGCCUUAACAUGCCCCCAUUUUUUCACCAAUAUAUGCCAAAGUAUGUGGUAAAAAAUAAUUUUGUGCAUUUUUUACAUACGGAUUGCAUUUUUGCUGGGCGUUUUGUAUAUUUCAUAUGUGCCACUAAGUUCAAACCCCCCAAAUUAUGCUCAGCUAAGUCUUCUGAGUAAAAUGACACCCCAUGUGAAUGUCUUUGGCACUAUUUCGUGAAGCUACAGUGCCAUAUAGGAGACCAAGCCAUAUCCGUUUUUACCAAACUUUGAAUUUUGACGCUGGGCCUAUGUGCAAUUUCCAAGCAUCUUCGCAGGUUUUAAAUUCAAACUACCCCACAAAGGCCUACCAUUUCUUAAAGUAGACACCCCAGGGUGUUUCAAAAGGUAUAGUUUGAACCUUAGCGUGGGAUCAUUUUUCCGCUAGCUUGUACCAGAUGUAGUGGUAAUAAGCGUUUUUUCUGCCUUUUUGACAUACAAAGUGAGUUUGCACAGUAUAUUUUGCAAACCUUAUGUGUGCUACGACUGUAUAAUACUUCAUAUGUUGCUCAGCUAUGUCGGCUGAGUACAGCAAUACCCCCGUAUGUACCUUUGCCAGGUAUGUGUGGACAUCGGAGGGGCACAUUUGGGACACAGCCAUUCCAGUUUUUUUCAAACUUUGAAUUUUUAUGCUGUGCCUAUGUCCCAUUUUAGAGUAUUUUACCAGGCUAUAUAAUCCAAAUUCCCCAUAAAGCCAUACCAUUUCUUAAAGAAGACAUCCCAGGGUAUUUCAAAAGGCAUAUUUUGAACCUUAGCGUGGGAUCAUUUUUCCGCUAGCUUGUACCAAGUGUAGUGGUAAUAAGCAUUUUUUCUGCCUUUUUGACAUACAAAGUGAGUUUGCGCAGCAUAUUUUGCAAACCUUAUGUGUGCUAUGACUGUAUAAUACUUCAUAUGUUGCUCAGCUAUGUCGGCUGAGUACAGCAAUACCCCCGUAUGUACCUUUGCCAGGUAUAUGUGGAUGUUGAAGGGGCGCAUUUGAGACGCAGCCAUUCAGUUUUUUUCUAACUUUGAAGUUUUACGCUGUGUCCAUGUUCCAAUUUGGAGUAGUUUAGACGGUUGGUUAUUGAAACUUCCCCACAAACACAUACUAUUUAUUAAAGAAUACACCCUGGGGUAAUUCAAAAGGCAUAUUUUGAACCUUGGCGUGGGAUAAUUUUUUCUCUAGUUUGCUCCAGGUGUAGUGGUAAUGAGCGUUUUUAAAAUGUAUUUUUUUACUUUUUAUAACUUUUUUACUUUUAAAAACUAGUUUUUAAACUUUUGUUUUGCUUAUAAAUUUUUUUUAAACUUUCCUAAACUUUCUUAAAACUUUUUUACAGAUUUAACAUUUUUCUAAGCUUUUUUUUUUACCGUUAACCCCUAACUAGCAGUACGCAGCACUAACAGUAAAUUCCCCAUUUUCCCAUAACUCCCACCCACCCCAGCUAGCAAAAUAUAUAGUUAUAAAAUAUUUAAAUUAAUUAAUUAAAUAAAUUGAACCCCUGAGGGUUAAAAAAAUAAAUAAAAGUUAAUCCUCAGGGGUUAAAAAAAAUUAGAUCACAGUAUAAUACUGUGAUCUCUAUUUGAUCGCUGUAGGCAGUGAUCGACUGGCAGGGAAGGGGUUAAUUUUUAUUUGGACUAGGUAAAGUGUGUUUUUUUUGUUUUUUUUACUUAAAUGUUAUUAAAACAUUUUUUUAAGCUUAAUUUUUAACUUUUUAAAGUUUCUUUUAAAACUUUUUUUAACGUUAACCCCUAGUUAGCCUAACGCCAAAUCCCCCAAUUCCCCACUAACUUCCACCUACCCCAGCUAGCUAAAUAUAUAAUAAAAAAAUAAUUUAAUUAAUUAAUUUAAUUAAUUUAACCCCUGAGGGUUAAAAAAAAAAGAAUUAACCCUCAGGGGUUAAAAAAAAAUAAUCAAUUCAUAGUAAAAUGUAAUCCCUGCCAAUUGAUCACUGUAGUCAGUGAUCAAUUGGCAGGGAAGGGGUUAAUUUUUUAUUAAAAUGGGUAAGGGGGGGGGACUUUAAAUAAACUUUAUUUUUUUUUACAGCAGGGGGCAGGAUCAGCACUGAUCCGGCUCCCUGCACUUCACACAGAACCCGGAAGUGCAGGGAGCCGGUAGGUGAGUAUACAGAGCACAUGUGCUCGCUCUGACUUGCGGUCAGAGCGAGCACAUGUGCUGGGCAGCCUGACCGGGUGCUCCCGGUAUGCCUCUAAUGCAGAGGCAUACCGGGAGCACCAUUAACCCCGCGAUCGCCGCGAUAGUGGCGAUCCGGGGUUAAUUUUACCGCGUGACGGACGUGGUCCGUCACCCGUCGUUAAGUGUCUCCCCUCUGUGACGGACCUCGUCCGUCACCCGUCCUGAAGGGGUUAAAUGCUAAAAACAGAAAACAUGCUAAAUGAAAUAUGCAAGAUCUAAACGGAUUGCCUGAUAUUAAACUGAGUAAGUGCAAGAUGCCCAAUAUUACUAAUAUGCUAGUAUAUUCAGGUAAAUAAUGGCACUGGUGCUAACCUACAAGUAAGAACCAGAUCGGUUAUAAACCAUGGCUAUAAAUCAUUGCCACAUGUGAGCCUAGAGGCCUAAAGAUGUGCAUCAUACGUGCCCUAUGACAAGGAGUGCUUUCCUGGCUGAUUUGUAGUGCACCAGUUCCUCAGAUCACUGCCCGACCAACCCCAGGCUCUAACACUGUCCAGCACUCGUGCUUCACUGUUCCGGUUGUGUGGACCGAUCCAAACAAAGUCUCGCGAUCUGCUGUCAAGGGGCUGACUGUUUCACCGGUUAUGUGCUUUCCAAGGUUGUGAGUUGUGCUCCAGGGUUUGUCCCCUUGUGGGUGAUGGCCAGUCUUGGAACUGCAAAUCUGGAACCGACGCGUCCUCUGUGUUUUACUUCUCCGCCUCCUUGCUUUGAGUACCACGGCAUUGCGGAUCUGAGCGGGUCUCUGGUUGAGAGCCUGGCCAGCUGGUGAGUGCUGUUGCUUGUCAGUCAUGGCACAUCUCUUCGCUCGGUCAUGCUUAAUGCGCCUCUCGUGAGGGCCCAGGUCUCAGAUGGUCCUGUGGCAGCCAUCCUAGUACACAUGCCUCAAGAUUUUUUUGCCCCUUAGAUUUUGCAUCUUGACUCUGCUGUGUCACUUACUUUGGGCCUGUCGGUCCAAAGGGUGGGGGGUAGGAGCACUGCAAAGAGGGAUCGGGAGGUAGAGAGUGGGAAGAUCGGAAAACACUCCCCAGCUCUGUUUGCAACAGGCCACGACUGGAUUUCUUAGGCUCCUUGUGGGGUAAACUCACAGAUAAAGUCCUUUUUUGCUUGUCUGGGAUUACCCCACCAGCAUAGCACACUGUAGCAUAGCACACUGUGUGCGCAACACGAUUGCUCCGCUUGAAGGUCAGCGCAUUUAUCUUAAUUUCCCUUACCAACUAUAGAAUAUACUAGACAAAAUACAGAAUAUAGUGCUCAUAUUUUCCAUAUUGACUUACCACCAUACAAAUUUGAGGACACCCAGAAGGUGCUGCUUCCCUGCACCCUUUCCUGACGGCCAGAGAGAAGAGACUGAUUUGGAAAGUACCAGCUGCCAAACCCAGAUCUAACAGUCUAACAAGCACUAGGAUCCUCACAAUUGAAUAUACACAAUUGAAAAUAUAUAUAUAUAUAUAUAUAUAUAUAUAUAUAUAUACUGGUGAUACUCGAAAAAUUAUCGUGCAAAAGUUCAUUUAUUUCAGUAAUGCAACGUAAAAGGGGAAACUAAUAUAUGAGAUAGACGCAUUACAUGCAAAGCAAGAUAGUUCGAGCCGUGAUUUGUCAUAAGUUCGAUGAUUAUGGCUUACAGCUCAUGAAAACCCAAAAUCCACAACCUCAGUAAAUUAGAAUAUUGUGAAAAGGUGCAAUAUUCUAGGCUCACAGUGUACCACUCUAAUCAGCUAAGUAAGCCAUAACACCUGCAAAUGGUUUCUGAGUCUUUACAUGGUCUCUCAGUCUGGUUCAGUAGGAAUCACAAUCAUGUGGAAGACUGGUGACCUGACAGUUGUGCAGAAAACCAUCAUUGACACCCUCCAUAAUGAGGGAAAGCCUCAAAAGGUAAUUGCGAAGGAAGUUGGAUGUUCCCAAAGUGCUAUGUCAAAACACAUUAAUAGAAAGUUAUGUGGAAGGGAAAAGUGUGGAAGAAAAAGGUGAACAAGCAGCGGGGUUGACCGCAGCCUGGAGAGGAUUGUCAGGAAAAGGCCAUUCAAAAGUGUUGGGGACUUUCACAAGGAGUGGACUGAGGCUGGAGUCAGUGCAUCAAGAGCUACCACACACAGACGGAUCCUGGGCAUGGGCUUCAGAUGUUGUAUUCCUCUUGUCAAGCCGUUCCUGAACAACAAAACUUCAGAAGCAUCUUACCUGGACUAAAGAAAAACAGACCUGGUCUGUUGCUCAGUGUUCCAAAGUCAUCUUUUCUGAUGAGAGCAACUUUUGUAUCUCAUUUGGAAACCAAGGACCCAGAGUCUGGAGGAAGAAUGGAGAGGCACACACUGCAAGAUGCUUGAAGUCCAGUGUGAAGUUUCCACAGUCUUUGUUGAUUUGGGGAGCCAUGUCAUCUGCUAGUAUUGGUCAUUAGGUGCUUCAUUAAGUCCAGGGUCAAAGCAGCAUCUACCAGGAGAUUUUGAAGCACUUCAUGCUUCCUUCCGCAGAUGAGCUUUAUGGGGAUGCUGACUUCAUUUUCCAGCAGGACUUGGCACCUACCCACACUGCCAAAAGCACCAAAGCCUGGUUCAAUUACCGUGGAAUUACUGUGCUUGAUUGGCCAGCAAACUCGCCUUACCUGAACCCCAUAGAGAAUCUGUGGGGCAUUGCCAAGAGAAAGAUGAGAGACAUGAGACCGAACAAUGCAGAGGAGCUGAUGCCGCUAUUGAAGCAUCCUAGUCUUCCAUAACACCUCAGCAGUGCCACAGGCUGAUAGCUGCCAUGCCACGCCGCAUUGAGGCAGUAAUUGCUGCAAAAGGAACCCAAAGGGACCCAAACCAAGUACUGAGUCCAUAUGCAUGCUUAUACUUUUCAGAGGUCCGAUAUUGUUCUAUGUACACUACUUGUUUUAUCGAUUGCACAUAAUAUUCUAAUUUACUGAGAUUGUGGAUUUGGGGUUUUCAUGAGCUGUAAGCCAUAAUCAUCGCACUUAUGACAAAUCAUGGCUUGAACUAUCUUGCUUUGCAUGUAAUGCUUCAAUCUCAUAUAUUAGUUUCCGCUUUUACGUUGCAUUACUGAAAUAAAUGUACUUUUGCACGAUAUUCAAAUUUUCCGAGUAUCACCUUGUGAUAAAGUGAAGGCAGAUAGGCCUAUAACAUUUAACCCCAGGGGGAGUACGUGUUAUAGGCAACACAAACCAACAUUUAGUUAUGGGCCCCUGAGGUGGAGCAUUUGGAGAGCAGGGUGGGCCAAUGCUCCACUCCGCAGUUUAGCGGUUUUCUUGGGAGACAUAGAUCCAGGCCAGGGUUUUUUGUACUGUCUCCAACCCACUGCUCAGCUGCAGGUAAUUAGCUGCAGCAGUGGGAAUAAACCCCUCCCUGCUAUUCAGGUAAAGGGGGAUUGCUGGCUUCCUCCCUGGAAGCAGGUUGGAGAGAGGCAAGGAGACUGAGCACUGGGAGUGCAAAAGGAAAGCAGUCGAGGCUGGCUUGGAGCACUGGGAGAGCGGAAAAGAGAGAGAAUGUUUGUUUCUCUCUUGAAGGGCUGGAAGCAGCAGGCUGACUAAACACUGGAGUGCUGAGCGCAAACAAAGACACUAGGUUGGUGAAACCAGUAUUAUUUGUUAUAGUUUAACCCCUGAGAGAUAGGGAAUCUAAAGUUAGUUAGUGCUCAGACGAGCUAGGUUUUUGUUUAUAGGGAUUUUGUUACAUUAUUGUUUUUUUUUCAUUUACUGCUGUCUCCUGUUUGGAUUUACAAAUAAAGUGCCUGGAAUUAAUUUACUUUUAAAGACUGUGCAUGUUUGUACCCAAAAGGACCGUGCUAACCGCAGACAAGGAUCACAAUAUGGUGGAGAAUGCGGGCACUGUAGCACAUUGAGGGUCUGUGGGUGUGCCAGUCAUUCGGUAGUCUGUUUGAGGACUUUUUAUUUUUGCAGACCUGUUUAUCAAUUCUUUAUUUUUGCAUUGACAGACAUUGAAGGUGAUAACAGUGUUGGCUUACGCAGAAGCCCAUUUUUCGAAUGUGCUUUAGUUAUGUUACAGAAAGUAAAUCUGGGUUGUUAGUGUACAUAAUAUAAGUUUUAGACAUAUUACAUGUGGGUUGCGCAGAGGCCGUUGUCGCUUAGUUUUCUCUUCGCCUGUCAAAGGUUUUUUAUUUAUUUGUUGUAUGCACAAAAACAUAUACACAAGAAGAAAAAAUAACAAGAUAAAAUAGGAGUUAAAUCUUAAAACUGCACGAGUGAGUAGCUGUCUGUGAGUGGGUGCUCAUUUGUCUUAUGGUUUUUCGUCAUAUUGUUCCCAAAGGGCCCAUACCUUUUGAAAUGUGGUGGUAGUGUUUCGAACGUUAGCUGUCAUCUUGUCCAUUAAGUAAUUAUCUCUGAUUUUGGAAAUUACUAGAGAUAGUGGGGGAGUCUCAGGUUUUAUCCAGUAUUGUGCCAGUGCUCUGUGAGCUGCUAGAUUGAGCAUAUUCAGAAGUUUUUGGUCGUGUUUGUCUAGUCCGUUUAUCGGUCGUUAUAGUAGGCAUGUCCAAGGGUCUAGUUUUAUUUGUCGGUGUAGGAUUUUAGUGUGCAUGUCCACUAUUUUUCCCCAAAACUCUUUUACUUUGUUGCAUUGCCACCACAUGUGGAUGUAUGUGCCUUUUUCUCCACAUAGUCGCCAACAGGUGUCAGUGGGGCAGAGUUGCAUGUGAUAUUGCUUGACUGGGGUUGUAUACCACCGGAGCAUUAUUUUAUAUGUUUGUUCCUGUAGGGUCGUGCAUAUAGACACUUUUGUGUUCGCCUCCCAUAUGUCUUGCCACUCCGUCCCCUCUAACGUUUCACCCAAAUCUGCUUCCCAUUUGUCUGUGUAUGUCUGUGGUCCCCACGUUCCUGAUUCUAGACAUAUGUGGUUGUAUAGCCGAGAGAUUAGUUUCGCUGGCAUGUUUUCUUUUAGGCAGAUUUGCUCAAAGAAGGUAAGAGGCUUGGCAUUUGCCAUUUUGACCUCAUUGGUUUGUGCAAAAUCUCGCAAUUGUAGAUAUCGGAAGAAGUUGCGGGUUUGUAAUGGGGCUAAGGUUUGUAAGUGUUGGUAUGUUACUAGUUGGUUGUCUAUAUAUAGGUGAAUAUAGCGUUGUAGGUUUGUGGCUUCGAUGCCUUUAAAGUCUCUUGCCCUUAGGCCCGGUGGGAAUGCUCUGUCACGUAGUACUGGGGUCAUUGGGGACGGGAGGUUUGUGAGUUUGAAUUUCUGUGCGAUUUGGUCCCAUAAGCUAAUGGAGUUUAGGAUGGCCGGGCAGUCGGUCCGUAAUAUUGUUCUGUGUUGUCUCGGUGUCCAUAUGAGGAAUUGCGGGAGGUCUGCGCCUGUCAUGAGGGAUUCUAUGUCAACCCAGCGGCGUUGAUUUUUGGGGCAGUGCCAGUGGGCUAUUUGGGUGACUUGGGCUGCGGUAUAGUAAUGGUAGAGGUGGGGCAUACCCAGGCCUCCUCUCCCCUUGGGGUUAUACAGUAUUGUUUUGGCUAUUCUUGGCCGCUUUCUCUGCCAGAUAAAGGCGUCUAUUGCCUUUUGUAUGUCAGCUAGGUCACUCUUUGUCACUCGAGUCGGGAGUGCUUGGAAUAAGAAUAGCAGUCUUGGUAAAAAGUUCAUUUUUAUUGAGUGUAGGCGACCUAGCCACGUGAUAGGUUUGUCUGUCCAGUUUUCUAAGUCCGUCUUGAGUUUCGUGAUCAGCGGGGUAUAAUUAUGUUUGAAUAGUGUGCUAUGGUCUGCUGUAAGUCUGACGCCUAGAUAUGUGAGUGUGUCUGUGUUGGUUUUGAUAUGGUAGGUGUGUCUGAUGUGUUGUGUCUCCUGGUCAGGUAUAUGGAACGUUAGUGCCGUCGAUUUAGUGAGGUUGACUUUGUAUCCUGAUACGUCUCCAUAUGUCUGCAGGAGCUUUUCUAGGUUUGCCAUUGAUCGGGUCGGGUCUGUGAGCGUUAGGAGUAUGUCAUCUGCAUAUGCAGCUACUUUGAAUUGUUCAUCUCCUAAGUGCACUCCUUGUAUGUUUGGGUUAGUUCGGAUGAGGUGUAGAAGUGGUUCAAGAACUAUCGCAAAUAGGAGUGGUGACAGGGGGCAGCCCUGUCUCGUUCCAUUGCUCACUUGGAAUGGGGAUUUUGGUGCUCCUGUAAUUAUGGUUUGUGCUUAUAGGUUCGUGUAUAGAGCCUUUAUUGCCGUGAUAUAGAGUUCUGGGAAGCCUUGCAUUUGGAGUAAUUGGAACAGAAAGGGCCAUUGUACUCUAUCGAAGGCCUUUUCCGCAUCAAGGGAGAGGACGAGGGCAGGUAGCCUAGUGUGUGUUAUGUGCCAUAUCAAAUCCGCACCUCUGCGUGUAUUUUCGUAUAACUGGCGUCCCGGCAUGAAGCCGACCUGAUCUGGGUGUAUUAAUUUGGGCAGCAGUGGUAUCAGUCUAGUUGCCAAUAUUUUUGCAAAUACUUUUAAGUCGGUGUUGAUGAGGGAAAUAGGUCUAUAGUUUGUGGCAAGUGUGGUGUCCUUGUUGGGUUUGGGCAGUAGGAUUAUGUUGGCUGUAGCCAAGGAAGUGGUUACAUAGCUUGGUGAGGGGGGGUGUCAGUUCCGUCUUAUUUGUUUUGUAAUAGCCCAUAUCGUAGCCGUCGGGUUCUGGUGCUUUGUUCCCCUUAAGGGCGGAGAUCGAGGCCGCUACCUCCUUCGGUGUAAUGGGUGCUUCCAGAGCGUUGGCCUCUCCUGUUGUUACCCUGGGUAGACCUUUGCAGACCUGUUUAAAAAAUAAGUAGCACUGUACCUUUAAGACUUUUACCUGCUUGGUGCUAUAAUGGAGGACCUGCUGAAGGCUGUGGUACAGGCAACCGCUAUACAGCAAGGCACAAACAGUUUACUGGCUGCACAGGUUAAGAACCUGAGGGACGCUCAGCAAGAGAAUAGAGCUGCCCUUACUGAGGUAUUGAAGAUUGCCCCCUGCAGGGAGCAUGGGGACAAGGGACCCUGUAACCAAGCUACUGACAUCCUGCAUAAGAUGACAGCGACAGUAGAAGAAGUCUUUAGCAAGCUGAAAAGCAUGGAGGAAGCAAAGCGUGAUUUUGAGAAACACGUAGGAGAAAGAAUGACUGUGACUGAGCCCAGCAGUGUCAAGUCAGUUUGUGCUAUAAAGAAUGAGACAAGGAAAGCUAGUGAAUACAGCCAGGGAAAGAAAAAUGAAACAGAAGGCCCUAAUGUACACCCAUGUGAACAAGUCAAAGGCAUGAAAAGCAGACUGACUUGGGUAGUCAGAGAAGACAACAGUAAAGGAGCUGAGCUUGACAGAGAGAAGCAAAGCACCCCAGUUGAGUAUAGCAAUGCGGUGCACUGUUUAGGAGCCGAGGCUACCCAAGAAUGUCGACCAGCUGUUCAACAGUUUGGCAGAGAAAAGCAAGGCCAAGAAGUAGUGGCAAAACAAAGUCAAAAUAAGAAAGGCAAAGUAGCCACUUCUGAUCUAAGCCAAGAGAGAGCGACAGUUACAGAACCAAGCUGUGGUGAUAAGAUAGGCACGUCCGCACCUAAGCCCGACCAAGGCGAAAGUUACAAAGUAGGUGACAUUGGCGUAGCAGAAUUAAAUAUUUCAAAGACAUCUGGUAUUGCUACAAAGACUUUGAAGGAUUGUUCGGGAGCCGUAGAACUGGAUAUGCUGGCAAAGACUGCUGCUACAAGGCCUGGGCGCACUAACUACCUGGAACAGCUGCCAGAUUCUGGGAACACAGUCAUGGAAUUAAAGGCGGGACUCAGACUGCCUGACCGGCUGUUUGAUACCGGGGCUGUCAUGAUCCAGCGAGAGGCCAUGACUGCAUCUCUGGAUACCCCCAAGGGAACAGGGAGACCGCCAGACAGCCCAGAGGAAAGCAUUGCUGACAUUGAGAGGUGGCCACUCAAGGCUUAGCAAGCAGAGGAUACCCCUGGGAUUUACAAAUAAAGUGCCUAGAAUUAAUUUACUUUUAAAGACUGUGCAUGUUUGUAACCAAAAGGACCGUGCUAAGUGCAGACAAGGAUCACAACCUGUGCAUAUCCGAUCCGCCUCUCAGCUCCGCAUGCGCGGCAAGAGCCGUGCGCGCAUUCAAACUGCCCAUACGAAAGAAUUACUCAAUGCUCUCUUAUGGACGUCCAGGGUCUUCUCACUGUGAUUUUCACAGUGAGAAUUGCGGAAGCGCCUCUAGCGACUGGAUUAACCCUCAGUGAAACUGCUAUGUUUUCAGCUGCAAGGUUAAAACUAGAGGAACCUGGCACCCAGACCACUUCAUUGAGCUGAUGUGAUCUGGGUGCCUGUAGUGGUCCUUUAAGUGUGUGUGUGCAUCUGCAUGCACUGGCGUACAUACCGCGGUCGCAGAGUAAGCGUGGGGGGGGGGGGCACGGAUCAUUUUUUGCACCGGGGCCCCAUGGGUCAUGUGUACGCCACUGCACACACACAAUCACUCAGACACACAGGCGCCCUCACAGACAUAUUCACUGACAGACAGACACACACACACUCACUCACUGACAGACAGACAGCCACAAAGUGACAGACAUACACACACACACUCACUCAGACAAACACUGACAGACAUAGACACAGUCACUCAGACACACACUGACAGCCAUACACACGCAAUCACUCAGACACAUACUGACAGACAUACACACACUGAUAGCCAUACACACAAUCACUCAGACACAUACUGACAAACUGUAGCGGAGAUGCAAUAUUCCCCAGGUAUCUCCGCUUAUAAUCCGCUCAGGAACAAGUAAAUUGUAAAUCCACAGGCAAGGUCUCCAGCAGGCAAAAUAACACCGCAAUAUCCCACUGCAAUCCCAAUAACUGGACGACACACAGUUUCAGGAGCAGAACUGAAAUCUUUAAUCCACACUGGCCUUUUAAAGAAUGCUCCCAUGCAAGGGAGGGAUUACAUUCAUUAAUACAGUAGCCAAUCCUGUCCUGGUAACCUCCCACACAUCUCCUCCCCUCAGCCAGCAUCAUAAUCCCCUUAUCCAGUACAGUAAUUCCCCCCAUUUCUGGAUGUACCCCUAAACAUAGGGGUACCCCUUUAAAUCCUACACCCCCCGAUAGCCCUGAUCUGGGUGAACAACAUAUCCAAAAAUCACCCAGAUCAGACCAGGGGUUCGGGAAAUUUAUGGAGGGAAUAAAAUGACCGACCGCACUGAGUGAAACAGCCGAAUGCGGUUCCAUGUGAAUGGGCCCUGCGGUCGGUCCUGGAGUAAGGGAACAAACUGCACGAAAGCCUCUAGCUAUAGAGGCUAUGGAGGGUUCGCCUGAAUCCCCUCGUUCGGUUCUUUCUAUCUACCGAACGAGGGGCCAUUCGGUAGUUAGGAACCGAACGGACCGGGCUUGUGGAGGUUUCAGCGGUGUUCGCCUAGUCGAGUGUCCGAUUUGAGUUCCAGACACUCGACGGCAAAACACCGCUGUUCGGGAGUUUUAAAAUGGCCGCCGCCACGUGUUCGUUUGUCGAAUGGCGGCCACCCCCGAGAACAAAGGACGGCUACUUCACUUGUCAAUUACCCGUUCGCAACAAUGUUGCAACGGGUAAUUGAGGACACACUUCACACAGGGGAGGUCUGACUGUUCGGUAGUUUCAUUCGAACAAACUAAGGGAAUGAAACUACCUUACAUUCAGAUGAAUCCAAUACAUUUUACACAUAGAACUUAGCUAUUUUACACGAAUACAUUCCCUUACUGCAAAGACAUUUAGCAAAUAGACGAAUACAAUUUAAACAUAAUGUAAGUCCCAGGGCAGCUCAUGGACAUCCGCUACACAAACAUAUUAUGUUUAUAAUAGCAUCUAGUGACACCCUUUAUAUGUGCUUGGUUGACAACUAGUGAUAUCUUGCAAAUGUCUUACAUUGGCAACCAGCAAAAUCUUUUGCGCGUUUUAUAAUGGCAGCCAGUGGUAUAAUGAGAUUGGUCACCAGAGACAAGUUAUUUUCACUUAGUACAGCACCUCCAUCAGCCACAAGCUAACCUGUGUUGACAUACCGCUGCAAAUUUAAGCCUAUUACUAGAACAGUAAACUGGGGUAGACAUAGCCUGGGGUAGAGCCCAGGUACGUUAGGAGUGUUGCUGAUGUAACCUCUUGGUCUCAUGGGCAUUUGCCUAGUUUAUAAGCCUGUUAUUUAACCGCAUUAAGCAAAAUUACCAUUAUUAAGCGAUGACAACACUUUACACACACUUUGGAUAUGUUGGAUAAGCAUGUGACCUUGCUAUUUUACUUAAGCUACCUUUUAAAAAUGUGUGCAGUACUUCUCUAUGCCAUAAGCCUGUUAAAAAAUGCUCCUCACUCUUGUUAUUGCUGCUGUGGCAUAACAAAUGUCUAUAUUAAUCGAACGCACCACAAAAAUAAAGAAUUAAAAAAAUAAAUAAAUAGAUUAUGAACGCUAUCUUUGGCCUGUUUGUGACCAUGUGGGUACUAAAAAAGACUGAACAUACCCCACUUGCAAUACCUUAGUUUCAUGGGCGUCCGCAGGAAUUUUUCCAGGGGGGGCAUAAUUGUAAUGACAUCCAUGCUUGGGCCCUUUUUCACUGUGUCAUGAAGGGGAGGAGGAUAGUCAUUAUCACACAAAGCCAGAGUGAAUAGCGUUUUCACAACUAUGGUGUCAGGAAUACAUGUUUGUUUUCCUGACACUAUAGUGUUCCUUUAAUCAAAUUAAAGGCACAUUCUGGUCAUCAUAACAACUUCAUCUAAAUGAAAAUGCUAUGACGCAAGGAGGCCCCUGGGCGCUCUUUCCUUUAAGUGGUGUAACCGCUCUCAAAUGGUUUAACCCCAAAGGCUUCCUCCAGCUGCAGAUCUCCAGGUCGCUCAGUGGUAUUUGGCUUCUGAAACAGAGUGUCAGGAAGUGAAGAUUGAUGUCAGACAUGGGUGCCGCUGAUUGGCUAUAGUGGUCAGCUGACGCUCUAAGUCAAUCACUAGUUCCAGAUUCAUACAUUGUUUUAUGUUUUUAUGAAUGGGGUGCUACUGAUUGGCUUAGUGUGCCAGCUGAAAGGUGUAGCCAAUCAGCGGCACUCUGUGCUUCCUGACACUCAGUAAAUAAAAGUGAACACAUUAACACUGAUAUGUUUUUUACCUGGGGAGAUGAGCAGGUCCAAAGUUUCCUGCCAGGCCAAGGUACCAAAGCCUUAUGAUGUGGGGUCCAGAAUGAAGUGGAUGGAUCACUUCACUUGUCCUUCCUGCACCAAUCUCAUUUACUUCUCCUUCAGUUGACACAGUCUUCUUUUUCUUCUGACACAGUCUUCUCUCCUCAUUGGCACCUUCUGCUUCUUUAUCCUUCCGCUCCUUUCUCUUUUUGAUCCCUUUCUGUUCUUUGCAGACCCUUUCUUCUCCUUGCAGCCCCUUCCUGUGCCUUCCUGCUUCUUGCAGACGCUUCCUGCUCCUUGCUGCUCAUUUCUGUUCCUUUUUCUACUUUACCUUUGUGCUCCUUCUGCCCCUUUCAGAUAAUUGUAGACCCUUUCUGCUCCUUGAUUUCCCUUCCUGCUCAUUUCUGCUCAUUGCAGACCCUUCCUCCUUCUUUCUGCCCCUUCCUGCUUCUUUCUGCCCUUUCCAGUUUCUUGCUGACCCUUUCUGUUCCAUGUAGACCAUUUCUGUUCCUUCUCCUUCUUUACCUUUGUGCUCCUUCUGAUUCUUACUGCCCCUUCCAGCUCCUUGCUGACCCCUCCUGCCCCUUGCAGACCCCUCCUGCUCCUUGCUGCUCCUUCUACUUCAACCUCCUGCUCCUUGCAAACAUAUCCUACCUCUUCCUGCUCCUUCCUUUUCCUUGCUGACCCCUCCUUGCAGAACCUUUCUGCUCCUUCUACUUUACCUUCCUGUAGGCUGUCCCCCCAUUGCUCACUUUCCUGAUCUGUAGACUGCCCCCCCAUCCCUCACUUACCUGAUCUCAAUAAAACUCGAACACAGGGUAUCAAAUAUAUUAAACAAGAUUGCCCUUUUAAACCUCCAAGCCAAUUUGAUUCAACCUCCAAUCAAGCAACAAUUAAAACCUUUCUCGAUACCGUUAAACAAGAGGCAGAUGAAAUCUUACGAGAGCAUAGACCACAGCAUUCAAAUCUUGCUAGGGAAGAGAGCCAGUUGAUUAAAGCCCUUUCUAGUGAUCCCACAAUUGUUAUAUGACCAGUAGAUAAGGGCGGUGGAAUAGUGAUCCUAAAUUAUAAGUAGAGUUGAGCGGACACCUGGAUGUUCGGGUUCGGCCGAACAUCGGAAAACGUUCGAGUUCGGCCUCGAACUUGACCCCGAACCCUAUUGAAGUCAAUGGGGACCCGAACUUUUGGGCACUAAAAUGGCUCUAAAAAAAGUCCUGGAAAGGGCUGAUUUGCAAGGGGUUGAGGUGAAAGACGGAUAGCCAUGGGCUGCAGGUGCCAACUCUAAACUUUUGGCAGGGGACCGGGUGGGAGACAAUGUGAAGGCACUGUCAACCAUCCAAUCUACUAUCAUUUGGCAUUUGGGCUUAUCAAAUAACGCUGAAGGUUCUGUCGCCUACUCGCACCUGAGGAAGGUGUUUCACUUGUGCGUGUAGCUGGCACAGAUCGACCACGUCCUCUCCCUGCAACAGGAGCUCCACCAACACCAGCAGCACAAUGACCAGGGCCACGUCCCUUAUUUGACGCUCUACUCAUUCUUUGCGUUCACCCACCAAACUAACAGAUGGUUUAGGUCAGGCGACAAUGUAAUCGCCAAUAGUCAACAAUUAAUUUCACUGAUAGUAAGGCAGUGCCGGUGUCCUAAAGAGAAAAAAUUUCUAGAGGCAUAAUUAAUACAGUUACUUCAUUGUCUCAAAAAAGUGUGAUUUUUUUUUUUUUUUUAAACCAGCAAUGUAAAAGAAGUAUUUAAGGGUUUUAUUGGACUGCAAGAAAUGCACUGCAGGCCGCAAAUGUUCUAUUUAGCACAAAAAAGUGUGAUUUUUUUAAACCAUCAAUGUAACAGUAUUUAAGGGUUUUAUUGGACUUCAAGAAAUGCACUGCAGGCCGCAAAUGUACUAUUUAGCACUGAAAAAAAUUGAAUUUUUCAAAGUGCGAUGUAACCACAGUAUUUGACGGUUCUAUUUGACUCUCAGAUAUGAAGUGUACGCCACAAAUUUACUUUUUAGCACCAAAAAAUUUGAAUUUGUCAAACUACAAUGUAGUAUUUAAAAAUGCCUACAUAUUGCCCACUGAGCUACCAGAACAGGAUUAAAGUAAUGUGCCUGGCACGCAUGCAGUUGCAAGGGCCCACCUAACAAACAGACUGCUUAUUUCUCUGUGGCACUCGACUCAGGGCAGGGUACAAAAAUGUAGUAAAGCACCUACAAAAAUAAUCGCUGUAGUUUGCAGAUUCAACACCGGAAUUAUUUCCUAAUCUGUCCCUCACAGCUGCAGCAUCCUCUCCCUACACUAAUAAGAGCUCAUGUGACUCCAGCUCAUAAAGAGGCUGGGUCACAUGCUGCACUGGCCAAUCACAGCCAUGCCAUUAGUAGGCAUGGCUGUGAUGGCUUCUAAGGGCAAACUAGUCAAACGCUUGUUGAUUGGCUGCCCUGCAGCUUUUCAAAACGCGCCAUUAAAUCGCUGAACACCGAACUCGAACCCGAAAUGUUACUUAAAUGUCCGGGUUCGGGAUUGCAUCCUUGAACAGAUUGCCAAAUAUCUUGAUUUCUUAUUUAAGGAACCAUUGAUGACAAUCCCCACCUGCAUUAAGGACACAGGAAAUCUUCUUGUGGACUUUCAGACAGUAGGAGAGUUUGAUGGAGUGCUAAUUACCAUGGAUGUAAAUAGCUUGUACACCAUCAUAACCCAUGAUUAUGGGGUGGAGGCAAUGAGUAAUCUUCUAGCUAACUCUUCGGUUUACCAGGGACUUACGAUCGAAAUUGUCCUGGAACUUCUACAACUGGCUUUACAGUGCAAUUACUUUUGUUUUCAGACCAAUUGGUAUCCACAGAUCUGUGGUACCUUGAUGGGGGCAGCCAUGGCCCCGGUGUAUGCCAACACAUUUAUGUAUGCUUUUGAGGAGAAGUACAUUCUACAACAGUUUAAACAUCAGAUUGUGAAAUAUUAUCGUUUUAUAGAUGAUAUCCUAGUUUAUGGAACGGCACAGAAAGUGCAGCUCAGAUUUUUGUGGAGUAUAUUAUCAAUUUACCCACACCAGUUAAAGUCACCUCUAAGAUUAAUUCCAAGAGCAUACAAUUCCUCGAUAUUGAACUAUCAUUGAAUGAAAAGCGACUGCAAUAUAAAUUAUAUACAAAACCAACUAAUAGAAAUACUAUUCUACAUUAUGAGAGCGCUCAUCCUAAACAUCUCAAAGACUCAUUGUCACUUUCUCAGUUCCUUUGAGACUUAAGAAAUAAUUCAGUUGCUAUGCAAUGUACUGAACAGCUACAAAUGAUGUAUAACAGAUUCGUCAAACGAGGGUAUAAAAGAAACGUACUCAACUGGGCCUUGGAUGAGGCUAAGAAGAAGGAAUCCGGGGAGAAGAUAAAGAUGGAUCAAGCCCCAUCCAGAUUGCUAUUUCCCAUGAAAUUUCAUACAGCCAGCUCAGCUUUUAAAACUUCUAUUGAUCAGAAUUGGAAUAUCUUGAGAAGGGAUGUCACAUUACUGGAAGAUAUACAACAUAAACCUUGACCUGCUAUAAACGAAACAAAAAUCUUAGAGAUCUAUUGGUUCAUACAGAUAUUAAAUGCAGGAUGUGUUCAGUCUCUAGGAUGUGUGACAUGUGGUCACAUUAUCCCUUCUAAAACCUUUUGUCACCCACACACGGGUAAAGCCUAUAAAAUAAAAUAUAGGAAACUCUGUCGAACAGAUUUUGUGGUUUAUAAGCUCAGUUGCCCAUGAGGUCUUAACUAUGUUGGGUAAACUGAAACCGCGUAAUACGAGAGAAUUAAGGGACACAGGUCAUGUAUCCGGCUCGCCUACAGAGAUGGCAAGUCGAACAAACCUGUGGCCAGACAUUUUCUAGAAAGCCAACACCAUCUCUUGACGCUUAGCUGCGUGGCAAUUGACCACAUUCCAAUGCCUGCAAGAGGGGUUAACAGGGCUAAACUACUGUUGCAGUGAGAAACAUUUUGGAUCCUUGAAUCGAACACACUAUCCCCAAAGGGACUUAAUGAAAAGUGUUCUUUCCUACCAUUCCUUUAGAUAUGAGUGUAGUAGUUGCUUAUUAAUUCCAAAACAAUUGUGUAUAUAUAGCUAUAGGUGUUUUUAUUACUUAUGAAUAUUUUGUGUGAUGUAUAUGAUACUGUGUUUGCCGAUCUUAUUACAUUCUCACCACCACUAAGCUAGAGGUCUCUCCUCCUGAUAGUAUGUUACUUACCCCAGACUGUAGAACCCUAUAGGAUAUCUUAUAUCAAUCCUCCUAUACAUUAUUAUUGGAGGAGUACUGUAUGCACUUUAAUGGAUCUAAAUAUUUAGAUCAUGUAUUUUGCACUUUUAUAUGAUCUUUUGCACUUUUGUUUUCUUACAAGUUUCUUUGAAAAUUCAGUACUCACAGAGUACACUUGGUUCACCUUAUUGUCCAUAUAUUUAGACUAUAUUGGCAUGGACUUAUUGAUGGAUUGCUUUAAGAUCCCUACCUAUGUAAAUAUAUGAGCACUUUCACAUGUUUACUAUGUUCCUACCGCUUUAUGUCAUUCUCUAUACCUAUAAUAUAUCUAUUAAGAAAUACACUAGACUUAUACAUUCCCUUUGGAGGAAUGGCACGACCACUUUUGGUUUCACGUUGCAUUCAUUUUUGUCCAUAGCCAUGGAUCACAGUGGUAUGCACUUUAUGAUGAAUCUAAAUACUUUAUUUAUGAAGCACAGAUCAUGUCAAACUAACUUGAUUGCAUCCUACGAAGAAGUAAGUAGAAGUAUAGAUCAGGUUGUUGCAGUGGAUGUGAUCUAUUUGGAUUUUGCCAAGGCAUUUGAUACAGUUCUACACAAUAGAUUAGUGUUCAAACUCAAGGAAAUCGGUCUAGAUGAAAAUUCUUGUUCUUGGGUAGAACAUUGGAUUAACAAUAGAGUACAAAGAGUUGUCAUAAAUGGUAAAUUUUCAAGCUGGACAGAGGUGGCAAGUGGUGUCUCUCAGGGUUCUGUUCUGGGACCCCUUCUAUUUAACAUGUUUAUUACUGAUCUUGAAAAAAAGCAUUGAAAGUCAUAUUUCAGUGUUUGCAGAUGACACAAAAUAAAUUAAAUUGUAUUAAAAUAAUACAAUGUAAGCAAGAUAUUACUUUGCUGCUGAGGGAUUUAGAUAGACUGGGGAACUGGGCACUCAAAUGGCAGAUGAAAUGUAAUGUUAAAAAAUGCAAAGUUAUGCACUUCGGUGUAAAGAAUACACAAGCAACGUAUACUCUUAACGGAAUCAAAUUAGGUAUAACAACAUACGAAAAGGACAUGGGAAUUGUUAUAGACAACAAACUAUGCAACAAUGUGCAAUGUCAAUCAGCAGUGGCUAAGGCCAGUAAGGAAACGUUUGGUUGACAUGCGUGAAAAAGGGCAUUCAUUCUCGGGAUGAGAAUAUAAUUUUGCCUCUUUAUAAAUCACUGGUAAGACCACAUAUUGAAUAUGAUGUGCAAUUUUAGCCACCUGUUCUAAAGAAGGAUAUUAUGGCACUAGAAAAAGUGCAGAGGCGGGCUACAAAAUUAAUAAAUGGAAUGGAACAUAUCAGCUAUGAAGAAAGGUUAGCAAAUUUAAACCUAUUUAGUUUAGAAAAACAUCACCUGAGAGGGGAUAUGAUAACAUUAUACAAAUAUUUUCGGGGCCAAUGCAAACCAUUUUGUGCAAAUCUAUUCACUAAACGGACUUUACAUAGGACACAAGGUCAUGCGUUUCGACUGGAAGAAAGAAGAUUUUGUCUAAGGCACAGGAAAGGUUUUUUUACUGUAAGAACAAUCAGGAUGUGGAAUUUUCUGCCUGAAGAAGUGGUUUUAUCAGACUCCAUACAGAUGUUCAAACAACUACUAGAUGCAUACUUGCAAAAACAGAAUAUUCAAGGAUAUAAUCUUUCAAUUUAGGGUAAUAACUGCUUGAUAAAUCUGACUGCCAUUCUGUGGUCAAGAAGGAUUUUUUUCCCUAGCUUGUUGCAAAAUUGGAAGUGCUUCAAACUGGGUUUUUGUGCCUUCUUUUGGAUCAACAGCAAAAUAACAAAUGUGAGGAAGGCUGAACUUGAUGGACGCAAGUCUCUUUUCAGCUACGUAACUAUGUAAAUACACUGCUCAAAAAAAUAAAGGGAACACAAAAAUAACACAUCCUGGAUCUGAAUAAAUUAAAUAUUCUUCUGAAAUACUUUCUUUACAUAGCUGAAUGUGCUGACAACAAAAUCACACAAAAAUUAAAAAAAAUGGAAAUAAAAUUUUUAAACUCAUGGAAGUCUGGAUUUGGAGACACACUCAAAAUUAAAGUGGAAAAACACACUACAGGCUUAUCCGACUUUGAUGUAAUGUCCUUUAAAACAAGUCAAAAUGAGGCUCAGUAGUGUGUGUGGCCUCCACGUGCGUGUAUGACCUCCGUACAACGUCUGUGCAUGCUCCUGAUGAGGUGGUGGAUGGUCUCCUGAGGGAUCUCCUCCCAGAUCUGGACUAAAGCAUCUGCCAACUCCUGGACAUUCUAUGGUGCAACGUGACGUUGUGGAGGGAGCGAGACAUGAUGUCCCAGAUGUACUCAAUCGGAUUCAGGUCUGGGGAAUGGUUGGGCUAGUCCAUAGCAUCAAUGCCUUUGUCUUGCAGGAACUGCUGGCACACUCCAGCCACAUGAGGUCUAGCAUUGUCUUGCAUUAGGAGGAACCCAGGGCCAACCGCACCAACAUAUGGUCUCACAAAGGGUCUGAGGAUCUCAUCUCGGUACCUAAUGGCAGUCAGGCUACCUCUGGUGAGCACAUGGAGGGCUGUGUGGCCCCCCAAAGAAAUGCCACCCCACACCAUUACUGACCCACUGCCAAACCGGUCAUACUGGAGGAUGUUACAGAACGUUCUCCACGGCGUCUCCAGACUCUGUCACGUCUGUCACAUGUGCUCAGUGUGAACCUGCUUUCAUCUGUGAAGAGCACAGGGUGCCAGUGGCGAAUUUGCCACCUGUGGACGUCAGAACCACAUACUACCAUCAUGGAGUCUGUUUCUGACCGUUUGAGCAGACACAUGCACAUUUUGUGGCCUGCUUGAGGUCAUUUUGCAGGGCUCUGGCAGUGCUUCUCCUGUUCCUCCUUGCACAAAGGAAUUUCCAAGUUUAUCAAGACAUUUUGCAGGAGAACUUAGGCCAUCUGUCUACCAGCUGAAGCUCAACAGAAGAUGGGUGUUGCAACAGGACAAUGACCCAAAGCAUAGAAGUAAAUCAACAACAGAAUGGCUUUAACAGAAGUAAAUACGCCUUCUGAAGUGGCCCAGUCAGAGUCCUGACCUCAACCCGAUUGAGAUGCUGUGGCAUGACCUCAAGAAAGCGAUUCACACCAGACAUCCCAAGAAUAUUGCUGAAAUGAAACAGUUCUGUAAAGAGGAAUGGUCAAGAAUUACUCCUGACCGUUGUGCACGUCUGAUCUGCAACUACAGGAAACGUUUGGUUGAAGUUAUUGCUGCCAAAGGAGUUGUUAUUAAAUCCAAUGGUUCACAUACUUUUUCCACCUGCACUGUGAAUGUUUACAUGGUGUGUUCAAUAAAAACAUGGCAACAUUUCAUUCUUUGUGUGUUAUUAGUUUAAGCAGACUGUGAUUGUCUAUUGUUGUGACUUAGAUGAUCAGAUCACAUUUUAUGACCAAUUUGUGCAGAAAUCCAUAUGUUCACAUACUUUUUCUUGCAACUGUAUAUUGCACCACUGUGAAUAUAUAUAUAUAUAUAUAUAUAUAUAUAUAUAUAUAUAUAUAUAUAUUUGUAUCAGGGAUAAUAAGCCAAGUAAUAGUAGUGUUAUAAGUCCGUUGUGGUGUGCCGAAACCGACGAUCGGAUAGGACUUUAAAAGAGGGCCCACUAAGUGAAUGUUAAAUAAAGGGAGCGGUGGGUGUGCUGAACCAGGAAGUCUCAGCCCACAGGAAGGGAAGGCCUGUGAAUUUUUAGGCUGUAUAAACCCUCCCACAAAUACAGGCUCCUCCUUUCCAUUUGUAGUCGGCAGCAAUAAGCCGAGUAAUAAUAGUGGUAUAAGUCGAUUGUGGUGCACUAAAACCGACACUUGGGUAGGCCUGUAAAAGAAUGAAAAAAGUUAACAGUUAAAUCCUUAGUACGUGUUGACAUUACAUAACCAGUACUUGAAAUGCCUGUCUCAGUUCCAUAUCUGGUGUAUGUAGACAAUUCCAAUGUCCCAGUUUAUGAUGUGCGCUGAGAUGUUUACUAAAGGAUACAGAAGUAGUGCUUAUUUUGAAAGAAUGGCCUGAAUAUGUUGAAGGGUUGUAAUAGAUUUCAUGAAUUGUGUCCUGACGUAAAGAACCUUAAAAGAGAGUGUAUGCCUGUGUAGUCUUUUGAGUGUCGGACAGUUGGUCUUGUAUGUUGACCUGGCACCAUUUAUUGUUGAUAGUAUGUCUGCAGGUGGGUAUGAGAUAAGUUCAAGUGUUUGUUAGCUAAUUUAAGGCUGAGGUGGCAAAAGGAUGUGAAUCCCACCAUGGUAUUGAUGGAGCACGGUUUGACGAUUCGAUAUUCAGAAGUGAACUUAUUAAAAUGGCUAGAGUUCAGGUAUGUAAAUGGUUAGUAUAAGCAGAGAAUUUAUAGAAUUUAUAGGCCGGAUAACUCCCUCCCACAACUACAGGAAUAUAUAUGUAGUCAUAGUAACUUUAUUUAUCAUUGUUAUCAUUAUUAUUAUUAGUAGUAGUAGUAGUAGUAGUACUUCCCCCCUAUAACUUGUUUAAAAUUAUAUGUUAUGUGUGUCUUUAUUUUUAGGUUCCAUGCAUGUGUUCUGCAACUUCCAUUUCACCAAGGAGUUAGGAAUAAUCCAUUGUUCUUUCUCAGUGUGAUAUCUGAGAUGGCACCAUGUCUGUACUCAUGCUUGAAAAGCAGCAACAAAGGUAAAUGGUUUAACGUAAUCGUUAGGACAAUCUUGCUUGACCAAAUCCUUUUUUUAUUUUUUUAUUUUUUUUUUAAACAAUCUUUAUUUCGUUUUCUUUUCAUCUUGUGUCAGCCAUAUCAUGUUCUAUAUUUUAUGAAUGCUAACAUGUAAAAUUAAGUUAUAUUGUCACCUUUUAGUACCGACUGAGCUCCUUAAAAACUGUGUGCAAGUGUACCUAAAAAAAAGUUGGUGCUCUUUCGAAGGCUUGGAUUAGCUUUUUCUAAUAUUUUUUUUAUAUAUAUAUUUAACCCCUUAAACCCUUAAGGACACAGGGAAUUUCUAAAUUUUUUUGCUGUUUGUGUUCAACCGUAAUUUGCAACUCUCUCAUUUAUUGCACCAACACAUAUUUUAUACUGUUUUUUAGAGGACAAAACGGGCUUUAAUUCGAUGUCACAUAUACAUAUAUAAAGUCUCAUUUAUUAUAAAAAAAUGGGAAAAUAAUCGGAAAAAAAAUUCAAAGUUUUUGCACUAGCGUGUGCAUAAUAUGUCCAACUAAGGAAAAGUAAUUCAAAAUAAAUUCAUUUAUGUGUCUGGAUUUAUAGAGUGCAUAAUAUGUAUUGGAUUUCAUAAUAUUUUGAAAGUUACAGGUCACAAAAUGCAAGGACAAAAAAAAAGUUGGUAUGUUUGUGUUGUAAGUGUAGUAGCCAUUACAAAAAACAAAAUUGCCACACAAAAGUAUAUAUUUAUACAAAGGCUAUUUACCUAAGGUUAUUUAGACACUUUUUAUGUAGCCAUUUAAUCACUAAUCUCUGCUAAAUAUUGGAGUACAACUGUAUCCCUAUACAGAACCCCAUAUUGUGUUCAGCUACAUCUGCUGAGUAUAACGAUACUCCCAUUGUAUGCCUUUGGCACUAUUCUGUGAAGCUACAAUGCCAUAUAAGAGACAAGGAUAUUUCAUUUUCUAUAGUUAGAAUUUCCAUAGAUGGAUUUGAUGGGCCUAUGUCUCAGUUUGGAGUAUUAUAGCAGUUUGACAGUUCAAAUAACCCCACAAAGGGUUUCCAUUUGAGAAAGCAGACACUCCAGGGUAUCUUAUAUGGUGUAUAUUGUGCCUUAAUUUGUCACAAUUCUUUCACCAAUUUAUAUCAAUGCUCUUGGUGAGAAAAAAAAAAGGCUUUUUUUACAUACAUGUUGCAUUUUUGCUGGGUAUUUCUUACACUUGAUCUGUACCACUGUCAUAAAAUCACCCACAUCAUGCUCAGUUACAUCUUCUGAGUGAAACAAUAUGCCAAUGUAUGACCUAGACACUAUUUUGUGAAGUUACAGUGUUGUAAAAGAGAUGUGUGAAUUUUCAUAGAUGGUGUUGAUGGGUCAGUGUUCCAUUUUGGAGAACUUUAGCAGGCAACAUAUUCCAACUACACCAUAAAGGGAUACCAUUUCUUAAAGAAGACAUUUCUUAAACACAUAUUUUGAACCUUAGCGUGGGAUAUUUUUUCUGCUAGCUUGUACCAAGUGCAGUGGUAGUAAGCAUUUUUUCUGCUUUUUUGACUCCCAAAGUUAGUUUGCAUGGUAUAUUUUAAAAUUAUUUAAUUUUUAGUUGGUUGAGAAUUCUUGUAUUAUGUCCAGGGAUGCCACAUUUCUCUCUAAUUAUCUAGUUCCCCUUUCAAUACAUAAAAUCCAUAUUCCAUUCUGCAUUUAAAUUCUAAUUGAUUAUGUAACUCCAGCCAGUUUGUAGAUUCUAUUUUUUUUUUCUUCUGACUUUUAUUACGAGUAGGAAGAUCAAUAUUAAACAGAAACAUUUGAGGAGAAAUAGUAUCAAUAUUUGUUUUUUGAUUAAGUUACAUAGGCUUAUUUGUAGUGUCCGUUCAGCACUGUGCAAUCCCACCAAAUAUGGUAAAUAGUACCUAUAUCUCCAGCAAAGAUUUGAAUUUGACUUUGAUAUUCUAUGUGUAACGGAGCUCCCUGUACCCCGACUGGGUACCACCACCAAAGGACCGCUUCCUAGCUGGAACUUGGGACAAACAGCAGGACUUCUGCCCACAGUCGCCAUGGCUUGACUGGAUCCCUAGAAACGCUCCUUCCUGAAACCAAAUGGGGAAUUAGCUCUAGUCCUUACAAGGACUUUCCCAGUUGAAUCCCCUGCAAGCUGGAACAGCAGACACAGGACGACACACAGUUUUGGAGUGUAAGCUGGAAUCGAAUUUUAAUGGAGGCACACUAGCCUUUUAUGCAAGUUUCCCAACACCCAGGUGGACCUUAUUGGGCACAGGGACACAAAGUGAAUAAACCAAUAAAAACAGUCAUACAGUGAGACACGCUCAUACACAAACAAUAGAAUCCCUCUUCUAUGCUUAGGAGAUAAUUGAAUCAGGAACUGUACUAAUCUAACCCAAUUAUCUCCAAGUACAGAAAAGCAAUUUUAUGAAGCCCCUAAAAGUACCUUAAAAACACAUAAAACACUGAUCCCCGAUAUCCAAAAAUCACCCAGAUUGGUUCAGGGGUUCAGAAAUUUCCUGGAAGUCAUAGUUUUAACAGACCGUGCACAUGGUCCUAUGCCCAAAACAGUUCCAUGGAAAUCAGUGCUAGUAGUCUUUUACAGGUUUCCAGGCUCCUCCAGGAGCUCGUGGCAAACUCACUUGGAGAGGGGUACCGUAUACCAAUGAUAGAUUAGUUUAUAGUGUAGUUCCUCUAGUGUUAUGCAAUGUAUAUUGCGUGUGACGAGCUAUUCUAGUGAAAAGGAACUAUUCAGAUCUUUUUCCCAUUUAAGAAUAGAGGCAGAUUUAGACGUAACUUCCAUACUAUUUAAUAAUUUGGUUGAUAUGGAUAUCUGCCCUUUUUUCCUUGAAUUUUGUAUGAAAUCUUCAAAAGUGUGGUUUGGUGAAAUAAAUAUAGAUUAGAGAAAGCUUUUUCAUCUGAGAUAAGUGAACAGUUUGUUACUCAAUAAUCCGCAUUGGGUAUGUAACUGUGAGAAGGGAGUUAUCCUAUGCUGAUUAAUUAUGUCUGCUAAAUAAAUUAAGCCAUUCUUAAUCCAUGGGGUAAGGUUUAGAUCAAAAAUAUAAUAUUGCAGAAACUCUAAAGGUGUUUUUAAAAGCAAGGUAUUAGGGAGGGGGCAGAGCCAUGCUCUCAAGAUGGUCGGACAUGCUUGCUGACAGCGCCAGCAAAUCUGAACUAUAAAAGUGCUUAAUUUAACCUUACUAAAGCUGGCAGCCUACCAGAACCAGAGCAAAGUGACCCUUAAGUGAAGUGGACACAGCUGAUCCCGAAAACCGCUUUGAAGGGCUUCUUCUACGUCCGAUACAGCAAACACCAGAGGCGCAGCCUACUGGCUGAAGGAGGCAGCCGAUCCCCGGACAGAGAUCGUGUGGCUCAAAGCGUGGAUACUGCAGCCCCAUAUUCUCUCCCCCCCCCCCCCAUUUUGGACUGGUGGGGCUUAUCCCGGUCCCCGCUGGGGAUAUUUAUAUCUCUAAAUAGCAGACCUGUUGCCUGAGUGUGGAUCCCCCAUGGUGCUAUCAAGGUUGCCGCAGAGCUACAAUCUCAGCAGUGCCGAGAGGACCAGAGAUGGAGGGAGUCAGUGCCAGAUUUGAGGCAAUGAGCCAAGCAUUCUGGCUCCGGAUAGAAAACAGAUCUCAUCCAUCUUCACCUCCUGCUGUGGAGAAGACGAAUACCGCCAUUCCAGCUCCUCGCUCCUCUCCUGGGCUGUGGACCAACCUGGAGUUUUCUUCAUGGUGCCGCCCAUAUACCUGUGAGGAUAACCGGAUCCCUGAGAACCCACGGUCCACUGUCCUGCCACUGAGAAAAGGAUGAUCUAUGGGCACAAGGCAAGGGUUCCUAUCAAGGCCUGGGGCUGACAUAGCGUGUGAUUGGGGCACUGCAGUCUGAUAUCUAAUCAGUAACAGAAUUCACAGCACAACCUAUACUUUCAUGAGUCAGUGAGUGGUGACACGGUUUCUCACACGAGACUGAGCUUUCUGAUGUGACCUUGCAUAGUACCUGCCUAGUUCUGGCCUGCUUGUGGUGUUGGUUGAGUCCUGGCUGAUGUCUUCCUAACACACCAUAAGCAACUGAUUAUCUAGCAUUGCAGUGAUUUAUGCUAUUCUACGAUUUAGUCACGAUUUACAUUAUUCUACCCAAUGCAUAUUCCUCUUUUGUCUCUUUGCUCCAGGCCUCUCAAAACCAGUGGUAUGAACGUUCUAUUCCUAGCAUGUCAGUAAUUUGCAUAAGCAUCAAUAGACCAAGCAUGUUCCUAUAGCAUAUUGUAUCUGCUUCACUAUGUCAUCAGUUUACAUGUGAUAUACUUACAAUUUCUGUUUUCUUGCAACUGACAUACUACGCCGGAGUAACCUAUUGAAAAAUUUGCAGGUCUAUACUAUGGCAUGCUGAUACCCUUGUUUAAAUAAUAAUACUUUUACACGCUGUUGUGGCGUUAAAUGCAUGAUUGUCAAUCCUUUGCACAAACAAAAUAAAGAAUUAUUUUUUAUUUAUUUUUUAAAGCAAAGUAUUAGUAAUGCCCAUUUUUCUUUAUUUUAUUUAUAGUAAUAAAAGAAUACAUUAUAAUGGGGUUAGAAAUUUUACAAAGCUUAAGAUGUCUUAUUAUUAUGCUAUUAUUUAUAUAGCUCCAACGAAUUCCGCAGCGCUUUACAGUGGGUGGACGAGCAAACAUGUAGUUGUAACCCGACAAGUUGGACACACAGGAACAGAGGGGUCGAGGGCCCUGCUUUAUGAGCUUACAUGCUAGAGUGAGUAGGGUAAAGUGACACAAAAGGUAAGGAUAGUAUUAGACUAAUGACAGUUGCAAGAGAGGAGUCAGUAGGGAGCUAACAGUUUAGUUGAUACACUUUUAUAAAGAAGUGGGUUUUUAAUGAUUUUUUGAAGGAGUGGAGCCUGUGUGAGCAUCUAACGGAGGAGGGAAGUGAGUUCCCAGGAAUGGUGCAGCCCUUGAGAAGUCUUGAAGGCGAGCAUCAGAGGUAGGAGUACAGACAGAAGAUAGACGUAAGUCUUUAGCAGAGCGUAAGGGCAUAGACGGGACAUACUUUGUAUUAGGGAGGAUAGAUAGAUGGGAGCAGCAUUAUGUAGAGAUUUGAAAGCAAGAACCAGAAUUUUAAAUUGAGCCUUAUAUCUCACAGUAACCCAGUGUAGGAACUGACAGAAGGGUGAGGCGUGGGCGGACAGGAAGAUGAGUCUCACCACCGGAUUCAUUAUGGUCUUUCACGGCACAAGUUGGGAUUAAGUAAGACCACUGAGAAGCAGAUUACAGUAGUCAAGGCGAGAAAGGACAGUGGAAUGGACCAGCACCUUAGUCGCAACAGGUGUUAAGUAGGGUCGGAUGUGCGCAAUGUUUUUUGAGAUGAAAACAGCAGGAUUUGGCGAUAGACUUAACAUGAGUCGUGAAGGAGAGGUCAGAGUCAAAGAGAACCCAAUUGGCAGUGAGCCUGUGUGGUGGAGCUGAUGUUAACACCAUUGACUUGGAGAGAGGGAGACACAGGAGUAGCAACACUUGAGGGAGGAAAGACCAGAAUUUCAGUUUUGGUCAAGUUGAGUUUAAGAAGGUGGGCAGCCAUCCAGUUAGAAAUAGCAGAGAGGCAGUCAGAGAUACUAGUCAAAAGGGACAGGGAGAGAUCAGGAGAGGACAGGUAGAUUUGCGUAUCAUCCGCAUAGAAAUGAUAUUGGAAGCCAAAGGAGCUAAUGUGUUUACCAAGGGAGGCAGUAGGGGACCAAGGACUGAACCUUGGGGGACACUAACAGAGAGGAGUUGGGGAGAAGAAGCAGAGCCAGAGAAAGAAACACUGAAAGAGUGCUGGGAGAGGUAGGAGGGGCACCAGGAGAGAGCAAUAUUUUGAAGACCAAUAUUGCGGAGGAUGAGAAGAAGCUGUUGAUGAUUAACAGUGUCAAAAGCCGCAGAAAGGUCAAGCAGAAUUAGGAUAGAGUAGUAGCGAUGAGAUUUUUCAGCAAAUAGAUCAUUGGAUACUUUGGUCAGUGCUGUUUCCACAGAGUGCUUCGCACAGAAACCAGACUGAAGUGAGUAUAGCAUAGAGUUGGACUCGAGGAAGUCUGGUAAUCUCACAUACACAACUCUUUCAAGGAUCUUGGAUGCAAAAGGCAGUAGCGAGAUAGGACGGUAGUUGGACAGGGAGUCAGGGUUGGGCUUCUUUAGAAUUGGGGUUACAGUUGCAUGUUUGAAGUGUGAAAAUAUGCCAGAGGAGAGAGAGAGAGAUUGAGAAUUUUAGUGAGAGGUAGAGAAAGAGAAGAAGACAGAGAUGUGAGGGAAUUGGAUGUAGGGAGCAGGUGGUGGGGCAGGAGGACUGGAGCAGAGCUGAAACCUCUUGCACUGUAGUGUGUACGAAUGAACAUAGAACAGCAGAAGGAGUGAGGUUAGGGGAAGUAUUGUAAAGGGAAGAAGAAAGAUGAGAGAUCUCUUCCCUGAUUGCAACUCACUUUACUGACAAGGUCUCUACAAAGUCUGAGGUGGUCAAGUUAGUAGGUGUAGGAGAAACAAUAGGGCGAAGAAAAGAGUUAAAUGUGUGAAAUAGUCAUUUGGGUGAGAGUGUGGUUAUGAGGGUAUUGAACUAAAAUUACUUUUGCAGAGAAAAGAGCCUAGCUGUAGGAGCACAGCAUAAAUUUUAUAGCGGAGAAAGUCAGAUGCACAGUUAGACUUUCUCCAAUAGCAUUCAGCAGUUCUGGAGCUUUUUUGGAGAUAUCGAGUCAGCAUGGUGUGCCAAGGUUGUUGUUGGGGGCGCUUGCUGCGUUUAAAUUUAGAAGGUGCCAUGAUGUCUAGUUGAGAGGAGAGGGUGGAAUUGUAGAAGGAGGUUGCAGAGCUAGGACAAUGCAGAGUUUCGAGAUUAUUAGAGAAGUGCUCUAGGUCAAGACAUUGGAGGUUUCUGUGAUAUUGUUCAGACGGUGGUGUCAUUUGGGUUUUAGGUAUGCCGAUGUCAAAAGUAGCAGGUAGUAGUCAGAGGAAAAGGAAUAUUGGAGAGAUUAGAGGCAGUACAGAGAUUGGUGAGAUCAAGAGUGUUUCCCGCUGUAUGGGUUGCUAAAUUGGACCAUUGCAUAAGGCCAAAGGAGGAGGUUGCAGAGAGCAGACGAGAGGUAUCAGUGCAGUUCUGAUUUUUAUACAGAAUUCAUAUGGAUUUCACUCUCCAUCAGGUUGUUGUAUAUUUUAUAUAGUAACCUACACGUAUUCUGGGUGUUUUCCACCUUUUUACUAUUUCACAUUGUUUCUUGGGUGUCUGUGAGGUACACCUAGGAAUUCUUCCAGUUAUACGUUUUUAUUUUGUAGUGUAUAUACUAUUUUUUGUUUAUAUGGCUGUCUCCAUUCCCUGGACUUCCCACUGCCACUGGGGAACGAGACCGGGAUCCGUUCGGCGGGAAGGCGCAGAAUGAGAUCCAAUCACCUGUGUGGGGCCAGGUGGCUACCCGUCAUGAAACAGAGUUAUGAGGAAAGACAGACGGGGAUAAGGCCAGGGAACCCCAAACAAGGAGGGAAAUCCCAGGGAGGGAAAGGGGGAGAGAGGUCCCAAGGUCCCCAAUAGAGGAGAAGUAAGAGCAAGCAGUAGUAAAAUCCCCAGAAUAGUACAUGAAGGAAAAAAAAUAACUAACACUUACUGAAACCAUCCUAAGGUGGUAGGCACAUAUAAAUAAAGGCAAACAGAACAAAAUGAUAGUAAUAAACAGAAGUAAUAGUAUAGAAAAUGAACGAAGAAAGGUCAGAGACACAUGUUUACAUAGACAUACGUGUACCAGGGUUUACAUUUUCAAGUCCUAUACAAGUACCUUGGCUUUAAAGGCUACUUAACAAUACAAGCCUGGACAAUCUGUGUCACACACAAUUGGGUCCGUAUCACAGUUGCAAACACUAAAUCUUCACUUGCUGUAGCGGAGAGGCAGUAUAAUCCACGAUAUAUCCGCUGGAUAACAGGAACAACAAAGGAUAAUCCAGGGAAUCAGCAUACAAUAAUCCAAGUAGCACUGCAGUAACCCUUCCUUCCCAAGAACUAGACGACACAUAGGCUGGGAGUCAACUGAGGUCUUUUAAUUCAGCUCCACAAUUUAUACAAGUCCCCAUGCAAGGGGUUUCCUGAGUCCCCUCCCAGGGGCAUUCCCAGAGGGGACUGCAUGGGGGACUUAUUGUACAGGACAUUUCUCCCAUCAGGCACUGCUGCACGAGAGGGAUCCUUCCACAGGAAUGUACCAUUAAGUGGAUUAUCCCUCCGUGCAGCAGAACUUACAAUUCGUAUUAAAUUGCAAAACUUUAUGAAUAUCUGGUCCAUUUAAACGAAUGGACGUUCGGUAGAUAGCUGGGGUCUGAGCGCAUCAUUCGUGAGAUUACCGCUCAGAUCCCAGCCAAAACAACCGAACUCCGCACGAAAAACACAUUAAUUAAAACAUAUCUUCAAAAUACCGAUUGUACAUAAGGGAACAGAAUACCGAACCUCCCGAACGGCCUGGAAGCUCAGCAGUGUUCGUGCCGUCGACUAGCCGUUUUUAGUACCAUGCGCUCGAUGACCAAACACCGCUGAGGGAACAAAGGAUCCAAGAUGGCCGACCGCCGCAUGGUCGGUAGUCGAACGACGGCCACCUUGGAGAGCCUCUAAUUACCAAUUGCAACAUUGUUGCAAUCGGUUAAUAGGCGCCACACGCCUCUAAGUGUGUGGGCUAUUAACUGAUGGUUUGUUCGGUUCACGAAUGGCCCGCAAAGGUGCCGUUCGUGAAACGAAAGGGAAUCAGCUAUCUGCUUUUGGCAGAUAGCCCAGGCAGGAAAUACAGUAUUACCAUUACAUUACAUUACACGCUGGAACACAUAACAUGAAAACCAUACCGACAACCCUUAAAAAGACAGUACAUAAAUAAUGUCCAAGUGGCUAGGUUUGCCACACUUGCUAAUGACUAGUGGACAUUUUGAGCCCUGAUUAUCAACCACUCAAAUAAACAUAUAUAUUUUCUUUGACUCAUUAUGACAUUGUCAUGGAGAUAUUAUCCAAGACAGACUCAGAGUAAUGUAUUACUGGUAAUAAAGGGACUUACUGUAAAUAUAAAAUUAAUGAUCACAUCAGUUUAAAGACAGUCAAAGGGACCCAGACCCAACAAUCAGGUAAAGACAGUCAGAUCAAGGGUGCCUGGGAACAGGAUAGUCAAAAAAAAGUUGAGUCAAAAAGCAAAGUAACAAGACAUAUAGAAACCAUGCUAUUGGGACCAGACAUGAACCACAACAGGUUAAUGAGCCAAGACGGACUGAAGUAUAAUGAUUAUAGCAUAAUUUCUUCACAUCCAAAAUAUGCCCAUUCAUUGUUGCAGAUAUUACACAGGACACUCCGUCUCAUUAUUACCAUGCAUCACAAAACAUUAUAAAAUGAUUGGUUAUAAAGCGUUCAACAUCAGAAUCAAUGCCAAAAUAACAGGCAGUGUCAGAAUCAAAAUGGGAGUCCAUGCUAUAUCAAAAUUAAUGUAAGAGGGGCUCAAGGUGAGAGAAUGGGCAUGGAAGUGGCAAUUGCUAUGUGUUGCAUCCACAACCCCCCUCCAGGACCAAAAAGGAUUAAAAACUAAGAUUAAAAAAUAGUUGAUCAGGAAACCUAACUUAGAAGGAUCCACCAGGGGACAUGAACAUCCAUUUUCCACUUACAUUGAGUUUCCUCUCGUCCAUAGCCCAGGACCUUUCCUCCAGUCCAUAGUUUUGCCAGUCGAUCGGGUAUUUACCUCUAGAGAGUCUGGAAUCCAAGAUGGAGUUUGUUAGCAAAUUAUUUGACUACUUACUAGGAAAGAAGUUGAUAAUGAGGGCUUGGUAAACCUGUUACAAGACUAAAGUUUUAACAAGGAAAUAUUUAAGGACUUUGGUAAACGUAGGGCAGAAGGAAAUUUCAACUACCACUACUACUACUAUUACUACUACGAGACAUAAUUCAGUUUCCUGAUAAUAUUAGAUGGUCCAAUAUAUCUUGGAGCGAGUUUCAUAGUUAGCACUCUCAAACAGAUAUUUUGAGAGUGCUUCUUGUCUGUGUCUACAGGCAUAUAUUUUUCUGAGUGUAAAACAGUGGAUGUGCUAAAACACCACUAUAUUCCUAAGUUCUCCUCAGGUUUUAAAAAUGUUUAUUCAUAGUGGACAUUGAUGAGAAUGCUGCUGGGAGUGGAGAAAAAUGAAAAUCAUAACUGAGGUAAACAGGACAUCUGCUUGGUCAAUUCAUUGAUUGCUAUUGUUACAAACAAAUUUAGCCCACGGGAGCAGUCUGGCCCAAUUGUCAUGAUGGUCGAAGAUGUAACACCUUAAGUAUUAAGUAUUGUUCUAACAUCUAAUUAGCUCUAUGUGCAACUCCAUUAGUUAUGCAAUGAAACAUGUUGUUUAUUAGAUCUUGGAAGAUGGCCAGGGCAUUGCAGAGUCCAAAAGACAUGACAUUGUAUUUGUAAUACUUGUAUCUGAUAUCAAGGGCCUUCUUCCAUUCAUCUCCUUCUCUUAUUAUAGCUUGAUUGAAUGUACCAGGCAAAUCUAUUUUAGAAAAUGGAAAAUUAUAUUUAUAGAGAGCGCAAAGUUUUUAUAGUGUAGUGGAUUUUUUACUAGUGCUUCAAAUAUAAUUUAUCCACAAAAAGCAAUAGAUAUUAGAGCUGCUAAAUACUUAAAAACCUUCCCAGGAAUUUUAAAACAUCAAAAUGACGUAAAAAAUAAAGAAUUAUUAGUAUCAGCGCUUAGUCGAUAUACCCCUAUAUAUCUUAUAGGGAUCAACUCAAAAAAUGAAACAAAAGAGUUCCAAAUACAGUCUUAAUGUGGGGGUUUUCAGAAAUCCGUAGAGAUUUUGAUAGUAGUAACCGUAGUUCUUAAUCUUUGUAUGUAUCCAACCUUUAAAAAAAGGAUACUAACAUAGCGUAAUAUAGUUACAAAUUUAUUCCCAUACGAAAAAACCCCCCAUAAGAGGAACUCUUACAGUGUGAUAUAGUGAAACUUAUUUCUAAGCUUCACAUUAAAACAUUAGUAGUACAGAGUGUUCGUUGAUAGGUAAAUGGUUACCGCUCCGUAGAUGUUGAAUUCUGGACCGGUCCUGUGCACACGGAUCCGUCCUACCGGAACGCCAAAUCACCGAUGCUGUUCUACACACUCCUCAAAUUCGAAAAAACCCGCCAAAGGCACGAUCUACGCGUUUCGCUCGGUUCCACGAGCUUUCUCGAGAAACCGAGCGAAACGCGUAGAUCGUGGAACCGAGCGAAACGCGUAGAUCGUGCCUUUGGCGGGUUUUUUCGAAUUUGAGGAGUGUGUAGAACAGCAUCGGUGAUUUGGCGUUCCGGUAGGACGGAUCCGUGUGCACAGGACCGGUCCAGAAUUCAACAUCUACGGAGCGGUAACCAUUUACCUAUCAACGAACACUCUGUACUACUAAUGUUUUAAUGUGAAGCUUAGAAAUAAGUUUCACUAUAUCACACUGUAAGAGUUCCUCUUAUGGGGGUUUUUUUCAUAUGGGAAUAAAUUUGUAACUAUAUUACGCUAUGUUAGUAUCCUUUUUUUAAAGGUUGGAUACAUACAAAGAUUAAGAACUACGGUUACUACUAUCAAAAUCUCUACGGAUUUCUGAAAACCCCCACAUUAAGACUGUAUUUGGAACUCUUUUGUUUCAUUUUUUGAGUUGAUCCCUAUAAGAUAUAUAGGGGUAUAUCGACUAAGCGCUGAUACUAAUAAUUUUCUAUUUUAGAAAAUGUUAGUUUUUCAAAAAGUUCUGUUAUUAGGAGUAUAGGUUACACGUUCCUCAAAGUGGUCUUCUUGAGGCCACAGUAAUUGAUAUUAAGAUACUAAGAAGGCGGGGGUGAUGACGUGACACGUGAUUGCGCACGCUCCCGCGGCUGAGAGACCCUGGUGUGAGGAGGAGAGGUGGCGUCCAGCGCAUAAGAGCAGCGCAAUGUCGAGACCCAAUGCUACAGCUGCCUGAUUAUAUUUUUGCAGAAGCGGUAUGCGGCAUGCGGUAUGUUGUCUGCUGUUUGCAAUUUGUUGAACACCGAACAUUGGCCGAACUGCUUAAGAUUUAAGAACUGCUUAAGAUUCAAGGUAUAGGGGAGUUUUUUAAAACUAUACACUUGUACUGCAAAAAAAAAAACAAAAGGCAAAAAAACAACAAAGAUUUUUUAAAGCCAUUAAGAUUUUUGGACUAUGUUUAAAUGCUGCAAUGGAGUUUUGAUUGUUGAGGGGGACACUAAUUAGACAAAAAUUGUUGAGGGGACACUAAUUGAGAAGGAUUGCUGGAAACUGGAAUGAAAAUUUAGUAGGAGGGUUGGAGGAAGGCAACUGUCUGCAAUUAAACAGCAACGACGGUGAAAUUUUGUACUAUAUGCUGAACUUAGCACCAUGUUGCCAUGAGAGAGCUUUAAUAGUAACUAUUUUCAUUAGUGUGUCAGACUGAUACAAUUUCUUGAGAGAGAUCCAUAAUAGCAACAGUUUCAAUGGUGAGACAGAUUGAUAGAUUUAAACUGCUUUCUGUUUUUUUUGGGGGAAGGCAGAAAUUUAUAUCUAAACAAGGCUCCAUUUAUCUGAGGGGGCUUGAAAUUGGGAUAGCAAUCAAACACUCUCUGGGCGCUGCCUAAAGGAGAUUGAACGUCUGAGACGGCUAUCAGCUGUGGGGAUUGAAGACUGCUGAAAUUCGGAGUUAAAUCACAGCAGGAGAGCGAGCUAGUGGGAGAGAGAUACAAUUGUAACUGUUCUUCAUUAGUGAGAGAGAAUGAUCAAUUGUGACUGUUUCAAGGGUGAGACAGAUAUAAACUGCCUUUUUUUUUUUUUCUCCUGAAGAUAUCUACAAUUAAAAGCUCCAUUUGUUGGAGGGGUCUGUUUGCACGAUCGUGAUUAAAUAGUUUUUAGUCAAUACUACUCUUCUAUCAGUCAGAGAUGCUCCCUUAAAGGAGAAUAGAAGGGCAAAGAAAGCAUGUCUCCCAAAAGAGAUAAAGAUAAAGCAACAACGGCUAAUAUGGAUAAAAAUAAAAAUAUAAAUUCCUUCUAUUCACCUAAAUCUCAAGAGCGAUCACUAAUUAAAAGAUCAUCUCUGGGAGAUCGCAGAGAUUCAGCCUCACUAAUUCCAGAAUCCUUUUCGGUAACUCCCCAAUAUACCAGCCAACAAACUCUCAAUGAAGCUUUGGAAGCUCUUUAUUUGAAAUUAAAACAAGACCUGGAAGAUAAUUCCAAUAUAUUAAGGAAAUAGCUAAUAUAUCCUCUAUACUGCAAAAUCAAGCAGACACUCUCCAGAAAAUCCAAACAUCUAAUGAAAAUUUAACUUUAAAAUACAACCAAUUGGAUGAGAAGAUUAAAGCAUUAGAGAUAAAGGUUACCGAUUUGGAAGACAGAUCUCGAAGGAACAAUAUAAAAUUGAGAGGAGUUCCUGAAGAUAUUAAGUACGAUCAACUAGAUCAAUUUUUAAAAUCCUUCUUUCAAAACCUAAUGCCUGAGUUGUCACUUGGAGAAUUUCCAUUUGAACGACAUCAUAGGCUACACAGACCAAAGAACUUGUUGGCAGACAUACCUAGGGACAUUAUUGUUUGUUUCUCUAACAACUAUAUUAAAAAUUCAAUUAUGCAGUCGGUACAAAAAAAUUUUAUAACAGACCCUCACUUUAAAGAUAUUAAGUUAUAUUCAGAUCUAUCUUUGAUGACCAGGUUGGCAAGGAAAAAAUACGCCGUCCAGACUAGCAUUCUGAGGAAGCAUGGAAUUAGAUAUAGAUUCAAUACUACUCUUCUAUCAGUCAGAGAUGCUCCCUUAAAGGAGAAUAGAAGGGCAAAGAAAGCAUGUCUCCCAAAAGAGAUAAAGAUAAAGCAACAACGGCUAAUAUGGAUAAAAAUAAAAAUAUAAAUUCCUUCUAUUCACCUAAAUCUCAAGAGCGAUCACUAAUUAAAAGAUCAUCUCUGGGAGAUCGCAGAGAUUCAGCCUCACUAAUUCCAGAAUCCUUUUCGGUAACUCCCCAAUAUACCAGCCAACAAACUCUCAAUGAAGCUUUGGAAGCUCUUUAUUUGAAAUUAAAACAAGACCUGGAAGAUAAUUCCAAUAUAUUAAGGAAAUAGCUAAUAUAUCCUCUAUACUGCAAAAUCAAGCAGACACUCUCCAGAAAAUCCAAACAUCUAAUGAAAAUUUAACUUUAAAAUACAACCAAUUGGAUGAGAAGAUUAAAGCAUUAGAGAUAAAGGUUACCGAUUUGGAAGACAGAUCUCGAAGGAACAAUAUAAAAUUGAGAGGAGUUCCUGAAGAUAUUAAGUACGAUCAACUAGAUCAAUUUUUAAAAUCCUUCUUUCAAAACCUAAUGCCUGAGUUGUCACUUGGAGAAUUUCCAUUUGAACGACAUCAUAGGCUACACAGACCAAAGAACUUGUUGGCAGACAUACCUAGGGACAUUAUUGUUUGUUUCUCUAACAACUAUAUUAAAAAUUCAAUUAUGCAGUCGGUACAAAAAAUUUUUAUAACAGACCCUCACUUUAAAGAUAUUAAGUUAUAUUCAGAUCUAUCUUUGAUGACCAGGUUGGCAAGGAAAAAAUACGCCGUCCAGACUAGCAUUCUGAGGAAGCAUGGAAUUAGAUAUAGAUGGAACUUCCCUACAGCAUUAUUGGUAUCCUUUCAAAAUCAACAAUUUCUCUUUAAAGAAGUCUCGGCGGCCCAAGAAAAAAUCCAAUCUUGGAAUUUACAGUAGUUAUCUUCUUGAGUCGACCAAUUAACGACCACCUACCUGGAACAAGAUACUGACUACUCAUUGUGUCUACCAAACUAUUGACCACCUUUUGGAAUAAGAUAAUGAUUAAUUACUAUCACUUUAAAAUUUUUUUUUCCUUUUUAUAUAAGAAUUAACUGUGAAGACAGAUUAGAUUAGUGAAUGCCCAAGUCCAACGGGCAGAGUUAUGUCUAAAGUUAAUAAGGUUCGCUUAUGGAUAAGGGUAUAUGGUAACAUUUGCAAUUUAAAAGAAAAAAAAAAUUUCAUAUGAGGGGUUGGACACAAGUUAUGAUUUAAGGCAAUGUUAACCUGAUAUAAUGUUUGAGUUAUAUAAUCAUGUCAUAGCAGAUAGUUAUUGCAUACUAUCUUUGGUUAAGUUGCCUCUCUUCCACUACUCUCCUCUGUUUUGAUAUAAUUAUUUAUAUAGGUGAUUGGAAACUCUUCACGCUAUAUCUCUAAAGAGUAAUUGAUGGUGGCAUAAUUGGAUAAAUAUAAGAGUGGUAUAAAGCACAUAGUAAUUUACAGAUGGUUUUCUUUUUGAUUUUUUCUUUCACAUAUUUUUCACAUAUUUGUAUUAACACUGUUGGAUUACAAUUGGCACAGUGAGAUAUUAUUAAUACACUUCUCCAAUUAUGGAGCAGACAGUAAGGAAUUUUAGAGAUUCUACAUUUGUAUUUAGUAGUAAUAUAAGCUUCAGUCACAAUAAUCACAAUUCGAUAUUAUCCAGUAUUAAUAAGAAUGGAAGCAAGUUAUCUAUACACGAGUGGUAGUACAAUUUCAUAUUAUACCUAUUUGUAUAUGAUAUAACUAUGGUUAUUUAUGGGUUCUAAAGGGGUAAAGUAGGUGUAGCGAUUUGGCAAUAGUAAGAUAAUAUGCAAGAGGUAACGUUGAUUUAGAUCACAAUAGAUAGGGGGAGUCGGACCAUGUAUAUAUAUAUCAAGGUUAUAUUUAGAUAGAAUGGUCAAAGGAGGGGAAAGGAGAGGGAGGACCUGUAAUAUUAUAUUUAGAGCUGGAGGGAUAUGUCGAACAGAACUAGAACAGCAAAAUAUUGUAAUAUGGUUUUUCAAACUAAUGCAAUCUUAUAUCUUAGACAAACUGACUUAUUUAUUGAAGGUUAUAGUAUUAAAUAAAGGUUGGAUUUUUGGUAUAUUGUUUGGUCUCUGAUGAGGUUUGGAGAAUUUUUUUUUUUUUCUUUCCAUUAGUGUUUUACUUUAGUAAUGAUAGGUAGGUCCGUUGAGGUAGAUAUGAGUUCAUAGGUCUCAUUAUAUUGCUUUUUCCUGGGAUAUGUUCUAUAUUUUAUAUUAUACCUUGGAAUUAUAACGAUUGAGGGAAGGGAGAGGAGAGGGAGAUUAGUACUAUUACAAUGGACAGCUGCAAAAUACAUCAAGUAAUGUUUGAUAAGUAUUUAUUGGGUUAUGGCUCUAGGGGCUAGUGUGGUCAAAUAUUUCAGUCAAAGUUGACAACAUUGUGGAGUGCCACCUGAUCGACUAUGGGCUGGAUACUUGGAAUGCCGUUUGGUUUUUGAAGAGUUUUGAGGUCUUCCUCCUCUCGCCAGGGUCCCUAUUCCUGCAAUUAUAGGCAGGUCUUGUUCAGGGGGUUCCGUAUACAUGCGUGCAUAUAUAUAUAUAUAUAUAUAUAUAUAUAUAUAUGUGUAUAUAUGUAUACGUUUCCCUACUGGAUUACCAAGAGGUGGUUUGUUCCCCCUCUUGAACUAUUUUUUUAUGUUUUAUGUAUCUUACAAUGUAAAUGUGUAUUCUUUUUUUUGUUUCUGUUUUUUUUCUUUUGCUUUUCUGAGACUCGAUUUGGGGUGUAAUCAAGAUAACAGGUGUAAUGAUGGCACUUAAUGUGAUGUGAUAUGGAAUGUCCAGGGUUUGAACUCACCACAGAAAAGGGGAGCGGUCUAUAAAUUUCUAAAUGGAAAUGAUAUUGAUAUCACUUUUAUUCAGGAGACACACUGGAUUACUCCCCCAGAGAGACUCUGGAAGUUUAAGAAAUUCCCGUUGAUAUUUUCCUCCAAUAUGGAGGGGAAUAAUAAAAAAAGAGGCACUGCUAUCAUAAUCUCUAACAGAAUUAAUUUUGAAAUGAUACAUCUAUCUGGGGAUCCUAUGGGAAGAUAUGUGAUACUUAUUGCAAAAAUUAAUGGUAUUAUAUAUACCUUGGUUAAUAUUUACGCACCAAAUUCGUGUCCAGGGGAUUUAUUGGAUAAAACUAUGGAAAAGGUUGAUGAAUUAGCAUGUGGUAACAUCAUAAUUGGGGGAGACUUUAAUUGUGUAUUGGACCCAAUACGGGAUAAAAGCCAUAAAAAUGUCAGAGAUUAUAAAUUUGUAAAUACCUAUGUUUCUGAUUUUUCUAAAUUUCUAGAUAGGAAUUCUUUAUUUGACUGUUGGAGGACUUUGAAUCCUAGUGAGAGAGAUUACACUUUCUUUUCACAUGUCCAUCAGACCUAUUCUCGCAUAGACAUGUUUUUGGUGAAAGCUGGGUUUUUGAGUUCUAUUAUUAAAUCCAAUAUUGGUUCCAUAAUUGAAUCAGAUCAUGCCCCAGUAUUCAUUAAGGUUAAGAUAAAAGGUGGUUUUAGACCAAGGACAAGGUGGAGACUUAAUGAAAGCCUCUUGAAAUCAGAAUGCAAUAUGGAUUUUUUGUCAUCUGAAAUUGAAAACUUUUUGAUUACCAAUGAUAAUGGGGAAGUUUCUACGGCAACGGUAUGGUGUACUCUUAAAAGUUAUAUAAGGGGACUAUUGAUUAAACUUGGCUCUGAAUCUAAAAGGAAGAAGGGAGAAUCUUUGCAAGAGCUAAGAAUAAAAUUGGCAAAUAAGGAAUGUUUAAGUAAAAAUAUGGUGAAUAAAGACUUAAUUGAGGAAACAGCUAAAUUAAGGGAAACUAUUAAAGAUAGAAUUUAUGAUAUGGUCAACAAAAAUAUACUAUUCCUUAAACAAAGAUGGUACCAUAAUAAUAAUAAAAUAAAUAAAGACCUUUCUAAUAAAAUUAAAAAUAAUCUUAAAGAUAAAUCUAUAAAAAAAAUUGUCUCAGGUGAUAAACAUUUAGUGUCACCAAAGGAUAUUGUAAAUGCAUUUGCGGAAUUUUAUAAAUCUUUAUAUAACCUAAAGGAGGUAGGGAAGAGUAGAGAAGAAAUGGAUACAUUAUUGAAUAACCUUAAAUUACCAAAAAUUAAUCAAAAGAAGCUGGAAAUGCUGAAUGCCCCAUUUUCACUAUCAGAAGUAACAGAAGUAAUAGGUUAAAAUUGGAUAAGGCUCCAGGCCCAGAUGGCUUUUCAACAAUGUUUUAUAAAACUUUUUCUAGAUUAAUUUCCCCUAUCCUUUUAGAGAUGUUUACGAAGGCAUCCGUGGAUACCCCCUUCCCCGAUGAGAUGUUAUUGGUUUCAAUCAUUCCUAUACCCAAGGUAGGGAAAGACCCAACAUUUAUUACUAACUAUAGACCUAUAUCUCUCAUUAACUUAGAUAUAAAGAUAUUCUCUCACAUAUUGUCCAAUAGACUUAAAGAGGUAAUCGGAGAACUGAUUGACGUUGAUCAGUCUGGAUUUGUGCGAGGGAGAGGUACUACAGAUAAUACACGUAGGAUAUUUAACUUAAUACAUAGAAUAAAUGAGCAUAAAUGGGGAUCUGUUAUCAUGGCCCUCGACGCUGAGAAGGCCUUUGACAGAGUCAAUUGGAGAUUCCUGGACUCUGUCAUGGGCCAAUUUAGCUUAGAGGGUCAGUUUAGACAUAAAACUAUGUUGUUAUACCUGUAUAGGAGUUCUACAGCUAAAAUAAUUAAUCCUUUCGCUGAGUCUGACCAUUUUGAGGUCAAAAAUGGAACAAGAAAGGGUUGCCCUUUGGCUCCCCUGUUAUAUAUUCUUACAAUUGAACCUUUGGCCACUUUGAUCAGACAGGAUACUAAUGUAAGGGGGGUCAAGUCUCUUAAUGGGGAAACAAAGGUUUCCCUUUUCGCAGACGAUGUCCUCCUUACCUUGACGGAUCCGAUGGUUUCAAUUCCAUUGGUACUGGAUGUUAUAUCCAUUUAUAGUAGUUUCUCCAAUUAUAUGGUCAAUAUGAAAAAAAAAACAAAUUUUAGCCUCUUUUCUAUCUGAGGCUCAGAAAGAUCUUCUGACUGCACACUUCCAACUCUCAUGGGCAAAAGAUACUAUUGGUUAUUUGGGGAUUAAAAUAUCCUUUGAUAUAGAGAGGACGAUAGAAACAAACUAUGAUAAAUUAUUAAGAGAUUUGCAACAACUGGUAGAUAAUUGGAGGAAGAUGGAGUCCUCAUGGAUAGGAAGAUUAAAUAUGAUCAAGGCAUUUUUGAUACCUAAACUUAUAUACUAUUUUAGGGCGAUUCCUUAUAGACUGGGGAAAGGUAUUCUUAAUCGUUUUCAAACUUUGAUUUCCAAAUGUAUUUGGGCAAAUAAACCACCUAGGAUAGCUUUUGACACUCUUCGAAGGAGUUAUCAGAAGGGUGGUAUAGCAUUUCCAGAUGUUGAUAAAAUUCAUGAAGCAUGUAUGGCGACUCAUCUUCUACAGUGGCUGGACAAGGAACAGGGACAUAUAUCAUGGCUUACCCUGGAGCAGGAGGAUAGCCCUAGAUAUAAAUUGUUUAUUCUUUUUUGGAUGGGUAUGUUAAAUUUGGGUGAAUUGGAUACUAAGAAUUUUUCGAACCGUUUAUUGAUAGAUAUGAUUAAUACUUCCAAAAUCCUAAAUAAAAAAUUGAAGCUAGAAGAUAAAUUAUUAUAUGGGGUUCCAUUAGUGGUCCUACAACACAUAAUGGAUAACAUAAAUGUUCAAUCUUGGACACACCUAGGCCUAGUGAAGAUCUCGGAUCUAUGGGAUGGAUGUAAACCUAUCACAUUUAUACAAUUGCAAGAAAAGUUUAAUCUUUCCCCUAGAGAUCUUUUUCAAUAUCUAAGGAUUAAGAACUUUUUAUUAUCUCGGACAAUACUUAAGGUUCACAGCGUUAACCCCCUUAUUGUUUUAUAUAAAAAGAAGGGAGGGAUUUCUAGAUUUACUAAGGUGCUAGAAUCAAUGGAACAAGACUCUCAUGCUACCUCCUUUGUUAAAUGGGAACAAGAUAUUGGGGAAUCUUUUUCACUUAAGGAAUGGACCAAAGCUACACUUCUAGUUAAACGCUAUAUACAUAGCGUUUCUCUCUAUGAAACACAUUUAAAGAUAAUAUAUAGGUGGUAUAUGGUACCUUCUAGAUUAUAUAAAAUAUCAUCUGUACACUCUAAGAAUUGUUGGAUAUGCGGAAAUGAGGAGGGCACUAUUUAUCAUAUAUGGUGGGAAUGUCACGGUCUUGAUAAUAUAAAAAUUCAAAUGUUCGGCCUUAUUAAUUCUUUUUUUAAGGAGGAGGUGUGCGCAACCACCGUCCUCUCUCAUUUUAUUAAAAGAAAUUAGCCCUCAACUUUUUCUUUUUAAUAUUGGUUUCCCUUCGCAAGAUAAAUAUCAAAAAUAUCUUUUGACCCAUAUAUUUUUUGCCAUUAAAAUAUGUAUAGCUAGGGCCUGGAAAUCUUCUAUCCCAUUAAUAUGGCACAAUAUUAUGGAGCAAAUAGAUUAUCAAUACAGGAUGGAAUCAAACCCCUUUUUUGGUAUUAGAGAUGUGGCCAAAUUUUGGUUACCCUGGACAAAUAGACAGAAUUCAUGAUCACAUAUUGUGGUUCCCCCCAUAUCGAGUCUCAGAGAAUGUAAUUUAUUUUGCAUUAUAAUUUUUUUUUUUUAUUCUUAUUUUUUUUCAUUUUUAUAUUUAUUUAGUUACUUAUUUUAUUUUUUCUCUUAUUAUUAUUUUAUUUAUCUAUCUAUUUGUAUGUCUAUUAAUGUGACAGCUAUACCAUGGAAAUUUCUGGUGUUAAUUCUCUUUGAUAGCGACUGGCAGUGGACAAAUGUAACGUGAAUGAAAUAUACAUCGGGCGUAUGAUGGUUUUCAAUGGAAACACUGUACUUUAUGUGGAAACAUUCGGUGUUUAAUUUUACACAGUGCCUAUAUCACAAUAUAUUGCCAGUUUACCUAUGCUAUUAGCAGUUAUAUAUUUUUUUGUUUGUUUGUUUAGUUUUGGCUGUUUUUUUUUACAUUUAUUUCUGUAUCUGAAAAAAAAAAAAAAAAAAGAAAAUUGUGAAGGCCAGACAUUAUCAUGGAACUAACCAUUCCCAAAAACAUAUCGUUAGACUCAAUUCUAAAAAAAUAUAUAUAUAAUAUGGUAUAUUAAGAUUCAAAACUAAGAAAAAAUACUUACAAAGAAGACAUAAUUGCAUUAAAAAAACAGCCUGGUUGUAGUAAUAAGUAUACCCCUACCAAAAAAAACUACAUCUACUAAAAAAAAUAACCAAAAUUUAAACAUAGUAAAUAAAACAUAGUAAUAUACAUAUUAAAUUAAAAAAAAUAGCUAAAAUAAGAAUAAUGGGAUGUGCACUAACCAAGAAAUGCAUAUAAAAUAUAUAAUCCAUUAAAAAGUACAUUACGUACAUUAUACAUACGUUACUGUAAAAGGCAAGCAGAAUGUACCUUAAAACAUAUUGCAAAAAGGACUUGAGGCAAAUAAAAAUGGAGACCAGAUAAUAUUAAAACAAUAUAAGAAAAUGCAUAAAAAGUAUACCAGGAAGAGGGGAUAAAAUAAAAAUCAGUUAAGAAGGCAUUCAGUUUUAAAUCUGUGUUAAAACCAUUGGGCUUCAAUGUAUGCAAAGUGAAAAUCCAUUUGGCCUCUAUCUUAUACAGUUACAUAUUGAUAUUCCCACUUUUACAUUGAAUAUUAACCUUCUCUAUUGCCAUAGAGAGUAACUCAUUAGGAUUCUGAGUGUGAAAUAGGCUAGCAUACUUAGAAAUGUUAUGAGAUUGUAGUCCUUUUCAAAUGAGUAUAUGUUAACUAAUACAAACUCUCAGGGCUCAUGUAGUUUUGGUAGUAUUAUAUAUAUAUAUAUAUAUAUAUAUAUAUAUAUAUAUAUAUAUAUAUAUAUAUAUAUAUAUAUAUAUAUAUAUAUAUAUAUAUAUAUAUAUAUCAAAAUACACUUAGAAUGAAAUUAUAUAUUGUGAUCCUUGUUUGCAGGUAGCACGGUCCUCUAGGGCAAAAACAUGCACAGUCCUUGUAGUUGCAAAUACUUCAGGCACUUUAUUUGUAAGUUCACACAGGAUACAGCAGUUAAAUGAAAACAAAAGUAACUGAAAACCCUAUAAACAAACACCUAGCUCGUCUGAGCACUAACUGACAUUAGUUCCCUAUCUCUCAGGGUUAAACUAAACACAAUAUUGCACCAACCUUAUUAGUUAGCAACACUCUGCUGCCUAGCCUGUUGCAUUCCUUUCUGCACUCCCAGUGCUCCAAGCCACCCUUGCCCUGACUGCUUUGCUUUCUGCACUCCCAGUGCUCCAAGCCAGCCUUGCCCUGACUGCUUUCCUUUCUGCACUCCCAGCCAGUCUUGCCCUGACUGCUUCCUUUCUGCACUCCAAGUGCCUAGUCACCUUGACUAUCUGGAGAGAACAGCCUCUCUCUCCUACCUGCUUCCUGGGAGGAAGCCAGCAAUCCCUCUCCUUUUCCUGCCUAGCCGGGAGGGGUUUAUUCCCACUGCAAUAGCUCAUUAACUGCAGCUGAGCAGUGGGUUGGAGACGGUCCAAAAAACCCUGGCCUGGAUCUAUGUCUCCCCAGAAAACCACUAAACUGUGGAGUGGAGCAUUGGCCCACCCUUCUCUCCAAAUGCUCCACCCCAGGGGCCCAUAACUAAACAAUGUGUUGUGUUGUGCAAAACACAAACUACACAUACUCCCCCUGGGGUUAAAAGGCCUAUCUGCCUUCACUUUAUCACAUAUCCUCCUCCCCAGCUCAGACCCAUCGGGUCGAGCGGCCUUAGAACACAAACCGUGAACAUUCAUGUCACCUAGGGCUGUACCAGCCCUGACUUGCUCCUCAGUUACAAGACGUGGCCUAUUGCAGAUGGCUGCUACCUUGCUCCCUUGUAUUUUAAGGAGCCCCCGCCCAAGUGGAUAACCCAAAUAGUUAGCAGUGUUAGCGGUCAAACCGGUAGCCCUUACAUUAUUCACAACUAACCGGACCUUCAUCAGGUGUGCUACGCAAUUAACCUUGUGAAACGCCACAUCAAGGUAGGCAGCUGCAUACUCUGGCUGGAACAGAACACUUUUCAUCAAAGUAACCUCACUCCCUGAAUCUAUCAGUACUUGUGCACUCUUCCCUACCACCAUCACCACUUUUAGCUGUGCUGUAACACCACCAGUCACCAUACACAUCUUUAAGCAAGUCAAUACAAUCCUAUGCAGAGCCAUUAUUCCUAUGUCACACUGUAUUGGCUCUUCAGUCUCAGGACAGUUAUAUGCAAUAUGUCCUUGCAUGUGGCAGUUAAAGCAGUUUUUCUCAGUCUGGUCUCGUAGCCAAAAUAGGACUUUUAGGUACGUUCUACCAUCAUAGGUAUAUUGUCCCAGACUUUGUCCUUGCUUUCCAGUUUCCCCGCUUAUCUGGUUGCUAGCGGAUCUAGGCUGAGGAUCAGUACUGUGUGGCUCAGGGCCGGACUGGGAGAAAAAUUCGGCCCGGGCAUUUUUUUAACACAGCGGCCCACUAAAAAGGGGGCGGGGCAUAGGAGGUGUGUUUUGUCAUCACCAAUGACAAACACGCCUCCUCUCAAAGUGAGCAUGUUUGUUCAAUGCUCUUCCAGGGCAGACCAUGCGCAGAGCUCUGCUGAAGAGCUCUAGCAUUAGAAAAAAGUCCUGUAUUUGUUCUGCACAGUGCAAGCAAAUUUAAUAACAUGCUUGCACUGUGUUUCCUUGCAACUUGUCUCUGGUGUCUCUAUAAAUGGAUACCAGGAGACAAAAGGCCAGGAAAGAGUAUUGUGCAUGUGUUUGGAGCCUGCUUGUGGUAUUGCGUGUGUGUAGAGUGAGCUGGUCGUAUUGUGUAAUAAGGUCGGUUUUAGUCGUGUUGUGUUUGUGGUGUAAUGUGAUGCAUAUGUGGCUCAGGGACCCCCUCCCGCCCGGCUCUGGAAAGGGGUUAAAACUUACCUUUUUCCUGCGCCGGGCGGGGAGCUCUCCUCCUCCGAUCCGCCCCGUCGGCUGAAUGCGCACGCGCAGCAAGAGCUGCGCUCGCAUUCAGCCGGUCGCAUAGGAAAGCAUUUAUAAUGCUUUCCUAUGGACGCUUGCGUGCAAAGCACGCAAGUGCCUCUAGCGGCGGUCAAUGAGACAGCUGCUAGAGGUUUUGGGGGAAGGCUUAACCCAUUGAUAAACAUAGCAGUUUUUCUGAAACUGCUAUGUUUAUAAAACAAUGGGUUAACCCUAGAAGGACCUGGCACCAAGACCACUUCAUUAAGCUGAAGUGUUCUGGGUGGCUAGAGUGGUCCUUUAAGAGUGUUGUGUGUGUGUGUGUGUGUGUGUGUGUGUGUGUGUGUGUGUGUGUGUGUAUAUAUAUAUAUAUAUAUAUAUAUACACACACACACACACACACACAUAUAUAUUUGGAAGUAUUGUGUAUGUGUGUGGUGCAGUGUGUUGGGGGGGUUCUGUGUGUAUGUGAGGGGUGCAGUAUGUGUGUGUGUGUGAGGGUGCAGUGUGAGUGAUGGGUGUGAGAGUGCCGUGUGAGAGUGCCCUGUGUGAGAUGGGUGUGAGAGUGCUGUGUGAGAGAGUGCUGUGUGUGUGUGAGAGUGCUCUGUGAGAGUGCUGUGUGAGAGAAUGCUGUGUGUGUGUGAGAGUGCUGUGUGUGUGAACGUGCUGUGAGUGUGAUGGGUGUGAGUGUGAUGGGUGUUAGAGAGUGCUGUGAGUGUGUGAGAGUGCUCUGUGAGAGUGCUGUGUGUGAUGGGUGUGAGAGUGCUGUGUGAGAGAGUGCUGUGUGUGUGUGAGAGUGCUCUGUGAGAGAGUGCUGUGUGUGUGAAAGUGCUGUGAGUGUGAUGGGUGUGAGAGUGCUCUGUGAGAGUGCUGUGUGUGAUGGGUGUGAGAGUGCUGUGUGAGAGAGUGCUGUGUGUGUGUGAGAGUGCUCUGUGAGAGAGUGCUGUGUGUGUGAAAGUGGUGUGAGUGUGAUGGGUGUGAGAGUGCUGUGUGAGAGAGUGCUCUGUGAGAGAGUGCUGUGUGUGAAAGUGCUGUGUGAGAGAGUGCUGUGUGUGUGUGAAAGUGCUGUGUGAGAGAGUGCUGUGUGUGUGUGAGAGUGCUCUGUGAGAGAGUGCUGUGUGUGAAAGUGCUGUGUGAGAGAGUGCUGUGAGUGUGAUGGGUGUGAGAGUGCUGUGUGUGAUGGGUGUGAGAGUGCUGUAUAAAUGUUAUAUUGUGUGUGUGUAGGGGGGGUAAAUAAAAAAAUAAAAUAAAAAAAACAGGCAUUAUGUCCCCCCUCCCUUCUUACCUUUAGCCUGGGAGGGGGGGACCGGCACGCUGGGAGGCAGGGUGGCAGUGUUCCCUGGUGGUCCUCUUGGGUUCACUGGCUAGAGUUCACUCUCGCGAGAUCAACGCGCCAGAUCUCGCGAGAGGAACCCAGCGGAGCUGAAAGUUAGAGCUCCGCUGGGUCCUCUCUCCAGCCUGGCUCCCUCUCUGCCCGCCGGCGGCCGCAUGUGGGCCGGUCAGGGAGAUCCUUGAUCUCCCCACCGGCCCGUCGUGGCAAACAGCGGGGCCGGCGCUGGGAGAGUGCCGGCCCUGCAUAGACCGGCAGGGGAGAUCCUGGGACCUCCCCUGCCGGCCUCGGCCCCACGGCCACCGCGGCCCACCGGGCAUUUGCCCGGUGUGCCCGAUGGCCAGUCCGGGCCUGGUGUGGCUCCUUAGUAGCCAAGUUCCUCUGAAUCAUCAUCUGCUUCCACAUCCAUAGCAGCUUCUGAUUUGAUAAUCUCUCAACGUUAGAGUAACUUUCAAAAGCAAACUUUGCAAAGGCUUGGCGUGUAGCUAUACGUCCAAUUCCUUCAUGAGCUGAAUUUUCCAGGUGCUCAACCUCUUCAAGACCUGGUUCUGUCACCAGCUCAUCCUUCACUGGAACAAGUCCCUCCACGAAGGGCUCCACAACAUCCUCCAUCUGUUCUGCGAAUCCCUGGGAACCUGCCUUGCUCCCUAUGGGGUUGUCCAGAGACGAAGUCAUGGCCUCUCGCUGGGUCAUUACAGCCCUGGUAUCAAACAGCCGGUCAGGCAUUCCGAGUCCCGCCUUUAAUUCCAUGUCAUCAGUGUCACCAUCACUGCCUCUUGGCAAUUCCGCUUUUUCCUUUAGCUUUGCUGGACUCUUUACUAACUUUUUUUCUUUUUGUUCCUUUGAGGAUCCAGCUGGCUUUUCACCCUCUUUCAUUUUAUCACUUCUUUCAGGCUCAAUUUAAUCCUUCUUGCCUUUUAAUUCCUGUUCUUUCUCUCCUGUGUGUUUCUCAACAGCACACUUUGCUGCCUCCAUGCUUUUCAGCUUGCUGAAGACUUCUUCUACUGCCUCUGUCAUCUUAUGCAGGAUGUCAGUAGCUUGGUUAUGGGGUCCCUUGUCCCCACGCUCCCUGCAGGGGGCAAUCUGCAAAACCUCAGUAAGGGCAGCUCUAUGCUCCUGCUGAGCGUCCCUCAGGUUCUUAACCUGUGCAGCCAGGAAACUGUUUGUGCCUUGUUGUUUAGCCGUUGCCUGUACCACAGCUCUCAGCAGGUCCUCCAUUAUAGCACCAAGCAGGUAACAGUCUUAAAGGUACAGUGCUACUUGUUUGCGUAACAGGUCUGCAAAAAUAAAAGUCCUCAAGCAGACUACCAAAUGACUGGCACACCCACAGACCCUCACUGUGCUACUGUGCCCGCAUUCUCCACCAUAUUGUGAUCCUUGUUUGCAGGUAGCACGGCCCUCUAGGGUAAAAACAUGCACAGUCCUUGUAAUUGCAUAUACUCAGGCACUUUAUUUGCAAAUCCACACAGGAUACAGCAGAAAAUGAAAAACAAAAGUAACAGAAAACCCUAUAAACAAACACCUAGCUCGUCUGAGCACUAACUGACAUUAGUUCCCUAUCUCUCAGGGUUAAACUAAACACAAUAUUGCACCAACCUUAUUAGUUAGCAACACUCUGCUGCCUAGCCUGUUGCAUUCCUUUCUGCACUCCCAGUGCUCCAAGCCAGCCUUGCCCUGACUGCUUUGCUUUCUGCACUCCCAGUGCUCCAAGCCAGCCUUGCCCUGACUGCUUUCCUUUCUGCACUCCCAGUGCUCCAAGCCAGUCUUGCCCUGACUGCUUCCUUUCUGCACUCCAAGUGCCUAGUCACCUUGACUAUCUGGAGAGAACAGCCUCUCUCUCCUACCUGCUUCCUGGGAGGAAGCCAGCAAUCCCUCUCCUUUUCCUGCCUAGCCGGGAGGAGUUUAUUCCCACUGCAACAGCUGAUUACCUGCAGCUGAGCAGUGGGUUGGAGACAGUCCAAAAAACCCUGGCCUGGAUCUAUGUCUCCCCAGAAAACCACUAAACUGUGGAGUGGAGCAUUGGCCCACCCUUCUCUCCAAAUGCUCCACCCCAGGGGCCCAUAACUAAACAAUGUGUUGUGUUGUGCAAAACACAAACUACACAUACUCCCCCUGGGGUUAAAAGGCCUAUCUGCCUUCACUUUAUCACAAUAUAUAUAUAUAUAUAUAUAUAUAUAUAUAUUCUAAAUCCCUCUUAGUCUUACAUGGAUACAUAUGGCAUCCUUCACAGUUGUCACAUGUUAAGAUCCAUUCAACUAUUUGCCUGUUUUAAUCCUCCAGUGUUGGUGUUUAACUAUUGAUGCCAAAAUAAACUUCAAAUUAGGAGGCUCUAGAAAAGAUAAUGUUGAAUUAUCACAGAAUCUUAUAAAUUCUGGAUCCCCUGUCAGAAUAUCCCAAAGGUUUUUUUUGUUUUUUUUAAUAAUGGGUAUGACAGUAUUAUAUUGAUUUCUGAAUUUGGUGAUGAAGGCUGGUCUAUUCCGAUCCAUAACAGAUCUCUUUAGAACCUUUCUCACCAAGGUCUGAGACGUAGGUAAAGUCUGUUCUUUAUCCAUGGCUGUAUCUAACAAAUCCACACUAUUUCCUUUUGUCAAAAAAUAAUGUUUUAUCUCCAGCAUUUGGGAUUUACAAAACUGGGUCUCAGAGCAGUUACAUGCUAUUUUCCUAAAUUGGUUAUAUGGAAUAUUGUUGAGCCGUAUUUUCUCAUGGAGACUGUGAGCAGGUAUGAAACUGUUACAAUCCACCGUUUUUCUAAAGAUUUUCGUAUGUAGGUAAGAGUGUCAGGACUUCCCUUCCAAAAACAAAUUGCAAUUGUCAAUGUAACUUGUUUGUUCAGUAAAGUAUCUGUUUUUAUGGAAAGCACUAUGGUAUUCUGCAGAUUAUUUAAUAUUUGCCCAAGUGGAUCAUCAUUAUAAUGACACUUUUGGGACUUAUAGUGGCCAUUUUUAUUUAUUUCCUAUUAUUUUUGCUAUUAUAGCUUUUGUUAUUGUGAUUUAUAGCUCUGGUCUAUACCAUGGUCUAAGAUGAUUUGUUCAUUCUGUUCUUUGCUGUAGUCUGUUUAUUUAUUAUUAUUAUUAUUUAAUUUAUAUAGCGCCACCAGAUUCCGUAGCGCUGUACAAUGGGUGGACUAACAGACUGGACGUACAGGAACAGAGAGGUGGAGGGCCCUGCUCAAUGAGCUUACAUUUAUUUAUGAGAGUUUGUGGUCACUCUUUAGACCUUUGAACUUAUUUUUUAUUUACUUUUAUUGUUUUUAUUUGUACUGAAUAUUUUUAACUUUAUAUUUGAUUCCCCCCAUCUUAAAUAUUAAGAUAAUAUAAUACACAUUAGAACAGUUGUCAAUACUUAGAAUAAAUAAAUAAGACUUAUAAGGACUUUCCCGUGCUAUGUCAACUAUUACAUUGCGUGGGAGAGUUCUGAUUGGUUAGUUAGUAAGUUCAAGAGUGUUCUGACUUGAGAAAGAAUCACUGACCAUGGCUGAUCUGUCCACCCACUAUUAUUUUUUCAUUGUCCUCCAUCCAAUACCCAUGGGUGGUGACAAUGGGGACCAUGAGAUCAGGCCUUUUUAGUUUUAGAAGAUAUGGUUGGUUCAGGCAAAAUGCCUUCAUUAUAGUCUGAUUGAUCCCCAAAAGAUUUUUAUUAUUGAUUUAUUUUUGUUUUACUUUUUUAAUUUGCCAGCUGGCUAGAAAGUGCUGACCAGCCUCCACAUAAUUAAUCGUUGCGCCAACUAGGGAUAUUUAAUUAUUUGUCUGCUGGUUGUUUUCUGGGUCUGGAUUUGAAGCCUCUGAGCAUAAAUUUGAUUCAUUUGGUGCAAAUUUCAGCCAUCUGGAGGCAUUUGGUCUGUCUGAAAUUGGGAACAAAUUCAGGCCUGUUUGGGUCUUCAUCUCCAAAACCCGGAGAUCAUUAAAUUAAAUAGCUUAAACAAUGUCUGGAUUUUGCAGUACGAUAAAUACCGUAUGCAAAAUGAUUUUGCCAUAUACAAUAGUAAAAAUAGACAUUGUUUUUCUUUAGGCUAAAUCAAUGCUAUGUUAAUCAAUUAUAUCUUAGAGGUGCUAUACUUUUAUUUGUAGAUGGAAUGCUGCUGAGAAAAAAUAGCAUCUUAAUAACAUUGGUAUUAUUGAAUUUGGAUAAAAAGCAAAAUAAAAGUGCAAUACAAAGAAAAUGUUUAAUUGGCAUGCUAACAUCGCUAAUAAUUAGCCUCAGACCCCAAAAAUCUUUAUAUUUUUACUAAAGGUAGUGUGGGUAAUUUUCACACUAGACGAUUAUGGUGAUGUCCUGAUGCAAAUUAAAAUUAAAAUGCAUUAAAUCAGGAGGCUUAUCCUGUAGCCCUAGAAUUAGUAGAUAUGCCCACAAAAAUGUAUCUUUAAUAGAUGGCAAACUCAUGUUUCAAAUAAGAGUGGGUUUGGAAGUACUCUAAUCAUGUGAUCAUCUGAUUUGAUAUGGAGACCUUUACAGUAAGGGGUGUAUAAAACUUAAAUCAUUCCAUUAGGUACACAUAUAAAAGUCCUUGUUUGAAAUAGAAAGGUUUUUGAAGCCAACCAAUAACAGAGACGUGUUUAACCAGUUUCAUAGUUAUUUUCAUUGACACAUCUAUGCACAGUAAACAUAUUCACAAACCAUGGACUGUUGGUUUGUCCUCCAGGUCUGAAGAUCACUGUCCUUUCAUGUCAGAUAUAUGUAUAUAUAUAUAUAUAUAUAUAUAUGUAUAUAUAUGUUACGGUACCCUCAGCAUCAAAUGUACAGACCGCCAUUUAGUGAAUACUCCCCUAUCGCAAUAACACAGGCUUCAUUCGUAUCCAGUACAAUCAUACGAACCGCAAGCAGGGGAACGCUGUAAUCUCACAAACGGGACCUGUACAGGGCACUUCACUUCACGAGCUCCAAACUCACGAAUCGCCAAUAGUAGCCGAACGCAUAUAUCUCCCAAGCGGCUAAUAAUCCCAUCCAGCAGUCUCUAGUCGUCGGUAAUAAAUACCCCCAAUAACGAGACCAAGCUCUGCAUUGAGGGUAAAACAUGAACCGGCUUUACUGUGGGCUACCUGCCCGUAUUUAUGCAGGUCUCCCACUUGGUGGACACUCCCCUAGGGGACCAAAUGGGAGACUGUAACAAUAGACAGACAUAUGGCAGGUUAGGACCCACAGACACAGAAUAUUCCCAGCAUGCAUUAGUAUUUCCUCCCCUCUUCCCUGGAGAUAAUUGAGAAGUAAUUCAAUUAUCUCCAGGACAGAGGCAAAUCGCCAUUUUAAAUUCAACACAGAAAAACACAUAAAAAUAUAUAACUUUACAUUUGUCGAAUUUUACCUAUUCGUAUCACAUAUCCCCAGAUAGCCUGGAUCUGAGUGCAUAUUAUUGGCGAAUAGCGCUCAGAUCCCAUACGUAUAGUUCAAUCGCCAUGGAGUCAAAGUCUAUUACAGUCUUUCGGUAUGCGAUUGACUCCAUGGGAAGGCUAUCUGGGUUAAGUCCAUUCGUGCGUUUAAAACUCCCGAACGGCCUGUGUUCGUAUACUUCUGUCGAUUGAGAAGGGAGGUCGGCGGCUUCAGCGGUGUUCGGCGUAAAAAGUGUCCGUUUUCAGUUCCAUGAAAUCAAUGCCGAACACCACUGGUCUUUCGCAGGGUUUAAAAUGGCCGCCCCCCCGUGGUCGACAUACGAACGACGACCACCCUGUAUUCGGUUUUAAUUUAGAAGUGUCUGCGGUUAACCACAACGUUCUAAUUGGGAUCAAGAGGUUAACCAGCAGCACACUUCUCUUCUGGGUGGCCGUCCGUUCGGUAGUUUGUUCGGCAAAAAACAUCCAUUAUAUGAACAGAGGCAUACGAAUGAGUAAUUCCAUGAAAACGGCAAAACAGACGAACCAGCAAUCCCAGGUUAUACAGAUGGAUCUGUCACUAUAUAUAUAUAUAUCUUUAUUGUAGUAAUUUGCCCAAUUGUGAGUUUUGUGUAGAGCACCUAUUUCCUAGUCAUCGGACCUGAAUGAAUAAGAAUUAACUGUUAAACAUUUUGUGUGGGUGGCAUUAUUCAUCUAUACAAAAGAGUUGAUUUAGUUGCUGUGCUAUACCCAUUCUGCAAGGCAUUGUGUAACCAUAAAGAAAAUAGUUGAGUCAAAGUGAUAUGAACUCAGACAUUGUUUGCUUGUUAGUUAUGAUCAGACAAUGAAAGCAUUGUCUCCGGUGACAUUUAUGUUGACGUUCCAGUUUGUCCUACUAUUAAAAGGCUUGAAAAGAUUUGCAGUGAAGACAAAGAUAUAAUGGUUAGCAUUAUGUCAGAUAUAUCAAUAUCUUCUCUUCUCUCUGUGGAAUUCUGAAACAAUCUCACUCCCACACAGAAGAACGAAUCAAUCAUUUGAAGUACACAUAUAAGGAACAUAAAUAUGGAAUAGGCAGCUUGUGUGUGUGUGUGACCUGUAUGUGCAUAUGUGUUUGGUGCUGCACCUUCCCUGGCCAACAAAUCAGGGCAUUAUGAAUCAGUGCUAAAGCUGUUAACAUUGAAGAAGUCAGAAUUCCAAUUGCCCUCCUCCGCAAUAAGGAUUCUUUAGGGAAAUGUGUAUUUUUAUAUAAUGACUUCAAUGCUCUUAUUUCUACAGAAAUAUUCAAUAUUUAAUGCUUUUUCACUACCGUCUACACAUUUUAAAACAUUCUUGGCCCUUCUGUCAGCGAUCGAGGUUAAGGGGGUAGAAAUGUUUGUGUUUAAUUCACAGAAUAUUUUAAAACCAAUCUGCACCUUUCAAGAGGCUUUUAGCUAUUUGCAGACUUUCUGGCAAAACGUAUACAAGCAUUAACGCUAUUAAGGAGCAUUCACAACAAACUUCAGAUGCAUUUUAUGAAUCAUGCGAGCUUAGAAAGAGAGGUGUCAUUGAUUGAUCCAUUAUUCAUGGUCCAUCUUUUCAGCUGUUUCUCUAAGUGCCUCUUAGAAAUGAAAUUAUAAAAGCUAAAUCAUAUCUUUAAUCCUAUCAUGGAAUCUGUUUGCACAGAUGCAGUCUCUGGAAUGUUGAAAAGGCUCUCACUUACUGUAAUAAAUACCAUUUUUAUUUUGAUAAUACAAGAGCUUGUAUUUAGAAAUGCAUCCAUACACACACAACCAGCAUAAAGGUUUUGUGCUGAAUUAUCUGUUUGUAAGAUUAUUGGCAUUGCUAACAGGAAUCACAUGUGGCAUUUCUAAAUGAAAGUAACUAAAAAGAAACAAAACAUGCACAUUUAUUCGGAGAGAGAAAAUAAUGUUUGUACUGAAAAUAGAUAUGUGUUUGAUUGUUCAGAAAUGAUUUUGUAAAAUGCACAUUUUAAAAAAAAUGGUAUAACAUUCAUUGUAUAAACAAAAUAGCAUUACAAAGACAUAUCACAACCUUUCAAUAAUGAUGUUCUAGAGCAGGGUUCUCCAAACUCAUGCCUUUCAGAUGUUGCUGAGCAACAACACCCAUGAUCUUCUGGCUUCCUAUUUCAUUCAAAGAAUCAUGGGAGUUGUAGUUUAGCAGCCUCUGGAGGGCCAGCGUAUGGAGAAUCAUGAGGCAAUCUGCAAGAAAAUGGCCAGGGUGAGAUUUUGUACUUCGUUGUAUAGCUUGAAAUCUUAGUUGAGGCACUGAAUGCCCACAAACCUAAAAUGUUUUGCUAGGGGAUAUUGUUGUUUGUUAGUAUGUAUAGUGCUUUUAUUUUCCCCUAUGGCGAACGGUCAGAGGCCUUGAGGUCUGACCAACAUAGCCCAAGCCACAGGGACAUUUGAGGAGAUAAAUUAUCUGAUCAGAUUGGCAAUUGAGAAACUCCUUGAUCUUUUUGACUGUUCUAUGAUGGGUGAAACAUCUGCCAACCACAACACACUAGAAGAAGCUACCAAGGCUUUUAGACCUCUUGUAAGCCAUGAUGAGCUUAUCACGAAAGAAGUCCCUAUUCUUGGAAUCACUUUGAAAUAUUUGCAAAUGCUUGUUGAUGACAUCUUGGACAAAGCCUGAAGUGUGACAGAAAGACCUAGUUGUCGACAUCGCCUCAAACCAAUGGUCCACGAUUUUUUAAAUAACCCAUGACUGCACCAUUAAUACAUAUUAUCUAGAAGCAGCUCAAUGGCUGUAAGUGAUCAGUUGACAGCUUAGAAGUUUCCAGCUUUUCAUUAUUAUUAGUGAAGACAGAGAUCGGCACUCGGCUGACUCGAGGCAAGAACUCAAACCAUUCAGAAACAGAGUGAUUACUUUCCAUGGAAGGGUACACCACCCCACUGAGCACACCAAAUGAGCUAUAAUGCUUAUGCUGUUUGCAGACCUGAGGAGAAACCCAUAUCCUCCAGCUUUAGCAGAUCGGUAAAAAAGAGUCGAGCAAAACUGACAAAUAGAAAAUCUAAUUUUAUUUGCUCAGGACCAUUAUGAUCACCAUGUCAAAUUGAGAGGAAUGUUGGAACACUUUACUGCUUCUUCCUCCCUAACUAUAACACAGUUCUCACAGUUGUAUUUUUCUAGCAACCUUAAAAGAACUGUGUGGGCUUUGAAAAGAAUUUGGUGUAGAGUGUGUGGGAUUCUGCCUAAUGGAUGCCUUGACAGCAUUUGGCAUGGUGGCAACAUUUACCAUCUAGAAUGUAACCCAGAUGUUACUGUCAGUUUUUAUACAUUAUGUUUUCUGGCUUGAAACCAGCAUGUAAUCACUAACAUUAGUAACAGCUAUUUCAGCGAUUACUGACUUGUAGGUAAAUGAUUAAUACCAGCAUGUAAAUGAGCCUAUGUUAAACUCUGACACCUGCAGUAAGGAAACAAUUAUGUAUUUAGUGUGAGUACUGGACUAUGUCACACCAUGAGUUUGUCACUUCUUUUAUGAUUAAUAGAUUUCAUCCAUUAUUAUUAUAAUGCCAUUUUCCACACAGUUCUCCCACCACCCCUCACUAAUCAGUUAUUUUGCCCCUGUCGCAUGUCUUCUUCCCUCAUUAAGUGCUUAUUCAUCAAUCAAUAGUUAUACAUCCCCUUACUCCCAUUUAUUAAGAGAUAUUAUGUUAAAUUCAAAAUAACUCAUAUAUCAUACAUCAUAUCUUCCAAGUUUUAAAGUUUUAAAGACUGAAUUGAUGGGCUCUACACACUUUGCCCCAAGAGAUACUGUGCCUUGUUAAAAACUAGCUAAAUCUCCAGUAAGCAGGACAGAAUGGAAACAAGUUAUAAGUAUAGACAGUCAUAUGUUUUGGUUUUUUUAAUCCACUUAUCUGUUAUUUUAACAAUGCCAAAUUUUUUUUUUUUUACAACAAAAAGUCAGCCUCCAAUUUACACUUUAUAUACGUUGAAUGCUACUUAAAUAUAUUGUGUAAGAGGACCCUCUACAAAGCACAAUAAUAUCAUUAAGGAGUUCCUCUUACUGAUUCACAAAGAAGAUAAACAUAAUCUAAACUAGCAUAUAUACAAUUGAGUGAACAAAUUGAGGUUGUAUAUUUUUGGGGCUUAUACAUAUUACAUUUUGGAAAGAAUAUGUGGCCAGACCUUUAGUAAGUUAGUACUAUUUUGAUGAAAUUCUUCUAAUGCAGGAAAAAAGCACAAAAUAAUUUAUAUCCAUUUUUGGCAAAAGAACAAACAAGAAUCCACCCGAGUGAUUUUUAUGCAUAAAACUCUUUGCAUAUAUUUACAGCAGUUAUAAUCUUUACGGUGCAUAGUAAAGCCAUUGGCUUUUAGCCAUUCCACAUAACUUGUAGGUAGAAUAUAUUAAAGGAUCAUGCAAUGUCUAUUGUACUAUAUUUCGCAUCAGUCUAAUUCUCUGAACCAAUACCACUUUACAUAGUCUGUUAUUGUUAAAUUAUUUUUUAUAAGAUAGGGGCACACAUUUAUUUCUUACAGUAAUAUUUUGUGAGGAUGCUUUAAAAAAAAAAAAAAAGUUUAAUUUAAGUUGACGUUAGGUGCUCCUAAGAAAAAAUAAUAAUGGUUAUGUAAAGUUGUGCAAAGUUUAACUAUUUAUGUGUAUUUAUGUGUAUAUCCCUGAACGGUCCAAAGAACGAUGGUCCACGGGAUCCUCAGCGGUCAGAAAGCCAGAAGUGGCUGGAGAUGCGACCCUGCUGUCGUCCAGCCCUGCCAAAACCCGUGAAAACUGCUGGCGACCCUUACAUGGAGGUCUGCGCCUUGUCCAUGGAAGUGAACAGCUCACGUGCUUGUGCAGUUCUAAAAUGAAUGGUUCCCCCAAUAGCAGACCUAAUUCCUUUGACCCAAAGUUCGACAAUAUGUUGUCCAUCCUUAAAAGAAUCGCCUUCCUGCGUUCCGUGGAGAGGGCCAUGUUUGUGUUGCCCCUCAGGCAAAUGGAGCGCAAGGCCCAGUCCUGUAUGGUGGCAGGGUCCAGGGUAGCUCCUUCCAGGUAGGCCUCAUCAGCCAUCAUUAGCAUCCUGCACAGGGGACCCAGCAUGUCCCGUAGUUUGUCCUGUGCCAAACAGAAGCUGCGCUUGACCCCUUCUUGAGAUCAUGCCCCAUUUGGGNNNNNNNNNNNNNNNNNNNNNNNNNNNNNNNNNNNNNNNNNNNNNNNNNNNNNNNNNNNNNNNNNNNNNNNNNNNNNNNNNNNNNNNNNNNNNNNNNNNNUAAUGCUAUUAUCAAAUAUAAUUUUACUUGGACAACAAAUUAAUUUAAAUAUCCAGGAGUAACAAUAUCAGCCUAGAUUGAGAAUACGCUGGAAAUAAAUCUUCUCAGCCUAAGUAGAUACACCAACAAGUCUUUAAAAGUAAUAGCAAUCCAAUCGGGGACAAUCCGCACUUUCGGUAUAUUACUGUCUAUGUAGUGUAAAAACUGUGGGAGGAGUUAGGGUGGUAAAUUUGGCUAUAAUAAGAAUAAUAAUAACUAGAAAAGCUACAAUUUCUGGGGAAAUUGUGUGAAGUGUUCUUGCCUCCACCAGUAGUCUACAACUGGAGUGGGCGGAGUAACUGUUAUCAUUUACAUAGCACAUUUAAUUGCAACGUUGUUGCACAGUUACAUUAAACCAUACAUUCAUAAAAACAUUAGCAGGUGUUCAAAAGGCCCUGUCUAUGACAUCACUUGCUGCUGCAGCCUGGCACAGGUCAGAGUAUUUUGGUGGUUGCCAUCUUCAAACGGUCGUAUUUUAAAAACUAUACAUCCUACAGCGAAGAGCUUUAUAUUGCAACUAUCAGGACUAUGGCUUAGCCGUUGACAUGUUUAGUGGCAGCAGGGAUAGCUGAACGUUUUGAUAUAAGAUUUGUGUAGGUGGGCUUGAAAAUGAGGGAGUGGUGGCAGUUUAGAAAUCAUGUCCUGAUUUUUCAGCUUUUGCCAGCUCCCACUCUAGCUUUGCCAUUCAUUCCUAUGGGACAAAUCUCGCCACAAGAACGACGAUAUUCCGUGAACCAUUCAGCAAAACGUUCCACAAAGUAAUAGCAAUCCGAUCGGGAACAAUCUGCACGUUUUGGUAAAUUUUUGUCUAUGUAGUGUAAAAACUGUGGGAGGAGUUAGGGUAGCAAAUUUUGCUAUAAUAAUAAUAAUAAUAAUAUAUAUGUGAGAUAACAUUAAGUGGUCUUGCUAUGCAAGAACACUUAAUAACUAGAAAAGCUACAAUUUCUGGGGAAAUUGUGUGAAGUGUUCUUGCCUCCACCAGUAGUCUACAGCUGGAGUGGGCAGAGUAACUGUUAUCAUUAAGUGUUCUUGCAUAGCAAGACCACUUAAUGUUAUCUCAUAUAUAUAUUUAAGUGUUCUUGCAUAGCAAGACCACUUAAUGUUAUCUCACAUAUAUAUUAUUAUUAUUAAGUGUUCUUGCAUAGCAAGACCACUUAAUGUUAUCUCACAUAUAUAUUAUUAUUAAGUGUUCUUGCAUAGCAAGACCACUUAAUGUUAUCUCACAUAUAUAUUGUUAUUCUUANNNNNNNNNNNNNNNNNNNNNNNNNNNNNNNNNNNNNNNNNNNNNNNNNNNNNNNNNNNNNNNNNNNNNNNNNNNNNNNNNNNNNNNNNNNNNNNNNNNNGUAGGAGUUACAGUUUGUAAGAUACGACCGUUUGAAGAUGGCAACCGCCAAAAUACUCUGACCUGUAUCAAGCUGCAGCAGCAAGUGAUGUCAUAGACAGGGCCUUUUGAACACCUGCUAAUGUUUUUAUAAAUGCAUGGUUUAAUGUAACUGUGCAACAAUGUUGCAAUUAAAUGUGCUAUGUAAAUGAUAACAGUUACUCCGCCCACUCCAGUUGUAGACUACAGGUGGAGGCAAGAACACUUCACACAAUUUCCCCAGAAAUUGUAAAUUUUCUAGUUAUUAUUAUUCUUAUUAUUAUAGCAAAAUUUGCCACCCUAACUCCUCCCACAGUUUUUACACUACAUAGACAAAAAUUUACCAAAGCGUGCAGAUUGUUCCCGAUCGGAUUGCUAUUACUUUGUGGAACGUUUCGCCGAAUGGUUCACGGAAUAUCGUCGUUUUUGUGGCGCAAUUUGUCCCAUAGGAAUGAAUGGCAAAGCUAGAGUGGGAGCUGCCAAAAGCUGAAAAAUCAGGACAUGAUUUCUAAACUGCCACCACUCCCUUAUUUUCAGGCCCACCUUCACAAAUCUUAUAUCAAAACGUUCAGCUAUCCCUGCUGCCACUAAACAUGUCAACGGCUAAGCCAUAGUCCUGAUAGUUUUCACAAUAUAAUCAUUUGUUUGCAAGCAGGGCCGCCAUCAGGGGGUGACAACCAUAACGGUUGUCACGGGCCCAGCGGCCCUGGGGGGCCCGGCCGCCCGGGCCCCAUAUUUGGGGCCCAUCGGGUGGCCCACACACUUAGGGCCACCCGAUGGGCCCUAUAUCUUCAGUGGCACCGUCAGCGCUGUGGCCGCGCCCGGGCCCCUUUAAAAAAAAAAAAAGCCGCAAGUGCUGCUGGGAGGAAGUGGUCACUUCCUCCCAGCCCACUCCGCACGGUUGGCAGUGAAGAGGGAGCCGCGCCGACUCCCAUCAUCCCCAGCCACCCUCCUGCAAAGAAAAGGUAAGAGACAGGAGGGUGGCUGGAAAAUGAGCUGUGUGUAUGUAUGCAUGUAUGCAUGUAUGUCUGUAUGUCUGUCUGUAGGCAUGCAUGUAUGUCUAUGUAUGUAUGUCUGUCUGUGUAUGUAUGUCUGUCUGUAUGCACGUAUGUCUAUGUAUGUAUGUAUGCCAUUAUGAAUGUAUGUCUGUUUAUGUCUGUAUGCUAUUAUGAAUGUAUGUGUGUAUGGAUGACAGUGUCAGUGUGUCUGUGUGUGUUUAUGUAUGUAGGUAUGUCGGUGUCUGUAUGUAUGUAUGUAUGUGUCUUUAUGUCCUCAUGCAUGUGUGUCUGUAUGUAUGUUAGUAUGUGUCUGUCACUAUGUAUGCCUGUGUGUAUGUCUCAGUAUGUAUGCCUGUAUGCGUGUAUGUCUGUUUCAGUAUGUGUGUCUGUUAGUAUGUAUCUCUGUCUUUUUGUAUCAGUGUGUGUGUUUGUGUCUGUGUGUGUAUUCCUGUGGGCGGUAUUUGGAGGCAGACCCAGUGGGCGGUAUUUGGAGGCGGGCCCCAGGGGUCCCAGACCCUGAGCUGAGUUAGGGGCCCCAAAAUUUCUGGUGGCGGCCCUGUUUGCAACUAACGCCGUCCAUUGACAUUCAGUGAAACAAAGCUCAAAUUUGAAGUGCAAUUUCUAAACUACGACUGUGCCUUAAUUUUUAAUACUUCAGAGACAUACUAUGCAUCAAAAUGUAGGUCUGGGUCUUGUGAUUCUCUCAAUAUAAAGCUCUUCCCUGUAGGAUUUAUAGUUUUUACAAUACGACCGUUUGAAGAUGGCAACCGCCAAAAUACUCUGACCUGUGCGAGGCUGCAGCAGCAAGUGAGGUGAUAGACAGGGCCUUUUGAACACCUGCUAAUGUUUUUAUAAAUGUAUGGUUUAAUGUAACUGUGCAACAACGUUGCAAUUAAAUGUGCUAUAUAAAUGAUAACAGUUACUCCGCCCACUCCAGUUGUAGACUACUGGUGGAGGCAAGAACACUUCACACAAUUUCCCCAGAAAUUGUAGCUUUUCUAGUUAUUAUUAUUAUUAUAGCCAAAUUUACCACCCUAACUCCUCCCACAGUUUUUACACUACAUAGACAGUAAUAUACCGAAACGUGCAGAUUGUUCCUGAUUGGAUUGCUAUUACUUUGUGGAACGUUUCGCCAAAUGGUUAACGGAAUAUCGUCGUUCUUGUGGCGAAAUUGGUCCCAUAGGAAUUUAUGGCAAAAUGUUCAAACCUAGAGUGGGAGCUGACAAAAGCAGAAAAAUCAGGACAUGAUUUCUAAACUGCCACCACUCCCGUAUUUUCAGGUCCACCUACACAAAUCUUAUAUCAAAACGUUCAGCUAUCCCUGCUGCCACUAAACAUGUCCACGGAUAAGCCAUAGUCCUGAUAGUUUUCACAAUAUGACCAUUUGUUUGCAACUCAUGCUGUCCAUUGACAUUAAUUGAAACUCCACUCUAGCCAGCUCAAAUUUGAAGGGCAAUUUCUAAUCUGCGACUGUGCCUUCAAUUUUAAUACUUCAGAGACAUAUUAUGCAUCAAAAUGUAGGUCUGGGUCUUGUGAUUCUCACAAUAUAAAGCUCUUCGCUGUAGGAUUUAUAGUUUUUAAAAUACGACCGUUUGAAGAUGGCAACCACCAAAAUACUCUGACCUGUGCCAGGCUGCAGCAGCAAGUGUUGUCAUAGACAGGGCCUUUUGAACACCUGCUAAAGUUUUAUAAAUGUAUGGUUUAAUGUAACUGUGCAACAACGUUGCAAUUAAAUGUGUUAUAUAAAUGAUAACAGUUACGUCGCCCACUCCAGUUGUAGACUACUGGUGGAGGCAAGAACACUUCACACAAUUUCCCCAGAAAUUGUAGCUUUUCUAGUUAAGUGUUCUUGCAUAGCAAGACCACUUAUUGUUAUCUCACAUAUAUAUUAUUAAGUGUUCUUGCAUAGCAAGACCACUUAAUGUUAUCUCACAUAUAUAUUAUUAAGUGUUCUUGCAUUUGCUUAUUAUUAUAGCAAAAUUUGCCACCCUAACUCCUCCCACAGUUUUUACACUACAUAGACAUAAAUUUACCAAAACGUGCAGAUUGUUCCCGAUCGGAUUGCUAUUACUUUGUGGAACGUUUCGCCGAAUGGUUCACGGAAUAUCGUCGUUUUUGUGGCGCAAUUUGUCCCAUAGGAAUGAAUGGCAAAGCUAGAGUGGGAGCUGGCAAAAGCUGAAAAUCAGGACAUGAUUUCUAAACUGCCACCACUCCCUUAUUUUCAGGCCCACCUACACAAAUCUUAUAUCAAAACGUUCAGCUAUCCCUGCUGCCACUAAACAUGUCAACGGCUAUGCCGUAGUCCUGAUAGUUUUCACAAUACAAUCAUUUGUUUGCAACUAACGCCGUCCAUUGACUUUCAUUGAAACUUCACUCUGCAAAACUCAAAUUUGAAGUGCAAUUUCUAAACUGCGACUGUGCCUUCAUUUUUAAUACUUCAGAGACAUACUAUGCAUCAAAAUGUAGGUCUGGGUCUUGUGAUUCUCACAAUGUAAAGCUCUUCACUGUAGGAGUUACAGUUUUUAAGAUACGACCGUUUGAAGAUGGCAACCGCCAAAAUACUCUGACCUGUGUCAAGCUGCAGCAGCAAGUGAUGUCAUAGACAGGGCCUUUUGAACACCUGCUAAUGUUUUUAUAAAUGUAUGGUUUUAAUGUAACUGUGCAACAACGUUGCAAUUAAAUGUGCUAUGUAAAUGAUAAGUUACUCCGCCCACUCCAGUUGUAGACUACAGGUGGAGGCAAGAACACUUCACACAAUUUCCCCUGAAAUUGUAACUUUUCUAGUUAUUAAGUGUUCUUGCAUAGCAAGACCACUUAAUGUUAUCUCACAUAUAUAUUCUUAUUCUUAUUAUAGCCAAAUUUGCCACCCUAACUCCUCCCACAGUUUUUACGCUACAUAGACAAAAAUUUACCAAAACGUGCAGAUUGUUCCCGAUCGGAUUGCUAUUACUUUGUGGAACGUUUCGCCGAAUGGUUCACGGAAUAUCGUCGUUCUUGUGGCGCAAUUUGUCCCAUAGGAAUGAAUGGCAAAGCUAGAGUGGGAGCUGCAAAAGCUGAAAAAUCAGGACAUGAUUUCUAAACUGCCACCACUCCCUUAUUUUCAGGCCCACCUACACAAAUCUUAUAUCAAAACGUUCAGCUAUCCCUGCUGCCACUAAACAUGUAAACGGCUAAGCCAUAGUCCUGAUAGUUUUCACAAUAUGAACAUUUGUUUGCAACCAACGCCGUCCAUUGACAUUCAUUGAAACUUCACUCUGCAAAGCUCAAAUUUGAAGUGCAAUUUCUAAACUGCGACUGUGCCUUCAAUUUUAAUACUUCAGAGACAUACUUUGCAUCAAAAUGUAGGUCUGGGUCUUGUGAUUCUCACAAUAUAAAGCUCUUCACUGUAGGAGUUAUAGUUUUUAAGAUACGACCGUUUGAAGAUGGCAACCGCCAAAAUACUCUGACCUGUGUCAGGCUGCAGCAGCAAGUGAUGUCAUAGACAGGGCCUUUUGAACACCUGCUAAUGUUUUUAUAAAUGUAUGGUUUAAUGUAACUGUGCAACAACGUUGCAAUUAAAUGUGCUAUGUAAAUGAUAACAGUUACUCCGCCCACUCCAGUUGUAGAUUACUGGUGGAGGCAGUGUGGGUGGGCAGUGUGUAAAUGUGUAUGGUGUGUGUGUGUGGGCAGUGUGUGAAUGUGUAUGGUGUGUGUGUGUGGGGCAGUGUGUGUAUGGGGCUAGAGUUCACUCCUACACAAUUUCCCCAGAAAUUGUAGCUUUUCUAGUUAAGUGUUCUUGCAUAGCAAGACCACUUAAUGUUAUCUCACAUAUAUAUUAUUAUUAUUAUUAUUAUAGCAAAAUUUGCCACCCUAACUCCUCCCACAGUUUUACACUACAUAGACAAAAAUUUACCAAAACGUGCAGAUUGUUCCCGAUCGGAUUGCUAUUACUUUGUGGAACGUUUCGCCGAAUGGUUCACGGAAUAUAGUCGUUCUUGUGGCGCAAUUUGUCCCAUAGGAAUGAAUGGCAAAGCUAGAGUGGGAGCUGGCAAAAGCAGAAAAAUCAGGACAUGAUUUCUAAACUGCCACCACUCCCUUUUGUUCAGGCCCACCUACACAAAUCUUAUAUCAAAACGUUCAGCUAUCCCUCCUGCCACUACACAUGUCAACGGCUAAGUCAUAGUCCUGAUAGUUUUCACAAUAUAAUCAUUUGUUUGCAACUAACGCCGUCCAUUGACUUUCAUUGAAACUUCACUCUGCAAAGCUCAAAUUUGAAGUGCAAUUUCUAAACUGCGACUGUGCCUUCAAUUUUAAUACUUCAGAGACAUACUAUGCAUCAAAAUGUAGGUCUGGGUCUUGUGAUUCUCACAAUAUAAAGCUCUUCACUGUAGGAGUUAUAGUUUUUAAGAUACGACCGUUUGAAGAUGGCAACCACCAAAAUACUCUGACCUGUCAAGCUGCAGCAGCAAGUGAUGUCAUAGACAGGGCCUUUUGAACACCUGCUAAUGUUUUUAUAAAUGUAUGGUUUAAUGUAACUGUGCAACAAUGUUGCAAUUAAAUGUGCUAUGUAAAUGAUAAGUUACUCCGCCCACUCCAGUUGUAGACUACAGGUGGAGGCAAGAACACUUCACACAAUUUCCCAGAAAUUGUAACUUUUCUAGUUAAGUGUUCUUGCAUAGCAAGACCACUUACUGUUAUCUCACAUAUAUAUUAUUAUUAUUAUUAUUAUAGCAAAAUUUGCCACCCUAACUCCUCCCACAGUUUUUACACUACAUAGACAAAAAUUUACCAAAACGUGCAGAUUGUUCCCGAUCGGAUUGCUAUUACUUUGUGGAAAGUUUCGCCGAAUGGUUCACGGAAUAUCGUCGUUCUUGUGGCGAAAUUUGUCCCAUAGGAAUGAAUGGCAAAGCUAGAGUGGGAGCUGGCAAAAGCUGAAAAAUCAGGACAUGAUUUCUAAACUGCCACCACUCCCUUAUUUUCAGGCCCACCUACACAAAUCUUAUAUCAAAACGUUCAGCUAUCCCUGCUGCCACUAAACAUGUCAACGGCUAAGCCGUAGUCCUGAUAGUUUUCACAAUAUAAUCAUUUGUUUGCAACUAACGCCGUCCAUUGACAUUCAUUGAAACUUCACUCUACAGAGCUCAAAUUUGAAGUGCAAUUUCUAAACUGCGACUGUGCCUUCAUUUCUAAUACUUCAGAGACAUACUAUGCAUCAAAAUGUAGGUCUGGGUCUUGUGAUUCUCACAAUAUAAAGCUCUUCACUGUAGGAUUUAUAGUUUUUAAAUACGACCGUUUGAAGAUGGCAACCGCCAAAAUACUCUGACCUGUGUCAAGCUGCAGCAGCAAGUGAUGUCAUAGACAGGGCCUUUUGAACACCUGCUAAUGUUUUUAUAAAUGUAUGGUUUACAGUUACUCCGCCCACUCCAGUUGUAGACUACUGGUGGAGGCAAGAACACUUCACACAAUUUCCCCAGAAAUUGUAGCUUUUCUAGUUCUUAUUCUUAUUCUUAUUCUUAUUAUAGCCAAAUUUGCCACCCUAACUCCUCCCACAGUUUUUACACUACAUAGACCAAAAUUUACCAAAACGUGCAGAUUGUUCCCGAUCGGAUUGCUAUUACUUUGUGGAACGUUUCGCUGAAUGGUUCACGGAAUAUCGCUGUUCUUGUGGCGCAAUUUGUCCCAUAGGAAUGAAUAGCAAAGCUAGAGUGGGAGCUGGCAAAAGCUGAAAAAUCAAGACAUGAUUUCUAAACUGCCACCACUCCCUUAUUUUCAGGCCCACCUACACAAAUCUUAUAUCAAAACUUUCAGCUAUCCCUGCUGCCACUAAACAUGUCCACGGAUAAGCCAUAGUCCUGAUAGUUUUCACAAUAUGACCAUUUGUUUGCAACUCAUGCUGUCCAUUGACAUUAAUUGAAACUCCACUCUAGCCAGCUCAAAUUUGAAGGGCAAUUUCUAAUCUGCGACUGUGCCUUCAUUUUUAAUAUUUCAGAGACAUACUAUGCAUCAAAAUGUAGGUCUGGGUCUUGUGAUUCUCGCAAUAUAAAGCUCUUCGCUGUAGGAUUUAUAGUUUUUAAAAUCCGACCGUUUGAAGAUGGCAACCACCAAAAUACUAUGACCUGAGCCAGGCUGGAGCAGCAAGUGAUGUCAUAGACAGGGCCUUUUGUACACCUGCUAAUGUUUUUAUGAAUGUAUGUUUUAAUGUAACUGUGAAGCACUUUGGGCAACAACGUUGCAAUUAAAUGUGCCAUAUAAAUAAAUGUUGAAAUGCAUUUCUCACGCUAUCAAUAUCAGCAAUAUUGGUAUCUUUAGUGGCAGAUACAGAUAUUGCCGAAAAUACAGAAUAUCGGCCGAUAAUAUCGGUAAAACCGAUAAUCGCUCGAUCCCUAGUUGUAGACUACUGGUGGAUGCAAGAACACUUCACACAAUUUCCCCAGAAAUUGUAGCUUUUCUAGUUCUUCUUUAGAGAUGCCAGGCGUGAUGUAAAUCAUGUGUGUACAUUGUCGUAGAAACGAUGCAUUAUUAUAACGCAUGACAGGAAUGGUUUAAAAUAACACUGGUAUGGAGCAUUUAGCGUCACAAAAUAGGAAAGAAUGACGUGGUGUCAGUAUAAACCAGAGGAGAACUUGAUGCAAGGAUGGCACUAAGCAUCAGAAUGGGCUUGGAGGUUGCGCUUAUGUGAGGUGCUGUAGCCAAACAAAGGUAACCUAACAGACAUGAGCAAACAUUCAUACAUACAGAUUUAAAUAUACACUUAUGCACACACACACAUACACUUGAUGACAGCUGCAUACUGCAAUACUCACACAGAUAUCAAUUGAACACACCAACUUUAAGGCCCAAUUCACAAACCAUCUCUGCAACAAGCCUCUUCGAUUCUACUUGGCUCAACCCACCCACCCUGGUUCCUGCUAACUAUAUAGCAUGCUCUUCAAGCGGUUUGGAAACAGUCAAUCACCUUCACAUGUUAUCAUUGUAACGGACCAUUUUGCCCAAAAGAGGUUAACAACCGUUUAGGCGAUAUUCCCCUUUUUCAGCUGCACCGACAGCUACUGCAAGCACCAAUCUCCUGAACUGCAAACCCAUGAAUUCACCAACUCCUGAACUGCAUACCAAGGGAAUACUCGAAACUCUCUAACUGGAGACACACGAAUAGCUGCUAGCAGACGAACAGGAAAAGCCCCCAAGCGGCUUACACUCCUGGCAAUCAGUCUCUAACAGCAUACAGUAAAUCCUCCCCCCCAAUAAUGAGACGACACUUCACUUUGAGGGUUAACGAGGAACUGAUUUACUGGGGCUAUCUGCCCGGCUUUUAUGCAGGUCUCCCACCUGGUGGACACUCCCCUAGGGGACCAAAUGGGAGACUGGGACACAAAGGGUAAAAGGACCAAUCACAGACUUACACAUUUCAACCAUCCCACAAUGCAUCACAAUCCCUCCUCUCUGCUCUGGAGAUAAUUGGGAAGUAAUUCAAUUAUCUCCAAAGACAGAGGCAAAACUUAACCACAUGGCAGAAAACAAACAGUAAAAGACAUAAAAUUACCUACAGUUACGUUCAGUACAUAAAACAUAUACGUUCUACAUAUCCCCAGAUAGCUCAGGUCUGAGCGCACAUUAUUAAGCGAAUGGCGCUCAGACCACACGAAGACAGUUUAAUCGCCAUGGAGCCAAAGUCUUUACACAGUCAGUUUCAUGCGAAUGGGCUCCAUGGGAUUCUUAUCUGGGGUACAACACACUCAAACAAAUCUACCGAACACCCGGCAGAAAAGCACGAAUAAGUCCUUUCUGCAGGGAAAAAGAUGUCUUUUAACAUGGGGCCAUAGUCCAAAGGCAGCAGGCGAGCAACCAGGCUUCUCCAGUGUACAGUGGCGAGGUUGGUUUCGCCACAAUCAUUUACUGCAAUUAUAUGAUUAAUUCUCUCUGCCAUCAACUUCAAAUUCCUCUGCUACCUCUGGUCUCAUCUUCCCAUUUUAACCUUUAGAUUGUAAGCUCAUGGGCAGGGUCCUCUACCUGUUGUAUUGGUCUGUUUACAUUGUAUUGUCUAUUUCACAAGUGUACAGCGCUACAGAAUAUGUUGGCACUUUUUAUAUGCCAGUAAUAAAUAAAUAAAAUAAGUAAAUAUCCACAUUUAAUAAAAGCAAUACUAUCAUCAUCCCUCAACAGUUCCCAAGAGCAUCUGCUUUCAGGGCCUUCACAAACAUGAAUAUAAUAUUGUGUGGCCAAGAUUCAUACACUCCGCACAACUUAGAAUAGUGAGAGUGCAGCGUACUUAAAGCACACAGGCCAUGCAGGAGGAGGAGACAAAGAUGCACAUACUUGUCCAAAAGGCAUCAGCCUAGUAUACCUGAUGGCUAGCCUGACAAUAUCCUUUUUUUUUUUCAUUUCUACAGAUAUGACAAUUGGCACCAAAGAAGCGUAUGAUCCAUUCCCUUUUGAAGCUGCUCAAUGGCUCAGUUGCCAUGCAUUCUUGACAAAGUUUACUACUCAUAAGGCAGUAUACAAGUGUUUACUUGUUCCUUUAAAAACAUGUAAGUACAUUCUAUUGCCAUUCUUUCGAACUCUUAGUGGCUUAUUUAAGUUUCCAUAAUCAAAUAAAUGCUUUAUCCAUAAUGCAUGUUUUUUUAUGUCUGAAAUACUUUUUCUAAAUAUCCAUAACUCAUCUGAAAUUAUAUUCAAGGACCACUAUAGGCACCCAGACCACUUCAGCUUAAUGAAGCUUAAUGAAGUGGUCUGGGUGCCUUGUCCAGCUAGGGUUAACCCUUUUUUUUUUUUUUUUUAUAAACAGCAUUUUCAGAGACACUGCUAUGUUUCUAAAUAGGUUAAUCCAGCCUCUAGUGGCUGUCUCAUUGACAGCCACUAGAGGCGUUUGCGUGCUCUCACUAUGAAAAUCACAGUGAGAAGACGCCAUUAUGAAUGCUUUCCUAUGAGACUGGUUGAAUGCGCGCGCAGCUCCUGCCGCGCAUGCGCAUUCAGCCGAGGAGGAGGAGGAGAGGAGGAGGAGUUGACAUUAGACGCUCUGUAGUCAGCCUGUCUAAUACAGGUGGUUUGGGUCAGACUGUUUCUUGGUGUAAAUAGUUCAUGUCGGACACCGGUGUCCUGUCUUGACUAUCUAGGUGUAAAUUUUGGUCUCUAGGUCGGGGGGACCGGUAGACUAAACAGAUUCUGGUGUAACUUCCGUCUGCUAUUUCUCAACCUAUCUUGGCUAAGUGGGAGGCGUGUAAAUUCAACCACUAGACUAUUGAUAGAGUAAAUAGACUAAAUGAGUCCUUUUGUAAAUUCCGCUCACUAGUUCGCUAUAUGUGGUGCUUGGGCAGCGUAGACUAACUGAAUCCUGGUGUAAAUAGUUAGAUAGUUCUCAAGAUGCUGGCCAAUUAGAAUAGUUGGGAUUAUUGUAAAUAUUGUUAGAUAUACUGUAGUUGGUGAACUGGUGAAUUGGUUAAAUUUGUAUGUCUUGCUAGAAAGCUUGAGCUCUGCCAUCUAGUGGGAGUGUAAAUUGUGUGUAUAGUAUAAAAUAGCGAACGGUACCAUAACCACUGACAGGCACCAUAACCACCGACAUGCACCAUAACCACUGACUUGUACCAUAACUACUGAUAUUACGUGAAAAAUACUAAAAUUAUUGUUUAACCUUGCAUGUGUACUAACUGAUAUUGUAACUUUGAAACCAUAAUUGUCUAAACUGUACAAUAGUUACUAACAGUACCAUAACCACUGACUGUAGAGACGAAAUUGUUGAAAUGUUAUGCGAUCGGUUAGUUUAUGUGGAUUAAUAGUGUGGAUAACUGUAUGGUUUGAAUAAUAGUUACAUUGAUAAGUGUAUAGUCUUUGGUGGGUUUUUGAUUUAAUUUCGUGUGUGCGACAUCGUGAUAUUGUUGAGCAUGUGAGGAUCCUGUGCGUGUGUGUACGUGUAUGUUUGGGCAUAGUAACCGUGCCACGUGGUGCUGUUGCUAAGGUAACUGGUGUGACUGUUGAAACUGUUUGUAUAUUUGUACUGCUUCGAAUCAGACGCUCUGUUGAAAUCAUGGGUGCUUCUGAUUCACAAAUGGUCCUUUGUCUUGUAUGUUUUCAAAAAAACAAAAAAAAACUUUUCUAAGUAAUAUGCUGUUUGUGAUUAUGGUGUAACACUGUCCCCCAAAAGACUAAAAUACUCUGCGUAGCAGAGGACGGCCUGUUCUGGUAACCAGUGUUCCUGUGGAUCCUUGAUCCAGAUUUAAUACAGCAGUUUGACAUUGUUAUAAAUAAUAUGCUGGGGCUAUACGAGUAGUUUCUGUUUACAGAUUGUUGAAACACUGCUAAAUGGAUCUUACCCUAUGGUGACACCUACUGGUAGGUUUUUGGUUUACCACUUUUUUUUUUUCAUCCGCCAAAUGCUGACUAAUAAAAUUAGCUCACACCCUUCCACCUAUCUUACUACUCUCAGACCGGAACCUAUUACUGAGCAGCUUUGCCGAAGCCCCAUACUAACCUGACAAUUGACUGGCACCCUUCCAUCCCGACAUUGCCAGAUGCCUCUCCGACUUACACCGGGCCCAACACACGUUGAUGAAAAUGGUCAAAUACAACGGGCAGAUCCAGUGUUUGUCUAUGUCCCCUUCACCACAACUGAUCUAUUCAAUGGAGACUCAUAACCCUUCGUAUACCGACAAUCCUCAAGUCAUGACAGAUUUGGUUACCUCUAUUAUACAAACACACAAUCCCACCUGAGCUGAUUGUCAGCAAUUAUUACUGACCUUUGGAAUGUAAAUGGCGCUGACAUGAUCCAUCUAAAGGCCUAUCAACAAGCCAUUAUUGCUGGCAUGAAAGCAGGAGGAAAAAAGGCAAUUAACAUGUCCAGGACAGCUGAAGUGUUACAAAAAGCUAAUAAAUCACCCAGUGCUUUUUAUAAGAGACUGCUUGAGUCAAAUAGAUUGUACACUCCUUUCAAUCCUGAAGCCCCUGAAAACUUCCAAAUGAUUAACUCAGCAUUUGUCAGCCAGGCCCAGAGUGAUAUUAAGAGAAAGCUACAAAAAUUUGAGGGAUUUGCAGGGAUGUCUAUGUCACAGCUAGUGGAGGUUGCAAAUAAGGUGUAUGAAUAGGGAAACUGAGACAAAGCAUGAGGAGGAACGUAAAAUGAGGAAGAAGGCAGAUAUGCUAGUGGUAGCUAUCACAAGUGUAGAAAGACAGGGAAGGGAAGUGAAUAAAGGAGUCGAGAAUAGGCUGAGUAAGGGACCUUUUAAGUAGAAAUCAAAGUGCAUGUUGUAGAGAGGAAGGGCAUUGGAAGAGUGACUGACUGUCCACAGAGGGGAUAUAUUGCAGGUGGUACACAAGAAGAGAGAAGAGGGCAAGGUGGUUAUGGUAGUAGCUAUAGAGGAGGAGGUAGAGGAGGUUUUGGAGGGAAUAAUGGGAAUAGCAGAGGGAGUGUUCAGGGAGGUAGAUAUUAUCCACCUACCCAGAGACCUAGGGAUAGGGAAGAUAGAGAUUUUUGUAGGUCUGGCUGACACUGUCAUGGAAGACUAUUGAUACCGACCGGGCUCCAUCCCCCUUGGCCGAGCGGAGCCUAUGGUCGAUGUAACAAUAGGGGGAAAGAGAAGUCCUUUCAUGAUUGAUACAGGUGCUGAACAUUCUGUGGUGACUAAGUUGGUAGCUCCUCCUUCUGGAAAGACUGUAACUGUAAUAGGAGCUACUGGGAGAAGCACUGCUAGACCGGUUCUCAGGAGUCACACUUGCAUUUUAGGAGGCCAUUUUGUGAAGCACCAGUUCCUAUAUAUGCCAAAGUGUCCAAUUCAACUUCUAGGACGAGAUCUAUUAUUCUUGGCACCCAAUAAAGUGCCAAGAAUUAAGUUGCCUUAAGACAUGUUUGUGCCCAAGAGGACCGUGCUACCUACAGAUAAAGAUAUAUAUAAAAAUAAAUAACUGCUUCAACUCCCCAGACCGGGUGCACUACCAGGGCUCCAAAUGGCUGUAAUAGAAGGCUGCACUCACGGAAUCCAUAAAAUAUAACUUUUAAUCAUUUGAGGACUUUCAUCAGGAUUAUACAGACAAUGUGCAAAAAAACUAUAUAUUAGGUUACAAUAAAUUGUAAAUAGACUCACCCCAGGUGCUCUGUGUUGUGACCGGUGUCUAACGCGGAAAUGUGUGCAUGUGCAAGGCUAAACUCCACCCCCAAACAUAACGUCAUACGCGUGCGGCCGCCGUUGUUAUAGAAAUGCAACCAAACAAAGUGUUGCGAUCGGGGUUCUAUCCUGAGCGCAUGUGCGGGGGGCUAGCCCACCCCCUGGCAUAACAACAUUGUAUAUUAUUACCAUAGUAACACACUAUAGACAUCUGAUAUGGUUUAAGCUUACAAUUAUACAUGCUAGUAUUGCUAUUGAAUAUUGUGUGAUCAGACAUUUAUGAACUUAAGACCCAAUUAUCUGACAGGACAACCUAUGCACCAUUGGAAGGGGAUCCUACUAGAAAUAUCCAGACUAAGAUCGAAGAUACUCUAUCCAUGGGUCUAAGAACGGGCUAUAUUGACCUUACUAAACCAUUUCCACGUACCCCUAUCAUAUACAAUUAUACAUGCUAGUAUUGCUAUUGAAUAUUGUGUGAUCAGACAUUUAUGAACUUAAGACCCAAUUAUCUGACAGGACAACCUAUGCACCAUUGGAAGGGGAUCCUACUAGAAAUAUCCAGACUAAGAUCGAAGAUACUCUAUCCAUGGGUCUAAGAACGGGCUAUAUUGACCUUACUAAACCAUUUCCACGUACCCCUAUCAUAUACUCUAUUCCUAAGAUCCACAAGAACCCUAAUUCACCGCCAGGACGCCCCAUAGUCUCCGCCAUUGAUGGCAUCUUGGAGCCUAUUGCAAAAUGGCUUGAUUACCUUUUUCAGGAUCCAGUUGGGCAAUUACAUACCUGUAUUAAAGAUACCCAAUCUCUUAUAACUAACAUCAAUAGAUUACGAUACGGGGAUCAAAGACCAGUCUUAAUAACCAUGGAUGUACACAGCCUAUACACGGUGAUUCCACAUGAAGCCGGUGUUGAAGCUAUGCGACAGGUAUUAACUCAAUCUACAGCCUAUCAUGGGCCCCCUAUAGAGUAUAUCUUGGAACUACUCACUUUGACUCUAAAGAAUAACUAUUUCUGAUUUGAAGACAGCUGGUAUCUUCAGGUGGCAGGUACAUCAAUGGGGGCAGCCAUGGCGCCGAUGUACGCCAACGCCUACAUGUAUAUCUAUGAGAAAGAGAUGUAAAAAACAGAUAAAAUUCUUAUCUUGUAAUACCUUUUUUUAUUGGACUAACAGAAUUUUUUAAUGACAAGCUUUCGGGAGAACCUCCCUUUCUCAAGUCUGAAGCAUUGCUGAGCAAAACGACACAUAGAAUUCAAAGUUGAGUUGUGAUACAGGGGUUAAAGUGACAUGAGUGUAGAUAAGACACAGGUCGCUUUAACCCCUGUAUCACAACUCAACUUUGAAUUCUAUGUGUCGUUUUGCUUAGAAAUGCUUCAGACUUGAGAAAGGGAGGUUCUCCCGAAAGCUUGUCAUUAAAAAAUUCUGUUAGUCCAAUAAAAAAUGUAUUGCAAGAUAAGAAUUUUAUCUGUUUUUUACAUCUACAUCACUGGACUAAUACGGCUACAAUCUCUACUCGAACACUAUGAGAAAGAGUAUAUAUUAGAGAAAUACCAACACAACCUAUUGGCUUACUACAGAUUUAUCGACAAUUUGCUCAUUAUAUGGAGUGGAACAAGCGAAUCAGCGCAUGAAAUGGUUCAAGACCUUAAUCUUCUUCCAAUGCCUGUGAGAUUUACUGCAGACAUCAGCACCAAGAAAGUGCAAUAUCUGGACUUAGAAAUCACAUUGGGCCCAAUAAGCCUACAAUACUCUCUCUAUACAAAGCCUACGGACAGAAACACACUCCUCCAUUACCAAAGUGCACAUCCCAGGGCUCUGAAAAACUCACUACCUAAGGCACAGUUCCUAAGAGUGAUCAGGAACAAUUCGGAUAUGGCAGUUAUGGAUACCCAGAUCCUUGAAAUGAAAAGCAAAUUUCUACAAAGAGGAUAUGACACGCACAUCCUUGAUAUAGCGCUACAAGAAGUACGGAGUGCAUGCGCUGUUAAAGUAAGCAACAAGCCUUCUAAUUUGGUUUUCCCAAUGCUAUAUCACCAAUCCACUCUUCAAGUGCAUCGGUAGUCAGGAACAAUUGGAGGAUCUUGUCUUGUGAUGACACACUCCCAAAAGUGUUCAAGGAAAAGCCAUUGAUAUGCUAUAAAAGGAACAGGAACCUGAAGGACAUGUUAGUCCAUACGAAUCCCUCACAGAGCUACAUUAAAACAUCGAAGGAGCAAAUAAGAGGGUUGGUUAGAUGCCUUGGUUGCAUGACUUGCAGCCACAUGACACCUGCAAGGACUUUUAGCCAUCAUAACAACAGAAAAUAUACUAUCACCUGUAAGACGACACAUGUGAUUUAUAUGUUAUGUCGCCCUUGUGGCUUAUUCUUUAUUGGGAAGACGGAGACGGCCAUCUGUGAACGGAUCAGGGGACACAGAUCAGCUAUUCGACUGGCAUACAGAGACAGUUACUCAGGCAAACCUGUUACAAAACACUUCUUUGAAUUAAAACAUUCAUUAGCUACAUUAAAAUUUCUGGCGAUUUAUCACAUCCCUGCCCCUAGGAGAGGGGGUGAUCGGGGGAAGAUGCUCCUGAACAAAGAGGCAUACUGGAUACAUGAGCUGGACACGGUGUCCCCAAAAGGACUAAAUGAAGCACUGUCUCUACACUCCUUUGUGUAGUUUGAAUUCAUUCAGUUUUUAUGUCCCCUAAUGUAAUUUUAAUGUGUGUGUUUUUUUCUUUUUGUUCUUUUUCUUUUUCCUUUCUUUUUUUUUCUUCCCUCUUUUUUCUUUCCUAUUUUUUAUUUUUCUUUCGAUUAACUGCUGAUUUUGUUGUCCUCGGCCCAGAUGCAAUGUUACAAGCUUUUCUAAUAAAAGUAUUCUAGGUAUCGGUAAUUACUUUAAGUGUUUAAUACACGAUACCUGAUACCUGAUAUAAUAAUAUCUUUAGCUAAUAUUGAGAAUAUAUAUUCCUUAACCGAUAGAUGUAAAUUAAUUUUUUCCAUUGUGAAUAUAGCAAGCAGUUGCAAGCCGUUUUAUUUUAAUAUUUUUCUUUUUCUCUAUAUUGAUAAUGUUGUCUUAUUAAGGUGACACAAUAUCUUACUCAGCACUAAAGCACUGUUGACACUUAUAUAGCCACAGCACUUUAUAUAUUGAUGGAUUUUGCACCAACUCUUUAAACAGCAGUAAGCACUUUACUUCCACAUACCAUUAUCCACACAUUUUUGUCCUAUGAUGCCCUUUGGUGUUUCACCACUUAUAAAAUGUCUGAUCACUCAAUAUUCAAUAGCAAUACUAGCAUGUAUAAUUGUAAGCUUAAACCAUAUCAGAUGUCCAUAGUGUGUUACUAUGGUAAUAAUAUACAAUGUUGUUAUGCCAUGGGGUGGGCUAGCCCCCCGCACAUGCGCUCAGGAUAGAACCCCGGUCGCAAAACUUUGUUUGGUUGCGUUUUUAUAACAACAGCGGCCGCACACGUAUGAUGUCAUAUUUGGGGGCGGAGUUUAGCCUCGCACAUGCGCACAUUUCCGGGUUAGACGCCGGUCACAACACAGAGCACCUGGGGUGAGUCUAUUUACAAUUUAUUGUAACCUAUAUAUAUAUAUAUAUAUAUAUAUAUAUAUAUAUUGUUUUUCGCAAUGCGCCUUCGCUUCUUCCUUCCAGUGGGAAGGGGAAGAUUCCAUACAACCAAACCAAUUCCAAAUACAAACCCUUUGUGGGCCUACUGCUCUAACAGUAUUAAUCUUGCCUCUUCGUUCCUGGACCUGGGCUUCACACUCAUCGGCGGGGCACCCCGGUACUAACUGUGCAGAAGCCGAUGAUCUCCUGGACAAAAGGCCAGUGGCGCAGAGACGAAAGGAGGUUUAUGCAGAAGUUCAGGGGUGCUGCCGUGGAGAACGUUGGUAAAAGUUUACCGUCUCAAAUCUCUGCGAUGAGGUUCCAGGACCCAAUACACCAAAAAUGCUUGGCAGGUCCUACUCUAGCAGCUUAAUGCCUGCCCUUUUGAGAUCAUCCCACUUACUUUUUUGGUGAGGUGUUUUUAACCCCUUAGUGACCGCGGACUUAUCAGAUAUAUCCGACCAAAACCUGUCCUUAAGGACUGCGGACAUACCUGAAAUGUCCACGGAGAAUUAGAGCGCUUCCAGGAGCUCUAAUGGUAUUGCAGGCAUCGCUGUAAUACCCCCCUCACUGCCGAGCUGCUGGAGACCACCGCUUCCGGGUAGCUCCACGCUGAGCCCGGCAAUGAGGCAGAGCAUCGGAAGACUACAGGCAGGCUUACAAUGCUCUGCCUGUAAUGAAUGCCUCGAGUGGUCGAGGCACUCAGUAAAUGUAAAAAAAAAAAAGAAUUUAACAAUUAAAAAAAUAAUUAACCCCUACCCUCCCUCCCUCUCCAUGUACUUACCGAUCGCCGCUGUUCCCCCGCCGGCAAUUGUUCUUCUUAGCCCAGACAGCCCCCCUUUGAAAUUUAGGACCCCCAGGGGCCAUGUUACCACUCUAAAAGAAAUAGGUGUCCACAGUGCUGCCACAGGGGGACUGCCUGAAUUUUUAAAAAAAAAUUAUAUAUUAUAUAUAAUAUGUCAUACUAAGUGUAUUUUUUUAUACAUAUAUUAAUAUAAAAAUACACAGAGUAAAAUUACACACGUGUUUUGUAUUUACUUUCUAGAUUGGUUGGAAUUUAAUUUAUGAUUCAUUCUUGGGACCAAUGAUAUAUAUUAAAUUAGUUAAGUGUGUAAAUUUACUCUUUUAGGUUUUUGAACGUCGGACAGUAGCUUUUACAAGCACAGAAGCUGUCAUCAUCUUCCGUUUAAAUCUACCCUCUGCAUAGUGUCGGGUAGGUUCUUUUUUUGGUCCCACGAUCUGGCCAAACUACUACCUUACACUCAGACGUUUUUUAUAUCAAUUCUCAUGUCCACAGGUCAACACCUCGAUACUAUUACAAUCGCUGUUUACCUCAACAUUGACAGCUCGGCCUGACUCACAUAUCAGGUACUACAUCAGAACCCACUACUUUCUAUUUUUAGAGUGGUACUGGUCCUAGGUUAUGUGGCCCAAUUAGGUAUAUAUUUUCUAGUCUUAAUCCAUAGGCUAGUGGUCCCGCCAGGCCAACACCCCCAUCCACAUACUCGGAGGUAUAUGUCCCUCGGGCCAAAUGACAGCUAGCCACCUCGCACUGUUGCGAAGAAGGACCUCACCUGUCACUCCCAUUCUUUCUUAUGCUUUAAUUGACACCGAGAGGCCAACACCCCGCCACAACGUUCGGUGGCCUCAUUUUCCCCUCGGACCCAUACAUAGAUAGUGCCUCUCAGGCCGCUUGGCAACUAGCAGGGACUCAUCUGUCACUCUCACAAAGCAUAAUUGUUUCACCACUUGGUAUUUAGCUAGCCCCACCAGUACCCACCCAAAUUCAUUACAAGAUGACUGAUUAAGCCACUUUUAUAUUUUUCAGUUAUGUCACAAACUCCUGAUAUCCCUGAGGAACUUCACUACCCAGCUCACCCGCUAGGCCUGGUACCCCUGUUCCUGGUACAGAUGUGAAUAGCCCUUUGUCCCUUAGAUCAUGGACCAUCCCACGUCUCACAGCAGAACUCAGAAGACGCUGCAUCCCUUUCCCAGCUACUGCAAGGAAGGCGGAGUUGUUUAGAUUACUGAACACUACCACUGACAACUCCGAGGCAGGGGAAGGCCCUAGUGGGACUCAAUUACCAGCUUUCCAUGUCAUGAUGACUUCUCUAAUGGCAUCCAUUAGCACAAUUAGUGACAGGCUGGAUAAAUUGGAGGCUGGUGGUGCUAAUCAGUCCACUGCCAAUACUACGGUUACCAGUCAUCCUCUCACUAAUACUACGCCCGGUAAUUCCUUUGACUCUAUUGCGGUUAUAGAAUCAAUUAAUCCCUCGCAUAUGGUCCCAUCUCACCUAAAAAAGGACAUUCUGGAAGGCAAGGUCGUUAACCUGGUCUCAUUGCUCAUUGCCUCCCAGGAUGUCCUAGAGAACAGGACCUUUACAUACAGGGAUAUUUCAGUAGUACUAAGGGCUAGAGACCCCCGGCUGAAUAAGAAAUUUAUCUGCACCACAUUCCUCCAUGGUCCCCAGCCUAAACUCACUCAUACCUUCCGAAGAAUUUUCACUACAUUACGCCACUAUCGACCAUGCCAUAGGUGCCAUCAUUAAAGCAGGCACAGGGGCAUGGUUAAGUAAAACGGAUGUAGUGAAUGCCUUCAAGUUACUUCCCAUGCACCCUUCCCUUUGGCACCUUCACGGCAUUAAAUGGCAAGGGAUAUAUUAUUUCUUCACCCGUCUCACUUUUGGCUCCAAAAGUAGCCCACGUAUUUUGACACAUUUGCAAAGACUUUGAGUUGGUUAUUACUUAAUGUGUGUAAAUAUCCUUUGGUUAUUCACUAUCUGGAUGAUUUCCUCACGGUUGAGAAUAACACACUCCCCCCAAGUAGUUUGAGACACAUGUUGGCUUUGUUUGAAUCCCUCACUAUCCCAGUCUCCCCGCACAAGACGUUGGGUCCAGACGCCAACAUGCAAUUUUGGGGAUCCAACUAGACACGGUACACAUGCAGGUUAGCCUCCCUCAGGACAAAAUUGAGCGUACCCUGGCACGUAUCGAACACUACCUACUGCAAGGGUGUUGCACCCGGAAAGAACUACAAUCACUGCUGGGGUUGCUCAAUUUUGCCAUGAGGAUCAUUCCACGAGGUAGAUCUUUCAUUUCACAUCUACUAUCCCUAUUUCCACAAUUCACCUCAGACACUUCACGUAUCACGUUAGACAACCAAGCAACCUCUGAUUUACAUAUGUGGGGUUUUUUUCCCACCUCUUGGAAUGGGCUAACCAUGUUUAUACCACCCCACUCUGACGCUUCACCUACACUGUGGACAGAUGCCGCAGCAAACACAGGUUUUGCUUCCAACUGGGGAGAUCGGUGGCUUUCGUGACCAUGGCCGACCAAAGUCAAAUCACUGCCAAAAUUCACCGAGACCUCAGCUUUAUUUGAGCUGUACCCAAUCGUGGUGGCGGCCAUUGCCUGGGGUCCACAUUGGUCCGGUCACACGGUUAGGUGCUACUCGGAUAAUAUGGCUACAUGCCAUAUUGUCAAUAAAGGCUGGUCGGCAUCCCUGGUAAUUAUGAGACUCCUUAGACGACCCACAUGGGUAGCGGCCACCUGUCAAUUCUUUAUCACAUGUAUUCUCGUUCCGGGGUGCACAAACACUGGUGCUGAUCACUUGUCUCGAUUUCGUUUUCAGGAUUUCUUCAUGACACUACCCUCCGCUUCCAGACUGGCAACUCCUGCCCCACUUUUCUGAGACAUGAUAAUGGAUUAGAUGCUUUGUUAGCUCACGCAUGUCACAUUUCUCACCUCGCACUUUCAAUAAACACUAGGAACACAUAUGAUAGGGCUUUUCCCGUAUUCAAGAAAUUAAUCUCUGAAUUCCACAUCCACGACAUGUUCACAUUAGAAUCAAUAUUGUGUUUCACUUCUUUUUGCCACAUCAACCUUAAAUUAUCAUUCAACACUAUAAAACUGUACCUUAUGGGCAUUCAGCACCUCAUGCUUAUCCAACAACCCAACGCUACAGGUUUCCUGACUUCAUAUCAAAUUAAGACAGUACUAAAAAGGCAUUAAUAAAAUUGGACGCACACGUCUCCUCACAAAGACUACCCAUAGACAACAACAUAUUCCAUUCACUAAUCAAUUUAUUAGAUUCUUCUCCUUUCGAACCCAUAACUAAUACCGUAAUAAAAACAGCUAUAUAUUUAGCUUUUUAUGGGUUCCUCCGUCCCAACGAAUUCACGACUAGGACCAUUACAACCUUUGACUACCUAAGAACUAUGGUUUUACAAAAACAUAAUGACCAUUACUUACUAUUUUUAAAACAAUCAAAAACCAGCACCAUAGGUCAUACUAUUGAAAUCCCCAUGUACUCAUAAUAAAUGGUGCCCAUUACAAGUUUCUGACGCUUAUUUUCUUUCACUCCUCAAACAACCUCUACAACCUUUGCUCAAACUGCAUGGAAACAUUCUGACUACAACAAAAUUUAUGUUUUAUGAACGACUACUGUUGACUAGGCUCGGCCUAAACCCCAAUCACUCUUUCCGAAUUUUGGCAGCAUCUACAGCAUCUCCUAAUCACGUACCCACUCACAUUAUCAAGGCGAUAGGACGCUGGAAAUCCUCAGCCUACACACACUACAUACCUAAUCCCAUUAAAGAAUUCAGACAAGCUUUCUGUGACUUAUCUAAAUAAAUAAAGUUGGUUAACCAUAUUACGUCUUAUGGUAUUUUCUUUUGCCCACUUUUAUUAAAGGCCUACUUCUUUUUCGGUUCCGGCACACCACAACCGACUGGUUCCAACUCAUUGAUGUUAUGGUUAUUAUAUGCUAGAUUUCUGUAUACAACUAUAUUGCCCCAACUACAAAUAUAUAUAUAUAUAUAUAUAUAUAUAGGUAGUUAAUACAAUGCUAAACAAAAAUCUGCACACCAGUCAAGCCAUAAGACUUGCUUUUCCCACAGAAAUCCCAAAUCAGCAGUGAUGUUACAACCGCAAAGGAUUCUGGGUGGGCAUAUGCAGAUUAGUUUAACAAAGAAUCACAUUUAUAUAUAUAUAUAUAUACACACACACACACGUAUUAUAUAUUUGUGUUCGGGUCCAUUUCAGUAAUGAUAUGAAACAGAGAUUAUUAUUAUUAUUAUUAUUUUAUUAUUUAUAUAGCGCCAUCACAUUCCGUAGCGCUGUACAUUGGGUGGACUUACAGACAUGUAAUUUUAACCAGACAAUUGGAUGUACAGGAACAGAGAGGUGGAGGGCCCUGCUCAACGAGCUUACAUUCUAGAGGGAGUGGGGUAUAGUGACACAAAGGGUAAAAGUAGGGGUAUGAAGUAGGUUGUUAGAAAAGUAAUCAUUGAGGGCUUAGUAGGUAAUUUUUGACAGUUGCAGGAGAGGAGUCAUGGGGGUGGGGGAUAAAAACCUGCUUGAGGAAAUAGCUAAAAUGUCAAUGAAGGAGGCAGUUAACAUCAUGGGUGACUUCAAGAAACCGCUGUGGUACUCCACAGAUGUGGCCAAAAUAGUUAAAAACAAAAAGUUAGCAUUUAGGAAUUAUAAAAAAAAAACGUGAGGAAGACAAAAUGAGCUAUAAGAUUAGGCAGAAAGAGGCUAAGCAAGUUAUAAGAGCUUCCAAAUCACACACAGAAGAGAAAAUAGCACAGUCAGGAUAAAAGGGGGACAAAACUUUUUUUAUAUAGAUAAAUGAGAAAAGAAAAGUAAAACAUAUUCCAAUAUUGUUGAAUGGGUAAGGCAGUGGCUGAGUGACAGGCAACAGAGGGUUGUAGUUAAUGGAAUAUAUUCGAAGCUUGGACUUGUCACCAGUGGGGUACCUCAGGGAUCUGUACUUGGACCCAUUCUCUUUAAUAUUUUUAUUAGUGAUAUUGCAGAAGGUCUUGAUGGUAAGGUAUGUCUUUUUGCUGAUGAUACUAAGAUAUGUAACAGGGUUGAUGUUCCAGGAGGGAUAAGCCAAAUGGCAAAUGAUUUAGGUAAACUAGAAAAAUGGUCAGAAUUGUGGCAACUGACAUUUAAUGUGGAUAAGUGCAAGAUAAUGCAUCUUGGACGUAAAAACCCAAGGGUAGAGUACAGAAUAUUUGAUCGAGCCCUAACCUCAACAUAUGAGGAAAGGGAUUUAAGGGUGAUUAUUUCUGAUGACUUAAAGGUAGGCAGACAAUGUAAUAGAGCAGCAUGAAAUGCUAGCAGAAUGCUUGGUUGUAUAGUGAGAGGUAUUAGCAGUAGAAAGAGGGAAGUGCUCAUGCCAUUGUACAGAACACUGGUGAGACCCAGUGGCGUACUAAGGAGGGGGCGGGGGGGGCGGUCCGCCCCGGGUACCAGCCGGGUGGGGGGUGCCAUGGCCAGCUCCCCCCCCCGCCAUGCUGCAGCCGCCCGAGCGCUCUGUAUUGAGCCUCAGGCGGCUGCAGCUUUGCCCGGGCGGUGCGUCCAUGAGGGCGGACCGCACCGCCCGGGCGCAGCCUGAGAAAAGGGGCUGACAGGAGGGAAGCGCUGAGCGCUCCCUCCUGUCAGCUUCCUUUGCUGUAGUGUGGCCGAGCCCUCUAUGGCAUGGUCCGACCGGUACAGGGAGCAGCUGUCUCCUGUACCCGGCCGGACUAACAGGAAGGGAACACUGAGUGUUCACUUCCUGUUAGUCCGGCCGGGUACAGGAGACAGCUGCUCUCUGUACCCCGCUGACUAUACUGGGCCCGCCACUACAGAAAAGGUGGGGGGUGGGGGGUGGGGGGCAGAAAGGGGGUGAGAGAGAAAGAAGGGGGUGAGGAAAAGGAGGGGGGGUGAAAGAGGAGAAAGGGGUGAAAAAGAAGGAAAAGGAGAAAGGGGGUGAGAGAGGGGGGUGAAAGAGGAGAAGGGGGUGAAAGAGGAGAAAAGGGGGGUGAAAAGAGGAGAGAGGGGGGUGAAAAGGAGAAGGGGGGGUGAGAGAGGGGUGAAAGAGGACAAAGGGGAGUGAAAAGGAGAGGGGUGAAAGAGGAGAAAGGGGGGUGAAAAGGAGGGGGGGGUUAAAAGAGGAGAGAGGGGGGGUGAAAAGGAGAAAGGGGGGUGAGGGGGGUGAGAAAGAGGGAGAAAGGGAGGUGAGAAAGGAGGGGGUGAGAAAGAGGAGAAAGGGGGGGUGAGAAAGGAGGUGAGAAAGAGAAAGGAGGGGGGAGAGAAAGAGAAAGGAGGGGGGGAGAGAAAGGGAAAGGAGGGGGGGAGAGAAAGAGAAAGGAGAGGGGGGUGAGAGAGAAAUUAGGAGGGGGGAAAGAGAAAUUAGGAGGGGGAGAGAAAUUGAAAUUAGGAGGGGGGGUAGAGAAAUUAGGAGGGGGAAGAGAUAUUAGGAGGGGGGAAAGAGAAAUUAGGAGGGGGGGUGAGAAAGAGAAAUUGGGAGGAGGAGAAGGAAAUUGGAGCGGGAGGAGAGAUUGUCAUUCAUCACAUACACACAAUGCACCCCUUGCACACAGAAAAACACACAAUGCAUUACACACACAGACACACAUACACAAGCAAUGCAACCGUUACACACAAUGCAUCCCUUACACACACAGAAACACACAAUGCAUUCAUUACACACACUCAAUGCACCCCUUACACACAUUCAAUGCACCCCUUACACACAUUCAAUGCAUCCCAUACAUACACAGAAACACACCUUGCAGCCCUUACACAUACAAACACAAUUUCACACAAUGCAUUCCUUACACACAUAUCAGGACAUCCCCUACACACUCCACCCCCUGUGAACAAACUCAUUGGUGGAACAUGAAGGUGGACCCUGGGACCCAGACCUUGAGCUGUGUAAAGGACCCCCAAAAAAUGGAGCUGCUUCCCGUUCUCCCAGAACAUUGAUUUUUGUGACCACAGUUACAAACAGCCUCCAGAGAGCCUGUUCUACACCAGACCAGUGGAGCCAGACUGCAGCUAGAGCCCAUCAUCAUCCUCAUCUGGUUGUAAGUAGGCAAUCUAGUAUAUUAUUCAUGGCACUAAGCUCUAAUUUACCUCACAUUAAAGAAACACUAUAGUCCCCAGAACCACUUCAGCUUAAUGUAGUGGUUCUGGUGUCUAUAGCCUGUCCUUGCAGGCCUUUUAAUGUAAACACGGCGGCACUGCAGCACUGGCGUUAGUUAACGUGGCAAAUCAUAUGGGUGGGGCAUUGUGAUGUCACAUGGGGGGGGGCGGCAAACUUUACUUUUGCCUAGGGCGGCAAAAAUCCUUGCACUGGCCCUGGCUGGAGGGGGCUGUGUGAGCUGUGGCCGCACAGUGUCCCAUGGUAGUUAGGGUGCCGUGCGGCCAGUACAGCUCACACAAGCAAACAGCUGAUAAACUGGCCGCACGGAGGAAAUGUGUAUGUGUGACUGUCUGCCUGUGACUGUAUGUGACUGUCUGCCUGUAACUGAGUGUGUGACUGUCUGUAACUGAGUGUGUGACUGCCUGUAAAUGUGUGUGUGGGGCUGCAGGGAUUUUGUAGAAGGGGGCGGGGGUUUUGUAUUGGGACAGGAGUCUUUACAAAUUGUAAAAAAAAAAAAAAGAGAGAACCUUUAAAAAAUUUUACAGGUUUUUUUUUGGGGCGGGGGGGUGCCAAGCACAGGAUCCCCGGGUGCCAAAUGCUCUAGGCGCCCUGGUGAGACCUCACUUGGAGUAUUGUACACAGUACUGGAGACCGUAUCUUCAGAAGGAUAUUGAUACCUUAGAGAGGGUUCAGAGAAGGGCUACUAAACUGGUUCAUGAAUUGCGGGAUAAAACUUACCAGGAAAGGUUAAAGGAUCUGAACAUGUAUAGCUUGGAGGAAAGACGAGACAGGAGGGAUAUGAUAGAAACAUUUAAAUAUAUAAAGGGAAUCAACACAGUAAACGAGGAGACUAUAGUUAAAAGAAGAAAAACUACCACAACAAGAGGAUAUAGUCUUAAAUUAGAGGGACAAAGGUUUAAAAAUAAUAUCAGGAAGUAUUACUUUACUGAGAGGGUAGUGGAUGCAUGGAAUAGCCUUCCAGCUGAAGUGGUAGAGGUUAACACAGUAAAGGAGUUUAAGCAUGCGUGGGAUAGGCAUAAGGCUAUCCUAACUAUAAGAUAAGGCUAGGGACUAAUGAAAGUAUUUAGAAAAUUGGGCAAACUUGAUGGGCCGAAUGGUUCUUAUCUGCCGUCACAUUCUAUGUUUCUAUGCUUACAGUUUAACUGAUAUGCUUUCUUGAAGAAGUGAGUUUUCAAUGAUUUUUUUGAAUGAGUGGAGACUGGGUGAAAGUCUUACGGAGAAGGGAAGGGCUUUCCACAGAAGAGGGGCAGCCCUGGAGAAAUCUUGGAGGCGAGCAUCAGAGGUGGGAGUACGGACAGAGGAUAGACAUAGGUCUUUGGCAGAGCAUAGGGGCCUCGACGGGACAUACUUGUGUAUUAGGGAGGAUAGGUAGGUUGGAGCAGAUAUAAAGUCAUCUUCCUUUAAUAAGCAAAGUCAGUUGAGGUGUGCAGAUACCGACAUAUGUGGUAGGCCUGUAAAUAAAGUGGGCAAAAAGGAAUACCAACCUUGCUCAAAAGAUAUUUAUUACAAAACCACCUGCCAUAAUACAAAUAUAUCUAUGAGGAAAUCUUACAUAGCUGUAGCAUCUUGUCUUGUCUUGAGUUAACCAAUUACAAUUAUUCUGCAAGUUUUUAGUAGCAAUCAUUUGCACAUCUAUUAAUUUCUAAAUUCCUGCCUUUUCCUGGUCUUCAUUAACUAACACCCCCAUUUCAGUUUUUAGUGUACCUACACUUUAAUUUUUUGUUUUUUUUAGAAUGUAUGUACUUAAAGAAUGCUUUGGGGUUGGUUUUGCUCUCUUUGGCUAUCAUUUUUUCAUUUUGAAGUUUAGCAAAUCUAAUUGCCUUUUUUUCGCAUUAUUGGCUUCCUUAUAUCUUUUAUAGGAUGUAUCUGAUUUGUCCGAUUUAAAUGCUUUAAAUGCCCUUUUCUUAUUUUUAAUCUCUAGUUUUACUUCUCUACUAAGCCACAUUGGUUUUAAUUUGUUUCUUUUAUAUUUAUUACCCAAUGGUACUUACUGAGAAAUUUACCUUUCUAAUAUUUGUUGGAAGAUAUUCCAUUUAUCCUCAGUGUUCUUUUCACUAAAGAGUUUAUGCCAGUCAAUAUAUUGUAAAGCUGCCCUUAACUUGGCCUUUUUAAAAUUAUAUGUUUUAGUAUACUUUAGUAUGUGCUUUUGUUUUUUUGAGUUUACUAAAAAAGUACACUAUAUUUCACCAAGUGCUCACCUACUUGAAUGUUGUUCAAGAAGAUCAAUGUUGUUUGUCUUCCUUUCUAGUUGGUGCUUGUACAAGCUGUGACAUGAAGGUGUCAUUUAACAAGUUGUAAAGCCUUAUUCCUGGGGGCAGGGCCUGACCGCCAUACUGACCGGUCGCACUUAGUGUAAGCUCUGCAAAACUAUGGAACUAAGGAAAUAAAUCAACCCAUCACUCGAGUAAACCCAACAAACUCUUGUUGGAGACAUUCCGCAACACAUUUUGAGGCAUUUAGCUGCUCGACUGGGGGUCUUACCCCAAAGCAUCUCUGAGGUCUCCAUGUGGGGCCAGCUGGGGAGAAAUGGCCUGCUUAUUAUCCUGCUGGGACGGAUCCCUGUUCCCCUCCGCCCCGUGGACUUGCUCUUUGACACUUCAAACUACGUGGCAAACUUCAAACACUGUGAUCCCGCAAAAGCCCUGGUACUCUGAGGCCUUCCUAACAGCCACAGCUGCCGCCGCAGCUUGGCUGGGGUCUCGCUGUCCUCCACCCACCCUGGACCGAACACAAGGAUCCAGCUUACAGUGGGUGGACCUGUCCUCCUCCAGAGAGUAUAGCAGGUCUGGCUGUGUAGUUUUCAAAAGAGCUAGGGAUUAUAGCCAGUAUAGAAAUCCAAAGAGCAAUCCCAGGAGCAGGGAUUAUAGCUGUUCCCAGCUGGACAAGGAACCAACAAUGUGUUUAAGCCUGGGGCAGACCGAGUGGCCAGUUCUCUGUCACUGAGACUUUCACUAACCAAAGAGAGUCUCAAAGCUUUACCCUAGAGGUGGGAAGAGAUGCCUAUGGGCAUUGGGAGAAGUUCCCUGCUUAUGCCUGGGGCUGAAAGGAAACCGUGCAAUGCAGAACCCAGAGAGACUUGCAAUCCCCUCUUCACCAGUCUGGACCCUGCAGGCAUAUUUUGAGUUGGCAGCCCUCAUGGGGAUGCUUAAAAUGGCAGAGUGCCUGUCGACAAGCUACUCUUUAGCAGCAUCUUUUUGUUUUGUUUUACCAUAUAUACUAGAGUAUAAGCCGAGUUUUACAUCCGGGUUUGCACUCUCCCAUGUGUACUGCCUACGGUGAUGCUUUAUUUAUCAGCAUCACCAUGGCAAUGAUCGAUGUGGUCUGUUUGCCGGUGUUUAGUUAACCGCCGUGAUGCUUUGUUGAUUAGCAUCACCGAGGCAACGACCUGGCCGCGAUCACGUCAUGACAUCAUGGCAGGGGGCAGAGUCGGUUUGCACAGGCGCACUGAGCGGGCUAGAACGCCGAUUGAAUGGCGGUUUUCACCUGGGGUAAGCUUACAUUCUUAAUAGUUUUAUGUAUAAAUGUCCUGUUUAUUGUAUACACUGUUUUUCAUCUUUUUUGAUCCUGAGGAAAGUCCUUGUCGGACUGAAACAUUGGUCAUGGAUGUUUUAACUCAUUUCUAAUAAAUUUUGUUUUUUUUAUUUACCGUGAGUGCAGCUACUUGUUGGAUUUUUAUAUAUAUAUAUAUAUAUAUAUAUAUAUAUAUAUACACACACACAUACACUGUGUGUGUGUGUGUGUGUGUGUGUGAGGGUGCUGUGUGUAAAUUUGUUUGGAGGGAUUGUGUGUGGGGGUAGAGGGGCAGAUUAGAAAAUAGCCCCCCUCCCUUCUUACCUUUUGCCUGUGAGGGGGGACCCUUGCUGCCAUCCAUGAUCCCAGGUGGUCUUAGUGUGAGUGAACCCCAGAGACAUGGCAGUGUUUACAUUGCUUCCUAGUGACAGUCACUCAGACGGUCACUAGAGGUGCUUCCUGUGUCAGUGCUGCACAGUGUGCAGCACCUACAAUCAGGGCCUCCACACUCUGGAGGCGCUGAACUUCCCCAUAUUGAUACAUUGAUUCAAUGCAUCUCUAAAGCGUUUUGCAGCCAAUCCUAUGGCAGAGCAUUGGAUUGGCUGAGAGCAUUAAGCUUGAUGACCAGUCAAGGGGAGACCAGCACGGCGUGGGGGAAAAAAAGGUGAGUAAAAAACACUAUUUUUAAACACAUACAGACACACACAUACACCAUGACAGACACACACACCCCAUGACACACACACACAUAUACCAUGACAGACACACACACCUUGACAGACACACAGACCAUGACACAGGCACACACACACACACACCAUGACAGACAGACAGACACACACUGACAGAAUGACACAUAUUACCUGUGGGUGACCGGCCAGGGGGUCGUGCAGGGCAGACAACUGUCUGUGCUUGCAGCCGCAGAGGUUGCUCUGCUGGCGGCCGCAGGGGGAGCUUUGAUGGAGGCCGCAGGGGUUGCUCUGAUGGCGGCCACAGGGGGAGCUCUGAUGGCGGCUGCAGGGGGAGCUCUGAUGGCGGCCGCAGGGGGAGCUCUGAUGGCGGCCACAGGAGGAGCUGUGCUGUCUCUGCUUCCGUGCCCUCGCGGCUAUUUAAUAAGACCGGCGCCGGGAUAUGACAUCAUACUCCGGCCCCGGUCUCAUUAAGCUCCGUGCUGGGGAGCAGAGAUAGCACAGCUCCCCCUGCGGCCGCCAUCAGAGCUCCCCCUGUGGCCGUCAGCACAGACAGCUGUAUGCCCGGCCACAGGUGCCGACGGCCCACCAGGAAAUUUCCCGGUAUCCCGGUGGGCCAGUCCGGCCCUGAAAAUACCAGUCCAAUUGGCACAGCGAGGUUUGAUGUUACGCAGGUCAAACAUUUAAUUGCCUGAACUAAAGAGGUGGGUUCGGAUCUGUAUCCCAGCACCCUCAAUGGCCAUGGGCUCAACCAGAAUUGUCUCCAUGAUAAAGGCCUAUUACUCUUGCGUGUUGGCCUCCCAGGCUUAAUCUUAACCGCAAGUAGUCAGCACACCACUCGUCCAACACCAACAAUGACCGUGGGACGUCCUGAUUGUCCUCAUCAGAGGAAAAGUUUGGGGGUUUUCAAAGGCCACAGUCGCAGCCCAUUUGCUGCACUUCAUCCUUAAACCAUUUUAGGACAUGCUUGGACAGGGAAGUUCCAUCACAGAAGUUGUCUAAAUCAUCAGAAUAAUGAUCCUGAUUGCUUGGAAGCAGUCAUAGAUUUAGUUAGCUCCAGUACAUGAGAAACAAACCUUGAAUAAGACGUUCUUAUAUGAAUGCAUGGAUUGUAUGUUAACUGAGUGAGACAGUGCCUACUCCAUUGCAAAGAUGGGGUAUGUCAGAAAUUUUUUGAUAAGAUUAAAUAAAAUGUAUACUGUAAAGUCACUACUUAGCAGAUGUGACGCCAUUAUGUAACAGAAUGCAAAGACAGGCUUAUUUUGUUUAUCUCUUUUGCUCUAUUCACCGAAUGACCAAAGCAAUGUGACUUGUGUAAACACUGACCAGACUUAAGGUUUCUUCUUACAAGAAACUUGUGCUUGUAACAAGGGGGUUAAGAGCCCACAUAUAUAUAUAUCUGAUAAUUAUGUGUGUGUGUGUAUAUAUAUAUAUAUAUAUAUAUAUUAACUAUAAUUAUGUUUAAUCAUAUACAAAUAGUACCAUAUUAAUUCUAUUUGAAUAUUCAUAGAAUCGUAAUGAAUAAAUUUCAAAUUAUUAAACUAAUAUUAGCUGAAUAUGUGUAAAGAACAUGUAUAUAUCACAUGGGGUUACUAAUAGACAGUAGUUUCACACAAUAAGACAGUGUAACUGAGAAAACCAGACACAGGAUUAUCAGAAAGAGAUAGCCCCUAAGUAAUUAUUUUUACUUUUUAAAUUCAGUGGAUUCCUACAAGAAAAGUGGCUACUAAAAAAGACUGGACAUGCCCCAUUUGGACACCCAGUAUUGAACAUGCAGUAAACAUGAAUGUGGCCAUAGCAACACAGCUGUGGAGAAACAUAGCUAAUACAUUGUAUACUAAAUAUUGAUGUACAGCAAUCAAAUAAGUAUACAUAAAUAGCUUUACAACCAACAAGGAACCAUAGAUCCCAGAGCAUAUUCUUGAUAAAAACAUAUGAAUUAUAUACCACCGAUUUCCCCUAUUUUUGUGUGUAAAGUUAAUAAUGGAAAUUGUGUAGCCUGUUCAAAAUAAUGAAUGACUGGUAAGAAUUAGCCAUCUCACAAUUACUUGAUCAAAUACAAAAAGUAUACAAUAUGCAUUUUAACUAUAUUGGAGUUUCAUAAUGAAAUGAUAUUAAAGAGACACUACAUGGUCAAUACGCUUAAAUUAGUAAAUAGUCAAAAAAAAGGGGGCUAAUCUACCAAAUACAUACCCUUAUAUAUCACCCCUAUUCAAAGGACUAAAUUAGACAUAUAAAUGUGCAAAAGUCCUAAUAGAGGGAUAUAAAAUGAAAAAAAAAAUCAAAGUAGACAUUCUAACAGGGGUGCAAGAGUCAUUUCAGCCAGUACUUAAUAUGCUAAUGUCCACUGUAUAUGUAUUUAUAACAUCAUUCUAAAUGUAUUUUGAUGAACACACACACACACACACACACAUUAUAUAUAUAUAUAUAUAUAUAUAUAUAUAUAUAUAUAUAUAUAUAUAUAUAUAUAUAUACACACACACACACACACAUACACUGCUCAAAAAAACAAAGGGAACACAAAAACAACACAUCCUAGAUCUGAAUGAAUUAAACAAACAUUCUUCUGAAAUACUUUGUUCUUUACAUAGCUAUAUGUGCUGACAACAAAAUCAUACAAAUAAAAAAAUGGAAAUCAAAUUUUUCAACCCAUGGAGGUCUGGAUUUGGAGUCAUACUCAAGGAGGUCUGGAUUUUGAGUCAUAUUUGGAGUCUCCUGGUAGCGCCUCCAAGCUCUGGACACUACGCUGACAGACACAGCAAACCUUCUUGCCACAGCUCGCAUUGAUGUGCCAUCCUUGAUGAGCUGCACUACCUGAGCCACUUGUGUGGGUUGUAGACUCCUUCUCAUGCUACCACUAGAGUGAAAGCACCGCCAGCAUUCAAAAGUGACCAAAACAUCAGCCAGGAAGCAUAGGAACUGAGAAGUGGUCUGUGGUCACCACCUGCAGAACCACUCCUUUAUUGGGGGUGUCUUGCUAAUUGCCUAAAAUUUCCACCUGUUGUCUAUCUCAUUUGCACAACAGCAUGUGAAAUUGAUUGUCACUCAGUGUUGUUUCCUAAGUGGACAGUUUGAGUUCACAGAAGUGUGAUUGACUUGGAGUUACAUUGUGUUGUUUAAGUGUUCCCUUUAUUUUUUUUGAGCAGUGUAUAUAAUAAUAUUAAAAUUAUUAUAUACACAAAUUUAAACCGGUAUACAAUGUUUUUUAAAUUUAAUUAUUUUUUUAUUUAUUUAUAUUAUAUAAACAACAUUCUAAGUGUAUUUUAAUAUAUAUAUAUAUAGUUAUAUUUAUUAAUAUUAAAAAUACACUUAGAAUAAUGGAUUGUGUAUGUGUAUACAAAAGUACUUAGAUCAUAUAUAUAUAUAUAUAUAUAUAUAUAUGAUCUAAGUAAUUUUUAUUUAAUUUAUAAACUAUUUUAUAACUUGUAUUAACUUUUAAAAACUUUUUUUUUUUCAAAUUUAUAUUUUAUUAUUUUAGUCAGGGUGGUUCGGGGUACAGAAAGGAAGGUGGGAGGGUUAGUUAAAUAGGUGACACUCUCCAUAUGACAAUAAUGAUUCCAUAACAUUGUAUUGCAGGCAUGCGAGAAAUAUUGUUCCAUUGUGAUAAUAGCAUUAACAAUUAUGCGGCAUUGUAACAUCAGUACAUGUUAAACAUUGUGGCAUUAACCUUCAUGGGAUAGUAUAGUGCUGUGACAUGUGCAAGAUGUUCAGUUUAUCGUCGCCUGCACUGUAAGUUGUCAGUGGCGUGAGGGAGCACUAGUCGUCUUAUAGUUUCUCCUUCCCUUUUUUAGGUUCUUGGUGAUAUGGGUCUGGUGGGGGGUCUAGAACCUGGGAGGGGAUCCAAGGGUGACGAAGGGGGAAGGGGUUAUGGGCGCGUGGGGUGGGGGGGUAGGAAGGUGUAGGGGUGCGCGAGUAAUACCCUUAGUUCAUUGGUUGUUGUCUUGGUCUGGGGUUAGAACUGUUGUGGUGGGGAGGGCUAGUCCGGGUUACGGUCCUGGCUAGUGCUCUUGGCAGUGUUUGCCAUUGUUUGUGCUCUUUCCUUUGUCCGUCCAAACUCUUUUUCCCAUUUACCCCAAGUAGCUUCAAAUUGUAUUAUAUUUUUCGCAGAUGUAGUUGCCAUUCUCUCAUAUAUAUGAAAUUGCCCUAUUUUAUCUGUUAGCUGUGGCAAGGAAGGGCAGUCUUGGGAUUUCCAGUUAAGUGCUAGGAGAUUUCUUGAUGCCAUUAAGACUAACGUUAUAAUCUGUUUUUGGCCUGGGUUUAGGCCUGUAGGGAGCAGUAGCAGUAGGCAAAUGGAUGGCGUCAGUUCAAAUUUUGGGAUGUCUAGUGUGUCUAGGAUUGACCUCGUAGUAGUCCAGAGAGGUUUGAUGCCUCUACAAGAUCACCACAGGUGUAUUAGUGUGCCUGGGCCUGAUUUGCAUCUCCAGCACAGCGGGCUCGUUGUGGGAAAUAGCUGGUGAAGUCUUUGUGGGGUCAUGUACCACCGGUACAUGAGUUUCCUGUGGGCUUCUAUGUGUGAAAAGCAUUUUGUCCGUUUGGACAACCCGUUCAGUGCAUGUAGCCACUCCAUAUUUGAUAGGGUUAUGUCACAGUCCUUCUCCCAUUGGGCUUUGUGUGGAUGGGGUUUGGUUGGCGUGAGUUCUUGCCAUGCUUUGUAGCACAGUGUGAGUAUUUUAGGUUUGUUGGGUGAGGACCAGCAUCUGUCAAUGAGCAACUGUGAGGUGACCUGUGGCGAGCCUUUUGGGUUGUGUGCGGUUGUCAUGUGUGCUUGUAAUACGCUUUUAAUCUGUAGGUAGGAAAAGAUGGCUCGGCUGGGGAGUUGCCACUGUGCCUGUAGUGUUGGGAAGGGUGUUACUUUCCCUUCAGUCAUCAGUUGGGAUACGUGUUUGAUCCCUGCCUUGUGCCAAUCUUGGAGUGGUAUGUCUGGUACCAUUGCUCUAAGUGUCGAAAUGGGCGAUUUAGGGUGGAAGGAGUUGUUGUAUCCAUUGGCUCCCAUAAAUUCAUCCCACACUGCCAGCGUGAGCUGGGUGGUUGGGAAGAGAUCUUGUCGUUUCGAUCUUAGGUGUUUGGGUGUCCAGAGAUAUUCAAGUAGGCCUUGGUUACGGAAUUGUAUCUUUCCAUGUCCACCCAUUGGAUCGUGUUAGGUGGUGCAUGGAGGAGGACACCUGAGGACAGAAUAGCCGCCUUAUAGUACUGUCUAAGAUUAGGGAGGCCAACGCCGCCCGAGCGGGUGGCGGUUUGGAGGAGUGGCAUGGAUACCCUAGGUUUCUUACCCCCCCAGAUGAAGGUGCUGCAUAGUUUUUGUAAUGUUUUGCAAUAUUGGUUGGAGGUUUUGAGGGGGAGCAUCCUAAAGACAUAGAGGAUACGGGGCAGGAUCAUCAUUUUGUAGGCAUUAAUCCUCCCCAGCCAUGAAAUCAUCGUGUGUUUCCAUUUGUGCAUUUCUUUGUUGCAGAGCGUUUGCAGUGGUGUAUAGUUUAAUGUUAGCGUGGCUGAUGUGGAGGGUGCCACUUUUAUCCCCAGAUAUGUAAUGGAGGCAGUUCUCCAAUCAAAUUUGUAUGCGGUGCGAAGGGAGUCUAUUAGGGUUUUCGGCAGGUUGAUGGGUAGGGCUUGGGUUUUGUCUUGAUUCAAUUUAUAGUAGGAAACUCUAUAAAUUGGAGCAUGUGAGGUAAGGAGCGGGUAGGGUCAGUUAAUGCCACGAAGAUGUCGUCAGCAAAUAGGGCCAGGCUGUACAACUUGUCUCGUAUAGGGAUCCCUUGUAUGUCAGGGUGAGAUCUAAUUUUGCAUGCUAGGGGUUCCAGGGCUAGUAUGUAUAGAAGGGGUGAGAGGGGGCACCCUUGUCGGGUGCCAUUUGUAAUAGAGAAAGGGUUGGACAGGAAGCCUCCAUGAGAGACCUUGGCUGCUGGUUUGUGGUAUAGUGCCAUUAUGCUUUUAAUUAUGGACACGGGAAAGUUAAAUUUGUGUAGAGUUUUAGUCAUGUACUCCAAGUUUAGCCGGUCGAAGGCUUUCUCUGCGUCAAGCGCGAGGAAGAGACCUUUCGAACCGCCCGUGUCCAGCGUGGACAACAUGUUCAGGAUUUUCCUGGUGUUGUCAGAGCCCUGACGGCCUUUUAUAAACCCCAACUGGUCAUUGUGUACCAGUUUGUGAAGGAGAGGAGCCAAUCGGUUGCUGAUGAGUUUAGCAUAGAUUUUGGCAUCUCCGUUAAGUAGGGAAAUGGGCCUGAGGUUUUUACAUUGGGUGGGGGGCUUGCCAGGCUUAGGGAGGGUGGAUAUAUGGGCCUGCAGCAUCUCCUCUGGUAGUGUGCCUGCAGUAGCGCAGUUAUUGAGGAGGUUUAGGAGGUGUGGCGUAAGGAUAUGUGAGAAUUUCUGGUAGUAUGCGUUUGUAAAGCCAUCGGGGCCUGGGGAUUUGUGGGCCGGUAGUUGCGAUAUUACAGCUGUGAUCUCGUCUAGGGAGAAUGGUUGCUGCAGCAGGUCUAGGUCAUCGUUUGUUAGUUUCGGUAGGUCAAGGCCCAUCAAGAAACCGUCAAUGUCGUCAUGAGUAAAAACAUGUUGGGGUCAGUUUUGAGGUUAUACAAUUCACUGUAAUAUUUCGCGAACUGGUCAACAAUACAUUGUGGGUUCAAAGUCUUCACUCCCUUAUUAUCUACUAGGAAGGCAAUCCUGGAGGUGACACAUCUCUCCUUUAGUUGUGACGCUAAUUUGGCGCCCGCUCUAUUUCCGUUGGCAAAAAAGAGACUCAUUUAGCCUCCAGGUGCCUGUCCCCUUAUUGGGGAAUGUUUCCUUGAUGCUAAGGGUGACAGGUGCGUGGUCAGACCAUGGCAUUGUUCCGAUAGUAGCUUCCUCUAUAUUAGUCAUGAAGGUUGCGGGGAUGAGAAAGCGGUCUAUACGGGAGUAGCUAUUGUGUGCCAGUGUAUGGCAUGUGUAGUCUACCUCCGUGGGGUGGAGGAUGCACCAUGGGUCCACUAAGUGGUUAGAGGCUAAUGUGGCGCACACUUUGGCUGCUAGAGCUGCUCUUUGCCGUAGGGUGUUUCUUGAAAGCCCUGCAGCAGUGGAGGAGUCAGACUCACUAUCUAGUAAGAAGUUUGUGUCACUUCCAAUGAUUACCUCCCCAUAUUUAUACAUGUCAAGUAAGGCCAGGGUCGAGGUCAGGAAUUCAUGCUGAUUUUCAUUAGGGCUGUAAAUAUUGACUAGCGUAUAUGCGUUAUUGUUAAGAAGGCAUUGCAAAAUCAGGUAGCGCCCUUUUCUAUCAGUUAUUUUGCGAACCAGAGAGAAUACUACAUCCUUACUUAUUAGGAUGGAAACACCUCUUUGUUUGGCCAUAAAGCAAGUGUGGAAGUCGUGGGGGAACCAUUUAGAGGUAAGUUUUGGUCUAUCUUUCCACCUGAAAUGCGUCUCCUGGAAGAACGCCACUAGAGCGCCACUUUUCCUUGCCUCCUGUAUAGCCAACCUGCGCUUGUGCGGGGAAUUGAGCCCUUUUGUGUUUAGGGACAUAAUUUUAAUCACCAUGACGUAUUUGUUUGGGUCGCUGCGCACUUAAGUAUGAAGGACUCGGAGUGUCCUUGCAAGAUGGGUACGGCACCUUUUUGGGUAUACUGGCGCGGGAGAGGGGGGAAACAACAGGGUAGUAACUAUAUACAGUAUUCCGUAUGUCACCAUAUGGGGACAUUGGGUUGCAUAGAGCAACGGACAAGUAUAGCUCUUAGGAGCUUUAAGAGCCUUGGGGGUGGCCCACGUGGAGCAGAUUGUCACGAUCCACAACGUACGUGGCUGUAACAAUGUUGGGGUAUAAGUAAGGCGGGUCCGGGGGUUCCUCCACCCGGUCGCGGCUUGGGCUAGGGAUGUUUAACCGGUAAUAUCAGAAUAGAUUACAAGGGGGAAAUUAGUUUAAGCAAAAUUAUAGAACCUGUACAUCUAGUCCAUUCGGUUUUCACCGAUAUAGGUCUGAACUGGUACUUCCUUUAUGGGGGAGAGGUUCUGCGGUCGGUGGAUGUGCGCAGGGUUUUCGUUGUUCGGUUCCAGUCUUUGGCGAGGGGUUUUGGUGCUGUUGUCUGUAGUGGUCCUUUAGGACUGCUGGCUUGUAACGGAAUGUCCCAUUCCUGGAGGAUCCUCUUUCCCUCGUCCGGGUUGAGUAUUGGUUUGUCCACGCCAUUCCGUUUGAUCAGUAGCUUUGUGGGGAAACCCCAUUUGUAGGGCACAUUUGCCGCUCGUAAUGCUGCAGUGAUGGGCGCAAAUGUGCGUCGUGCAAGCAUGGUUGUUGAUGAGAGGUCUAUGAAAAGUUUAAUGUCGGUAUAGGGUUCCGGCCAGCGGCCUGCCGUUCUGGCUGCUUGCAUGAUGCGGUCCUUGACUAGGUAGUAGUGGACCCUUGUGAUGGUGUCCCUUGUCGUGUCAGAUGGGAGAUGUUUGGGUUUGGGGAGGCGGUGUGUCCUGUCUAGGAUCAACUCUGCAUCCGUCAGUGAGGGAAUAAGCAUUUUGAAUAGGUCUUGCACAUAUUGGGUUAAUCCGGUCUGUGUAACAGAUUCUGGGAUACCUCUUAUGCGUAUAUUAUUCCUUCGGCUUCUAUCCUCUUGGUCUGCGACUUUCCCUUCCAGUACUUUGAGCUUCUGUACUAGGGAUGUGUGUGCCUCUGCCAUGGAGUUGUGUGCAUCAAUUAAUUCCUCUGUGCGCUCUUCCAGGCGCGCAGUGCGUUCUCCUAUGCUGUUGAUGUCUGACCUGAUGUCUGUUGCUAUUCGCUGCAGGUCUGCUUUGAAUUAUGUUUUUAGUUCUAGCAUGAUUGAUCUUAUGGAAGAGUUUGUUGCUGGGCUGUCCUGGCUGUGUCUGCUAUCCCCUGCUUCAGGGUCGCAUAUUGGGGAGUUGGGCCUUUCGGCGCCAUCUUGCUCACCAUGCUCUGUGACUUGGUUUCUCUCCAGAUGGGCAUGCAUAGUUUUUUGCUUCAUUUUUUUUUGCGGUUUCGUCGCCAUCGAGUAGGAGGGUAGUUCCCCUUGUUUUUGCUAGCUUUAACCGGUAGUUUGUCGGUUAUUCCACGCUGUGAUAGCCGCGGUAUCGGAGGAGCUCCGGUCUCACACGUCCGCUCACAUGCGCGGUCAGGACACGCCCCCCCCAAAAAACUUUUUUAAAGACAUGAGGGGGCAGCCAGAGAGCUCAGGCAGGCCCCCUGCAGGCACUGCACAAGCCGGCUACACAAGCCACAGGGGGACUGCCUGGGAUGCCAGGCAAGUCCCCACAUCGCGAUCGCUGGCGGGAGUUUAUAAUGCGUAAUUUGGCGCAUACGUACCAGCUUCGUCCAUGGUUGUUAACCAUUUUUGUUGGAAGGGGUUAAGGUAGAUAUGAAGAUACAUACCGUAUAUACUCGUGUAUAAGUCGAUCUCAUGUAUAAGUCGAGUGCAGUUUUGUGACCAACAAUUGUGAAAUAUGCUAUGCCUCGUGGAUAAGUCGAGGGUAAAACUUGGGGCUAUGAAAUUCUGUGAUUUUUAUAAUUAUAUACACAUACACUCAUACAAACAAACACUCUGCAUUAUAUAUACACGCACUCAUACAAACAAUCUGCAUUAUAUACACACACUCAUACAAACACACACUCUGCAUUAUAUACACACACACACUCAUACAAACACACACUCUGCAUUAUAUACACACACUCUGUGUAUAUAAUGCAGAGUGUUUUUAUAAUGCAGAGUGUGUGUUUGUGUAGUGUGUGUGAACUAGGUGGGGGGAGGGCAUUUGUAUUAUUUUAAUUUUAAUUUUAUUUUUAUAUUAUUUUUUUAUUAUUUUAAAUUUUUUUGUCCCCCCUCCCUGCUUGUUAACUGGUCAGGGAGGGGGGCUAUCUUAAUCCCUGUUGGUCCAGUGGCAUGGGCUGUGAAGUGGGGGGCCAGCAGGAAGCAUUUACUUACCUUUCCUGCAGCUCCUGUCAGCUCCCUUCUCCUCCGUUCCGGUCAGCUCCACUGUAAGUCUCGCGGUCUGGUUGCCGCAGGAUCGUUGCCAUGGCUCUGACGGCCGCGACUCUCUAAGUUGCCAUAAUACAGACAGUGACUCGAGUAUAAGUCGAGUGGGGGUUUUUAAGCACAAAAAAUGUGCUGAAAAACUAGACUUAUACUCGAGUAUGUACUGUAGUUAAUGAGAGCACUGAAGUUUGAUAACUAACAUUAAUAAGAGAUAUACAAUUAAUUACAGUGUAUCUCACCACUGUUAGAAUAGAUUAGGAGAGCUAGAUAUAGGACAUAGAUAGAGAUAUCAUAUACACUUAGUAAGGUCUUGCUGAAUUGGCAUGUGCAUCCACAGAAGUUUGUUAGAGGAUAGUGCUGAUGUAGAUAAGAAACAAUAUUUACAAGAAAAAAAUCAUAUAGACACAAAAUAAAUAUGAUAAAUUGGUAAUGAUUAUAAUAGCUUCAGAAAAUUAUAAUAGAUCAAUCAAUAAUAGUGUAAAUUUUUACAUGCUGGAAGAAUAUCGGACAAAUUAAUCUAAAAUAAAGGAUGUGUAUGAAAAGCCUUCAUUUAGGCCAGAUGGUGACAAUGUGUGUGAUUUGUAGAUCCAGAAACGUUCUCUCUGGAGAAGGGCUCUAUCCAGAUCUCCCUUGCAGGGUCCCAAUGACACCUUUUCUAACCCAGAAAAUCUCACACCUUCUGCUGAGCACCUAUGAUGUAAAUUCAAGUGUUUUGAUAUAGGGUUUUUGAUAUGCCUAUGAGGGUUAACUGAGUUAUGUGAUCAAGAAUUCUUGUCUUAAAGGAUCACUAUAGUCAACAUAUAAAAGCAAGAAAGACAGGUCCCCAAGCCUUCUUUCUUGCUUUUAUAUGAACUUUCAGUUAAUAAUAAUAAUUCUCAAAGCUUUUUUAUAAUAAAAACUUACCUCCGUUCCAGUGCCGGGCUCCCCGCCAGGCCACGGGGCCCAAUAGGAUGCUUCUCUUUGCGAAGCGUCAUCAUGAUGUGGUGCGCAUGCACAGCUUUGCGCUGCACCAAUCACGUUCUUCAUAGAGCGGCAUUGAAUGCUGCCCUAUGAAUAAACUCAGCGCUCAACCGCGCAUGUGCGUGGAAUGAGCGUCCGCAAGCUGAGCUGUCUGACUGACAACUCAGUUAGCUUUCUAUACCCUCCCCCCUCCUCAGCCAAACUUUGUGUGUUUGCAUAGAAACACUAUAUAUAGAGAUCUCUCUAUAUAUAGUGUUUGUAUACAAACACACAAAUAGUAAAACAUUACAAACAAGCACACACUCUCUCUCCAUCCCUAUCCAUACACCCCUAUCCAUCCCCAUCCAUCCAUCCAUAUUCAUCCAUCCCUAUCCAUCCAUCCAUCCCUAUCUAUCCAUCCCCCUAUCCAUCCAUCCAUAUCCCCAUCAAUCCCUGGAUGGAUAGGGAUGGGUGGAUGGAUGGAUAUGGAUGGGUCAAUAGAGAGGGAUGGAUGGAUCCAUCCCUCACUCAAUCCCACUCACCCACACUCACAAUCACUCACUCACCAACCCACACUCAGUCACUAACCCAUACUCACUCACCCCCACUCACAAUCACUCACCCGCCCACGCUCACAAUCACUCACUCACUGUGGCGAAAGGGACCUCACCACUGUUUUUUGGAGGGGACUGAUUGCCAGCCUCAUGCCUUGGCCUCUGGGCACUUUAACAACAGCAUUUGGGCUAUUGGACUUUUAUUGGACUGUGCUGGCCCUUUAAGAACCGUCUAGGGACAUAUUGAUACUUUGUGUGACAAUGCCCCUUUAAGACUAUGUCCCCAGACCUUUAAAAUCCUUUGUUUGUGGCUUUUUCCCACUUGGUUCAGUAAAUGGGGCUUCCUGAACCAAGUACCACACAGGCAGACCACCCAGAAGUGGAAGCGUGCUGCUAAUUUACCUCCCAGGCUAGGAGGCUGCUGUAGGUAAAUUGCCGACCACUGGGGGGCCGCCGUUCGUACAAACAAACACGUGGCGGCGGUCAUCUUUGUUCAUUCGAACGCGGUCAGCGGUGUGUUCCCCUGAAUCUAUGGAACUAAGUCCCGUUUGGCUAUUUGAACUCACUGCUAAACUGAGCCAUUUGCACGAAUGGUGCCCAGUCAUUUUUCAGUGUGAAAUUGAUCGGUCACAAAGGACUUCCAGCUAACUUUUUUUCAGUGUGAAAUUGAUCGGCACAAAGGACUUCCAGCUAACAGCGAAUAGACUUCAGCUGCGAAUGCCCUGGAACUAUUUUCGGCAUGAAGACUUUGCAGUUCCUGGUUGGUACCCCAGUGGCACUUAGCCGCGAUUCUAUGGAACUGUUUGGGGCAUGGGACCAUGCGUGCAGUCGUUCAAACUUUGACUUCCAGGAAAUUCCUGAACCGAUCUGGGUGAUUUUUGGAUAUAUUGGUCACCUAGAUCGGGGCAAUCAUGGGAUCUAACUUUAUGUGGGGGUUUCAUGUGUUCUGGGGGUUUUGUAAAAAUGUGUGGUUUUUAUGUCUGGAGACAAUUGAGUUAAUACAGUACUUGACUCAAUUAUCUCCCAGGUACAGAGGAGGUAUUGACCUAGUUUGUAUGGGAGUGUCCUGGAUCUGAGAGUCAAUGUGAUUGUGUAUUUGUUUCUACUGUGGUUUACUCUCAGGUCCAGGUGGGGGGGGGCUUGCAUGUCAUAAAAGGCCAGUUGUGGUUCCAUUAAAAUGAGUUCACUUCACCCUCAACACAGAGCCUCGUCUCGUGAUUGUCGGGAACAGCUAUACCUGCUUCAAAUUGCUAUACUGACUAUAAUCACUAGCUCUCUCUGGAGUCUGGAAGCUGGAUCCUGGGUUUGGGUCCAGUGUGGGUGGAGGACAGCGAGACCCCAGCCAGGCUGCAGCAGCUAAGGUGCUACGGUGCUUAUGGUGUCUGGUGGAGUGCUUGGAGCACUUGGAGAGCACUAGAAGCAUCGAUUGACAGAGGCACCCGGUCUGGGUGCCAGGCGGUCCGUCACAUCAAGUGUAUACAAUAUUUCUAUCUAUAUCCUGUAUCUAGCCCUCCUUAUCUAUUCUAACAGUGGGGAGAUAUACUGUGGUUAAUUAUAUACCACUUAUUACUGUUAGUUAUUAUCGACAUAUCAUAAGUUUCAAACUCUUCAGUACUCCCACUAACUAUGUAUAUUCAUUUCUACCCUAAUAUAACUAUAUACAGUGAACAUUAGCAUAUUAAGUACUGGCUGAAAUGACUCUUGCACCCCUGUUAGAAUUUCUACUUUGAAUGUUUUUUUCAUUUUAUAUCCCUCUAUUAGGACUUUUGCACAUUUAUAUGUGUAACUUAGUCCUUUGAAUGAGGGUGAUAUAUAAGGGUAUGUAUUUGGUAGAUUAGCCCCCUGUUUUGACUAUUUACUAAUUUAAGCGUAUUGACCAUGUAGUGUCUCUUUAAUAUCAGUUCAUUACGAUACUCCAAUAUAGUUAAAAUGCAUAUUGGCUACAUUUUCUUUAUGAUCAAGUAAUUGUGAGAUGGCUAAUCCUUACCAUUCAUUCUUCUGAACAGGCUACACUUUGAAUGCCCGUUAUUAACUUUGCACACAAAAAUAGGCAUUUUGCUAUAACCUUAUAGUUCUCAUUUGAGAUUUAACUGUUGGAUGUCUUGUACUGUAUGAGGCUGAUACUAUUCUCUCUCUCCCUUACUGUUCAUUUUUAGUAUAGAUUGUGGGUACUGUGUUUUAGUUAUAAUAAAGUGAUAUCAAUAUUAUUUUUUUCCCACAGAGACCCACAUUAUUUUCCUUAACUAUACUUUGGUAGCUCAGGAGUAUUCUUAUAAGGCUUGGUUCACUAUAUAUAUUUUUUGCUUUGGUCACAUAGUAUACUUUUUUGUCUAUUAUAGUAUACUGAUACUGUUACAUAUUUAUGUGGCUACUUUCCACAUCUUUAUGUGGUUACGAGGUAGUCUUUCCUUUUUCUAAAAAGUCUCACAAAAUCCCUUGAAGUUUGACUGUUAGCUUGAUUGAUGCGUCAUAGAGAUAAGACAUUUAUGAAGUCAAAUGUAUCACACAAUUCAAUUAACCCCUCAUACAAAGUGGUAGUGGGAAUUUGGAAUGAGAAAUUAUUGUGAUGCUAUAACUCCAUCUACUGAUCAAUGUAUUUCAAUCAGUAGAAGAAGGUACACCCACCUAAUCCCAUUGGUCACUUUAAAUUAGUGACAUAAAGAAACUUAAGGUCAUAAAAGGCCAGUUGUGGUUCCAUUAAAAUGAGUUCACUUCACCCUCAACACAGAGCCUCGUCUCGUGAUUGUCGGGAACAGCUAUACCUGCUUCAAAUUGCUAUACUGACUAUAAUCACUAGCUCUCUCUGGAGUCUGGAAGCUGGAUCCUGGGUUUGGGUCCAGUGUUAAAAAUGAAGCCAGAUCAGACAGGAGAAAGAGAUGCAGGGUUGGAUGUAAGAUCAUCAGAUGAGACCGGACAAAGGAAAACAGCUUGGACACCGCUAACACUCUGCUUCUUUCCAACUGAAUUCUGGGACUUUGUUAAAAAUCAGAACGAUCUCUAUAUUUUUUCACUCAUUUGUCCAAACACUGUCUAUUUGCACGCACCAAUUAUGGAAUAUGUCUCCAAACCUAUAGAAUUUCUACCAGGAAAGCUGGUAAAUAUGCUGGUUUAGUUAAAAUUAAUAAAUUUUUACUAAAAGCAGAAAUAUACCUGGAUAAUGCUGGUCAGAUUUCAAACCUUUUGAAAUCAUAUUUAGCGGAGGGGUUUGUGUAUCAAUCAAAUCAAUUCUGCAAGUGAAUAAGAAUUGCGUAUAAAAUCACUGGUAAUUUGCCAAGUUUAGAGUAUCAAGCUAUUAUCCAGAGAUAAUUGACCUAUCUGAAUUUAGGGAUAGUUCAUCUUUAAUCAGAAAAGUUAAUAAUCUGCAGUGUAAAACAUGGUUAAAAAUAUUUUUUGGUUACUGGAUGAAUAGUUAAAUUGACUAUUUGAGUGAGACAUAUUGUAUCUUUUUAGUUGCAAUAUUCAAGUGGUUAGCUUGUGUGAAUUGUAGCCAGCAGUAAGUGAGUACAUUCUCAGAUACUGUCAGUCUGCUAGGGUCACGCUAAGAUUUGUUUAAAUCUUUGUGUAAAGGAAUUCAAGAAAGUUGAAAGUUACCUAUGGCAUUGUUAAAAAUGCAUGUGUGGAUAUAACUGUUAAUUAAUUUGAGUAAUUGUUUGUAAUUUUGCAUGUAACUCCUUUAGAAAUGAAUCUACUUAGUUUAGAAAAACGUCGCCUGAGAGGGGAUAUGAUAACAUUAUACAAAUAUAUUCGGGGCCAAUACAAACCAUUGUGUGGAAAUCUAUUCACAAACCGGACUUUACAUAGGACACGAGGCCAUGCGUUUAGACUGGAAGAAAGAAGAUUUCGCCUAAGGCAAAGGAAAGGUUUUUUACUGUAAGAACAAUCAGGAUGUGGAAUUCUCUGCCUGAAGAAGUGGUUUUAUCAGAGUCCAUACAGAUGUUCAAACGGCUACUAGAUGCAUACUUGCAAGAACAGAAUAUUCAAGGAUAUAAUCUUUCAAUGUAGGGUAAUAACUGCUUGAUCCAAGGAUAAAUCUGACUGCCAUUCUGGGGUCAAGAAGGAAUUUUUUUCCUAGCUUGUUGCAAAAUUGUGCUUCAAACUGGGUUUUUUUGCCUUCUUUUGGAUCAACAGCAAAAAACAUAUGUGAGGAAGGCUGAACUUGAUGGACGCAAGUCUCUUUUCAGCUAUGUAACUAUGUAACUAUGUAACUACUCAAGUUGCUGGAAAUGUUGAUAUUAAAAUAUCUUUAAUUGUGGUUUUUGUACAGUUUUGGCACAAAAAUGUGCCAAAAAUGUAUACUUAUAGUAUACUAAAUAUUCACUGAUAUUGUCAUGCAUGUUACAUAUUAUUAUUAAUUAUUUGUCACAAAAAAUUAUAUUUUUAUAAUCGGUUGUGAUUAACGUGUGAAAUACAAAUCCUCUAAUAAACAUACUCCAGGGUCUAUAAGAGUUAAAAUAGUGGGUAAAUCUUCGCUUUAAAUCAAUCAAGGAGAAACCGGGCCAAAAUAUCACAUUUGUUAAAUGCAUUUUUGAUAAUUUUUAUAAAAUAGUAUUAUUAAUAUUUAUUAUCGCAUAAAUAUCCUCACAGGUAUAAUUGGGCAUUGACAAAUAAGUAAUAAAAAAGAGUGAAUGCUUCCAAUUCAGCAGACUGUAGGAUUGACUCAUCCAGCUGAAGUUGCCAAAUCAAGAACUGGCCAUGGCAGAACAGCCACUGGUAUAUGCAUUCAAGCAGAGCAGACAUUAUGAGAUACAGAAAAAUAUAUGCAAUGGUCACAGUAAAUAGUAGCGCUUGGGGCAGCGAAAUCAGGUUUAGGACACAGACAACAGAGGACUCACACCUGUUGGGGGGGAGAGGGAGAAACUAUGCCCACAGUCAGACACUGCAGAACAGUAUCUUAAAAUUAUGUCACAAAGAGUGACUUCAAUUAUAGUGGUACUCAGCCACACAAAAGCAGCACUACACAAGAUAAAAAUGUCUUAAGAAUUUUACCACUGAAGGGAUAUUUAAAACAGGCACAGUUGAUAAUACAAUGGUAAAGGGGUUCACAGAGCUCCAAAUGGAAAGGAACAGCCAUUCAGCAAGUCUUCAAGUAGCAAAACUAUAGCAGACAGAAGCAAAGAUCCCACUAACACUGUGUCCACUAUGAAGAAACACGCAUGAUGUGCUAUUAAAAUGCUACUGGGUCCGACCCAGUUUGGAAGGCAUAGGAGCAUCACCACGAUAGGCCAAGGGAAGCACUGUAGAAAUAGGGAUUUAUAUGGGAACCUGGUCUCACCAGUGAAUAUUGAAAAAAAUGGGCCACAAAACCCAGUUCCUAAGUGAACUAAAACAGACCAGGGAGAACUCUGAUUUUUUUUUGGUUAUACUACAACUUCACAAUAAGGCCCACAAUACCGUGAUACCUAAUAGCACUAUCUAAUAGGAUAAGGUUAAAUAUUUCAUUAUCACAUUGUUUUAGUACAUGCGUAGGCCUAAGCCACAGUACUUUAUUCAAUGUUUAGUUAAUAAUAAUAUUGUGUAAAUUCAGAAUAUAAUGCUUAAAGAAACACGAUCACCUAUGAUUCACCUUAAAUGGAAGGACCAAAAAGAAAAAAAUAAGAAGUUGUUUAAAGGACCACUGUAGGCACCCAGACCACUUCAGCUUAAUGAAGUGGUCUGGGUGCCAGGUCCCUCUAGGAUUAACCUUUUUUUUUAUAAACAUAGCAGUUUCAUAGAAACUGCUAUGUUUAUAAAUGGGUUAAUCCAGCCUCUAAAGCCUCUAGUGGCUGUCUCAUUGACAGCCGCUAGAGGCGUUUGUGUGCUUCUCACUGUGAAAUUCACAGUGAGAAGAUGCCAGCGUCCAUAGGAAAGCAUUGUGAAUGCUUUCCUAUGAGACUGGCUGAAUGCGCGCGCAGCUCCUGCCGCGCAUGCGCAUUCAGCCGAAGGAGAGGAGGAGGAGAGCUCCCCGCCCGGCGCUGGAAAAAAGGUAAGUUUUAACCCUUUCCUCGCCAUCCAGCCCGGCGGGAGGGGGUCCCUGAGGGUGGGGGCACCCUCAGGGCACUACAGUGCCAGGAAAACGAGUAUGUUUUCCUGGCACUAUAGUGGUCCUUUAAGAUGCACUAGUAGAAAUAAAAAGAUGAGGAAGAUAAUUAAGGGAAUUAAUUAAGUUAAUUAACACAAUGCUUUAUCUAUACAAGAUAUAAUAGGAAUGUUUCUCUCAGAAUCAAAGCACACAUAUUUAUUUUUAUUUUAUUUACUUAUUUAUUUAUUUACAUAAUUUUUUUCUUCCCGUCCCCCUCUCUGGUGCAGAAGAAUCUAUAUUGGUAAAAUUCAAGGUCAAUCUAUAUCUGUUUAAUUACUUACAAUAGCCAUAUAUUACAUUAUAUUAUGGCUAAACAGAGAAGAACAUGAGCUACAAAAGGUUUAUAGGGCAUAAAUGUUAUCUAGCUUCUAGGCUUUCGUAUUAGGCACAGUAUAAGUAAUGGCUUUUGAUGGCUAGGGUUGACUAAAGUAUUAAAAUACUAGUCUUGAUUGGGUAGUAUUUGUUAUAGUUUUGUUAUAGAAGACGGUCUCCUCCCUAUGAGUACUAUACUGAGAUACUGAUAUGGCACUGAAAUAUUGGGCUCUUCAAUGAUCCUAAUAAACAGGUGUCAAUUCAUUGAUGCCUUGGCUUUUGCUUAAACUGCUAGGUCACUUAGGUUUAUUUGAUCUAGCUGUAUUGUGUUUUAUGUUGUGUGAAUGUUUGGACCAUCCUGAAAAUGCUGAUAAUGUACCUAAUGAAGGUUAAAUGUUUAAGUUGAUAUCUAUCAAUGCACAGGGCUUAAACUCACCCUCCAAAAGGUUUUUAUUAUACAAUACUAUACUCAAGGAAAAAAGCUUUUUCUUUAUUCAAGAAACCCACUGGAAAAUAGACAAUAAACAGCUAUGGAAUUAUAGGAAAUACCCGCUGGUUUAUAAAGCUUCUCUAAAAGAUGUUUUUUUUUUGUUUUUUUUUAAAGGGAGGAGUUGCAUUUAUAGUAUCUAAUAUGCUUGAUUUCAAACUUCAAAUAAGAGUCAUUAAACAAUUGGCUGCUUUAACUAGACUAUGUAAAUGUAAUGCUUUGUAUGAUUGCCGGUGUUUAUUUCAUCCAAACGAUAAAGAUUUUACCCAUACUUCUAAAGUAUUUGGUUCCUUUGCUAUAUUAGAUAUGUGCAUGGGAGACCUAAAAUUGGUUGGGACUCUGAACAAUGUAUACAUUAGAGGCAACACUUGGUCGUACCAUGAUAUCUUAAUUCUAGAAUUAAAGAUAGAGAUUCACAAAAUUCCUCCCCCUUGGAAAUUAAGUCAGAAAGUAUAUAUUCAAAAGAGAUUAGAGAAUACAUUACAAAAAAUGUCUAAACUAUUUUUUAAAGAAAAUUCUACAAAGGAUAUGUCAAAAGAUACCCUUUGGUGUACAUUUAAAUCUGUGAUUAGAAGCUACUGGAUAAAACUUUCCAGCCAGGAACAAAAACAGAAUCUUUAUAAAAUAUCAGAUUUAUAUCUGAAUUUGUAUAAAUGAUGAUAUAAGAUAUAUGAUUUAGCAGCUAGAGCUAAGCUUGAUCCUUCUCUAGAAUAUUUAAUAACACUUAAAAAUCAGCAAGAACAAAUGAAUCAAUUGCUAAAAAUAACAAUGGAAAACAAUUUUCACAAAUUGCGGAUUAAAUACUACUAUAGAAAUAAUAAAGUCAGUAAACAUCUCACUAAAAAAACUGAAGAAGAUAAAACAAUAUGCAAACUUGUAGUAGCAGGUAAAGUGAUUCAUACACCAGAUAUGAUAGGGAACUCUUUUAAAGAGUAUUAUAAAGAUCUGUAUAAUCUAUCAUAUAACACUUCUACUGCUAGGAUAGAAGAAUAUAUAAGGCAAAGUAAUAUCCCUAAACUCUCAGAGGAACAACUAGAUCUCCUAAAUCAAGUAAUAAAUAUUUUGGAAGUAGAAAAAGCCAUUGAUAACUUGGAUAAAUAUAAAGCAUGUGGUCCUGAUGGUUGCCCUAAUAAUUUUUAUAAAACCUUAAAAAAAGAUGUGGCACCAAAUCUGACAUUAGCUUUUAAUGAAAUAGCAUCUAAUAGAAAAGCCGCUAAGGAAUUUUUAGAAGCUAAUAUUCUACCAAGAUCCCACAGAAAUUGUUAAUUAUCAACCAAUUGUGUUGAUGAACAUAGACAUUAAAUUGUACGUGUCGAUUUUAGCAAAUAGAUUCAAACAAGUGAUACACUUUGAUCAGAUUGGGGAUUCUGGGGAGAACUUCAUGUAAUAACGCUCGAAGAAUGAUAGACAUUUUAGACCUGGCUGGGAAGCAGGGUUUUCCCCUCCUUACUCUGUCGAUUGAUGCUGAGAAUGUUUUCGACAGAGUGGGAUAGGGUUAUCUAGAAAAGACUUUAAUUGCCUUUGGUUUCAAGGGAGGGAUUUUAAAUGCAGUGAUGGCCAUAUACACAGUUCAUACAGCUAGGAAUUAUAGGAUAUGACUUUUGUACAGACUGGUUUCUACUAUUCAGUGGUACACUACAAGGUUGUCCUCUUUCUCCUUUGUUAUACAUUUCAUUGAUAGAGCCCCUAGCAAGCAAUAUAAGAAACAAUAACUGGAUGAAAUAAAAUUGUUUCUACGCUGACUAUGUGCUCAUUACGAUUAGUAACCCCAAUAUUUUUUUGCCUACCCUUAUGUAGAAAUUUAAUAAAUAAAUAAAUUCCAACUAUAAAUUAAAUAUUAGUAAAACAUUUGUUAUGUCCAAAAAUAUAAAGGAAUAAGUAUUAUCUGAUUUAAAAAGAAAGUUUACAUUUUUAUGGACAACAUAAGAAUUUUUUUUCUUUUUCUUUUUUUGUUUUAGACUUAGACCUGCCCUCCAUACGUAUUGUAUUAUUUCUGUGAAAUGGGCUUUGGUGCAGUGUCAUCAUCAAUAUAUUGCUGCUUGUUAUUCUACCCCUCUCUCCCAAUCUAUGUCUCCAUUCAUAUACAAUUUUUGCACAUUAUAAGUUUUUGUAAUUCUUUAAUUCAAAUAAUUGUAUAAAUUGUGUGGUAUCCUCCUCUUUGUUUUUAAUGAGGUGUUUUGCUAAAAAGCUUUUAAUUCGUAAGUAGUUGAACGUUUCACUGGAGGGGAUAUUAAAUUCCUUCAUAAUUUGGUUGAAAGGUUUAAGGUUACAUAGUUACAUAGCGGAAAAGAGACUUGCAUCCAUCAAGUUCAGCCUUCCUCAGGUUUCUUCCUUCACAAUAUCUUUAAAUAUCUUCACACCAUUUGACAUCCAUGGAUCUAUUCUUAUGUUUUCUAACAUAUCUAAGAUGCUUACAAAUAGGAACAUAUCAAUUAUUUUGUUUCUAAGGCCUUUCUUAUUUGUAAUUUUAUCCCACCAACUCGUUAGCUCUUUGAGUAUCCGGGAUUUGCUUCAUGCCUCUCUCAUAGAUUUUUUUUAUUUCCCUAAAGAAUCCAAAAUAAUCAGCGGCUCCCUCGGCGCCGGUGACCUCUCCUCCCGCGCCGACGACAGCUCCCAAGUGGAGCGGAAUGCGCAUGCGCGGCAAGAGCCGCGCGCACAUUCUAACAGUCCAUAGGAAAGCAUUCCUCAAUGCUUUCCUAUGGACGCUCUGCGCGAUGGAUGCAAAAUUCGCAUCCAGCAUCGCAGAUGUGCCUCUAGCGGCUGUCAGGAAGACAGCCACUAGAGGCUGGAUUAAACCCUAAUGUACAUCUGAAGGGUUAAAACCUGGGGGCCCUGGCACCCAGACCACUUCAUUGAGCUGAAAUGUUCUGGGUGACUAUAGUGUCCCUUUAAGUUUGUCUAUCGAUAUGGGCUGAUUUAAUUGCCUUAAUUGAUAGGGUUGGAUUUUUGGCAUGGGCAAGUUUUCAAAGAACUUCUUAAUCUCUUUUGCAUUGCCAAAUGUUUCUUCUGGUAAGCUGUAUAAAUUUUGGUAAAAUCUUUCUAAUGCACCUCGGAUUUUUUCCAGAGCCAUUAGAUAAGUCAUUCUCUCUUAUUUUGUGUAUUACUCUUUUAUAUUUCUCUUUUUUCAGCUUAUUGGUCAUCAUUGUUUCUGGUUUAUUGCCUUUUAGAUACCAUUUAGCUUGCAAUGCUUCUAGAAUGCUUCUUGUUUGGAUGCUUUAUUUAUUAGUUGUUUAUUAAUCUGGUUUUCUAUUUCUGCAAUCUUACUUGCUGUUUGUGUAGAAGGUAUUAGUUUGUUUUGCCUUUUGUGUUCGCUUAAUGUUAUAUAUAGUUUUGAUAGGGGCCCUUGUAUUUUCUGCUUUAUCUUUCUCAGCAUUUUUUAUAAUUUUUUAUUUGCUGCUUUAUUUGAUGCGUAUAUAUUAACUAGUGUAAAUAAUUUAUUGUUAAUUUCACAUAUCAAGAUAAUGUAUUGCCCUUCUUGUUCUAAUUCUUGAUAUUUGAUAAUUUGGGAAAAGAAUUUUGCAAACAUAAAUGCAACACCCCCCUUUUUUUUCCUAAGGCUGUCCUUAUAAUUAUAAUGUAUCUUGAUGAGUUUAGUGCCUUUUCUUUGGCUUUUGUCCAGUGGGUGGCUUGAAGGGCACAAAUUUAUACCCGAUUUUUUAUAAGAUAAUAUACAAUUAUUGACCUUUUGCAUAGUAUAUUUAUCCCCGGGCAUUUAUAGAAAUCAACUUAAUUUAUAGUAAGUUCUUAUUUUUUUAGGCUCUCUCUCUCUGCAAAUGUUAGCAUACAUAUAUAAAGACCAAAAACAUUUUCUUUGUUCAUAUUUACAUAAAAAUAAAACGGGUUGAUCCAAAACGAUGGCAUCAACCUAAGAAAUGUAUUGUGUAAGGCGGCUAACUCCCGCCAUACUGUAUCUCAAGUAAUGAAUCUCAUUACUCAGAUAUGGGUCCCACAUAUCAUGUGGGAGAUGUGUACUGAGGGGGGGAGAGGGUGAGGGAAGAAAGGAGGAAGUAAAAGAGAGUAGAAAAAAAACCUAAAUCUGUUCCCUUCAUGACUUCACCUUUUUAUAUUACUUAUUCUUUAAGUGCAUUUUUCUCAGUCUUCCUAAUUUCUUCUUUGCAAAGUGCUAGUGUUAGUUUUAAAAUAUCACUUCGGUCUUUCCCCUUGAUUUAGAAUCUUCCCUAUCUAAUUGUGUUUUCUGUGAUUUAACUUUUUUCCUUUUCCCUGUCACCUCUUCUAUUUAUCACUUUUUUUUUCUUUUCCCCUUUCUUUAGUGAAUUUCCUUCUUUUCUACAUCCUAGUCGUGAUACGCAUGUAUAGAGUCUCUCUUAUUCUUCCUCUUUUUCCCCCUUAUAUUGCGUUCAUUUCUAUGUGAAUUACUUAGUUAAUAUUUUUUUCUUGUGAUCUGUAAUUAUAUUUAUUUAUCUUAAAUUUCUUUUGUGUACUCGUGUCUCCCACAGACCCCUAACCUUUUAGAGUACAAAUUUUUUUUAAAAUAUAUAAGCAUAAACCAAACCAACUAAAGUUACCUAAUAUAUUUCCCUUCACCCCCUUGCUCCCUCCCCUCCCUCCCCAUUUCUUUGAAUAUUUCCAAUUAUAUAUAUAUAUAUACAGCUUUUCAAAUCUUCUGCACUAUUGCUAUAUACGAGUUUCCCUUCAUGUGAUAAUGAUUUUCGUGGGGAACCCCCAACGGUAGUUUAUAUUGUUUUGUCUCAGGAUCAGUGUGCCUUCAGCAAAAGUUCUUUUUUGUCUAGUUGGCCAUGACAGAUCUUGGAAUACUUUUAGGGUUGCAUAUUUUUCUAUGCAUCCAUUAUUUCUUAUGGCUCUCAAAAUUUGCAUCUUCAGUUUAGAGGAGGUGCAGCAUAACAAGACGUGCAGCAUAACAAGACAUCUCUUAGGAGAUGUUCUGGGACUCCUUUAGGUUUAUAUUUUCUAUGACAUCUUUCCAUCAUAGGGAUUCUCUGGUCCCAUUCUACCUUCAAUUGUUUAAAAAAUUAUUCAAUAUAUGGUUCUAGAUUUAUUUGAUUUAUUUGCUCUGGUAUGCCUCUGAUUCUUAAGUUGUUCCGUCUUGACCGGUCUUCUAAUUCUGUCAAUUUAUUUUCCAUAUCCUCCAUUCUUUUCUCUAGUGCCUGAUGUACUUCUUUAUAUAUGUUUUCUUUGUGUUCUAAUCCCUUUAGUUUUUCUUCUAUUCCCAAAAAUUGUUGUUGUUGUUGUUGUUGUUUUAAUUUGGAUUUCUUCUCUUAAUAUCCCAAAUUGUUUAUCUAGAUGUCUAAGUAGAUCAUCAUAAUCGCUUUUUGCAUCACUUUGAUUUAAUUCUCGGGUUUCUUCCCUUUGUGCUAUUUUACUGCUUGCCUCUAAAGAAAUAUUAGAGAGAAUCGAUUUCUCCAUGAUUGUUUUAUUAGUUGUUGAAUUUGGUGAAAAAAAGGAAAGGCGUGUUUCUGUUUUAUUUUCCAGCUUUUUUUCCCCCCCUUUUUUUAAAUACUUGCCGUUUUGUAUCUUUUUUGUAGCCAUUGUGUUUUUUUCUGUGCCUUUAUUUUUUUAUUUUUUUUUUAGCCUAAAUAUUUCUUUUUUUUACACCCUUAUCUCUCUUAUCCUAGUAUGCCUUUAUAUUUGAUUUACACAUAGAAGCCAAUAAAUAACCCACUCGUUGAAGUCUAAGGCAAACACACUUAUCCCAGCUAAUUAACAAUCUGCUCCUUAUUAUGGGGAAGAUUAGAUUAAUUUGCUUAGUUAUCAAAUCUAGUUGUUACCCUCUUUUUACUGCUUCCUAGUAUGCCAAUAGUAUUGAUUUUUAUCAGACCUUGUUAUGGGACUUAGCAAUGUGGAAAAACCAGGUUGCCACUUAUCUUGUGGGAUUUAUCCCAGCUUGCAAUCGUCACACUUUACUUUUGCAAGAUACUAAGGUUAACCCUAUUAACCUUCCGAAUGACACCUCAAUUACCCUACAACAGAUUUUAAGUCAAUGGAAAAUUAUCAAAAAACAACGAUUCACUAAUAAAGUAUACUGGGGAACAUCUAUUACUCUUUUAGAGAAAAUAAUUCUUGACCUUAAUUUAUCCAAUUGGAAUAGAUUUCAAAACUUAGUUAUUAAUGACUCAUGCAUCAACAAUGAAAUUUUACAUUUUAGCGAGAUAUCUACCAAAUUGGAGAUCUCUAAUCGAAGAGUAUUUUCCUAUUUAAGAAUUAAAAGUUUUCUUAGAGGCCAUCUCUUGAAACUUAACAACAAUGAAGAAAGAUUUAUGAAAAAAAUCUUUAAUGGUAAGCCAGUAAAAAAAUCUUUUCAUGUGCAAAGGCACUAUUAGCCUCUAGACACCCCUCAUUCUAUCCCCCAGUGCUAAAAAAGUGGGAAAAUUACUUAAGAUAUACAAUUACUUUAAUGGAUUGGUCUGCUUCAUUAACUAAAACUAAAAAUGCUAUUCAUUGUUUAAAUAUUCUUGAAAUGCAUGUAAAGAUUUUACAAAGAUGGUACAUGGUUCUUAAGAGACUAGCUAUGUUCUCUUCAACAAAUUCCCCAAUUAUGCUGUUGCUGUGGGAAAGUGGUGGGCUCUUUGACACGUUUGGUGGAGUUGCUCCUUGAUUAUUCAAUUCUGGAAAAGUGUAUGUAACGGAUCACCUGGCACCACGACUGGGUACGUCCAUUGAAGGAUGCUCCUAGCACUUCCUGAGGACUCCAAGCACUCCAGCCGACACCAUAAUCACUGUAGAAUCCUUCAGAGAGCAAGCCAGGAACAAGCUCUUACAAGAGCUUAGUAGUGAUAUAGCAUAACAAUCCCUUGUAGCAGAUUCCCCCAAUAAGAGACGACAUUCCAAAUUGAGGGUAAAGUAGAACUGAAGCUUUUUAUUCAAACACUCUGCUUUUAUGCCCAUUCUACACACAUAGUACCGCCCACAGGGUUUUGAAGAACAAACCAAUCAAUACAUUACAACACAGCUAAACACUCCCAUUCAUACCAGCAGAAAUCCUCCCCUCUGCCUGUGAUACAAUUAUUGAACACAAUGGGCUAACGUAAUUAUCACAGGCAGGAAAAUACACAGUUUUACACAAUAUUUAUAACUUUAAAAGUGUACAUCACAUUCACACUUACAUUUUCAGAAUCAGCAUACUCCAAAUACAAACAUAUGUCAAAAUCAUACAAAUUGGUCCAGUAGGUCAAAAGUUAGUUAGAAGUCCCUUUUUGACCAACUGCAAGCAUAACUUGGGUGUGGUAAACCAAUUAUCUCCAGCAUACAGAAAAUAUCUCCAUUUACAACAACAGUAAAAACACAUAAAAAUACAUAAUUCCUAUCAUAUUGAACAGAACCCCCACAUUCAACCUAUCCCCAGAUAGCUUGGAUUUGAGCGCUCACUAUAUCUGAACAGCGCUCAGAUCCAAUGAACACAGUCACACCUUCCCAUGUAUUCAAAGUGGCAGAAAAAGUGUUUCAAAAUCCAAUAAGCCCAAAUAAGUUUCUUAAAGGGCAAUACAUUUCAGGGGCCAUAGUCACAGGGCAGGAGGCUGGCAAUCAGUCUUCUCCAAUGCCCAGUGGCGAGGCUGGUUCCGCCACAGUGUAUAUAAUACCAUAACGUAUAUCGGUGGUAUUAUCUUACCCAAUAAGCCAGAAGUAGCCUUGUUUCAUUUAAAUUGGAAGUCAGAAAACAAUGAUUGUAACUAUACACUGCUUAAUGCCAGCUAAAGUGAUGAUUGCCAGACACUGGAGGAUGAGUUUAACCCCUCUGUUGUACAUUUUAAAAACCAACUACCCCAUCAACUAGAGAUGGAAAAAGGCAUUAUUAUUUAUAUAGUGCCAGUAAACUCUGUAGCGCUGUACAAUGGGUGGACUAACAGACACUUAAUUGUAACCAGGACGCACAGGAACAGAGGAGUUGAGGACCCAGCUUACAUGCUAGAGGAAGUAAGUUAUGGUGAGAGGGUAUAAGUAGGAGUAAUGAAAUAGGUUGCUAGAAAAGUAUUCACUGAGAAGUAGGGGUAAUGAAAUCGUUCGCUAGAAAAGUUAUCACUGAGAACUUAGUAGGUUAUUUUUUACAGUUGCAGGAGAGGAGUCCUGGGGGGAGGGGUGGAAUGAAAACCCACUAGCAGUUUAGAUGAUAUGCCUUCCUGAAGAAGUGUGUUUUCAAAGAUUAUUUGUGGAGACUGGGUCUAACUGAGAAGGGAGUUCCACAGAAAAGGUGCAGCCCUGGAGAAGUCUUGGAGGCGAGCAUCAAAUGUGGGAGGACAUAUUUGUGUAGGUUGGAGCAGCAUUAUUUAGGGAUUUGUAAGCAAGCACCAGAAUCUUAAAUUGAGCCCCAUAUCUUACUGGAAGCCAAUGUAGAGACUGACAGAGAGGGGAGGCAUGGGAGGUGCGGGCGGACAGGAAAAUGAGCCUCACUGCCGCAUUCAUUAUAAAUUGCAGUGGUGCAAUCUGGGAACACGUAAGAUGUAAGAGAAGGGAAUUGCAGUAGUUAAGGCAAGAAAGAACAAUGGCAUGGACCAGCACUUUAGCUCUGUCUGGUUAAAUAAGGGCGGGUGCGAGCUAGUUAAAUAAGCUGGUUAACGAGCUGGUUAAGUAAUGGCGAAUGCGAGCUAUGUUUUUGAGAUGGAAGUGGCAGGAUUUGGCGAUUGACUCAACAUGAGGGGGGAAGGAGAGGUUGGAGUCAAAGAGAACACCUAGGUAGCGAGCACUUGGAGGGAGACAAUCACAGGAGUAGCAACACUUGAGGGAGGAAAGAUCAGAAGUUCUGUUUUGGACAGGUUGAGUUUAAGGAAAUGAUCAGCCAUCCAGUUGAAAAUCACGGAGAGGCGGUCAGAGACACGAGUCAAGAUGAGUGGAGAAAGAUCAGGAAAGGACAUUUGAAAAGAUUUGUGUGUCAUCUGCAUAUAAAUGAUAGUGGGUAAUCUGCCACUCUGAUCGACUCAACCUGACAGUUUGCUGUCUCCCGGGUGCUCGGGUCCAGCAUGUUGCUGACAGAGUGGAGGGAUUAUUGGGGGGGGGCCAAUAUGGACCAUGACCCAGCUGUCAUGGUCCAUAUUGGUACCAAUGACAAAGUCAGAGGAAAAUGGAAAGUCCUAAAGAAUGAGUUCAGGGAACUAGGAAGUAAGCUAAAGAAAAGGACCUCCAAAGUAAUAUUUUCAGAAAUAUUAGCUGGGCCGCGCGCUACAGCAGAAUGGCAGCGAGAGAUUAGAGAGGUCAUUGCGUGGCUGAAGUCUUGGUGCAGGAAAGAGGGUUUACGGUUUUUAGAGCACUGGGACGAUUUUGCGCUUGGAUACAACCUGUAUAGUCAUGAUGGAUUGCACCUAAAGGGAAGAGGGUCUGCUGUGCUGGGGGAUAUGAUGGCUAGAAGGUAGGAGGAUAUUUUAAACUAGUAGUAAGGGGGGGAUGGUCAAAGCAAUCUAAAAAAAUGGAGAUAGGAGGUAUGUAAUAUUGAUAAUUCACAAAAAGUACAAAUGACUCAUGAUAAUAUUAAAUGUAUGCUUAUUAAUGCAAGGAGCCUAUAUAACAAAAUGGGGGAACUAGAGGCAAUAGCAUACACUAAACAAUAUGAUAUAAUAGGCAUAACAGAAACAUGGUGGGAUGAGACACAUGACUGGGCAGUUAACUUAAAUGGGCACACGUUAUUUAGGAAGGAUAGGAAAAACAAGAAGGUUGGUGGGGUAUGUUUGUAUGUCAACCAUGAAUUAAAGUCAAAUCUUAGGCAUGUGGAGUGUGACGAGGAAAAUGUGGAAACUUUAUGGGUAGAUAUCUGCUUGGGGCAAACAUCGGUAAAGCAAUUAUUUGUUGGGAUAUGUUAUAAACCACCUAAUGUAAAUAUUAAUGAGGAAGAACAGCUGGCAAAGAACAAUUGGAAAAGCUGCAAAUCGGGGUAACACUUUAAUUAUUGGAGAUUUUAAUUACCCGGACAUAAAUUGGGAUAGAGGGACUAGUACUUCAGCAAGGUGAAUCAGGUUUUUGAAUGUGUUAAAUGACACCUUUAUGUCACAACUGGUACAAGCACCAACUAGAAAGAAUGCUUGUCUGGAUCUCGUUAUAACAAACAAUGUUGAUCUUUUGACAAACAUUCAAGCAGGGGAGCAUUUGGGAAAUAGUGAUCACAAUAUGGUAAUUUUUGAAAUAAACUCAAAAAAGCAAAAGCAUGUGGGGUAUACUAAAACGUAUAAUUUUUAAAAAGCCAAUUUCAAUAAGAUUAGGGCAGCUCUACAACAUAUCAACUGGCAUAAACUCCUUAGUGAUAAAACACUGAGUAUAAAUGGAAACUAUUCAAACAAAUAUUAGGUACAUUUAUUACCCAUUGGCUUAGUAGAGAAGUAAAACAAGAGAGCAUUUUAGAGCAUUUAAAUAGGACAAAUCAGAGGCAUCCUAUAUAAGAUAUAAGGAAUCCAAUAACCCUUGCAAAAAGGCAAUUAAAGUGGCUAAACUAGAAAAUGAGAAAUUGAUAGCCAAAGAAUGCAAAACCAACCUCAAAAUGUUUUUCAAGUACAUCAAUUCUAAAAAAAACCAAAAAACAAAAGUGUAGGUACACUGGAAACAGAGUUGGGUUUGUUAGCUAAUGAAGACCGGGAAAAAGCAGAAAUUUUAAAUAACAAUUUUUCUUAAGUACAUAUUAAUGAGGAUCCUAUGGCAAGAGAUAUGCCAAUGAUUGCUGCAAAAACUUGUGAUUGGAUAACUCGAGACAAGGUGCUACAGCUAUUAAAGAAAAUUAAUGUAAAUAAAGCUCCGGGGCCUCACGGUAUUCACCCACGAGUACUUAAGGAGCUAAGUGGGGAAAUAAGUGAACCUCUGUAUUUAAUUUUUCAAGAUUCUUUUGUUUCAGGUAUUGUACUGGAGGAUUGGAGGAAGGCAGAUGUUGUUCCUAUAUUUAAAAAAGGGUUCAAAAUCCUUGCCUGGAAAUUAUAGACCUGUGAGCUUAACUUCUGUGACUGGGAAAAUAUUUGAAGGGCUAUUAAGGGAUAAUAUUCAGGAAUUCAUUGGGAAGAACUUUGUUAUUAGCAAUAAUCAGCAUGGUUUUAUGAAACAUAGGUCAUGUCAAACUAACCUAAUUGCAUUCUACGAAGAAGUAAGUAGAAGUAUAGAUCAGGGUGUUGCAGUGGAUGUGAUCUACUUGGAUUUUGCCAAGGCAUUUGAUACGGUUCCUCACAAUAGGUUAGUCUUCAAACUAAAAUAAAUUGGUCUAGAUGAAUAUUCUUGUUCUUGGGUAGAACAUUGGCUUAAGGAUAGAGUACAACGAGUUGUCAUUAAUGGUAAAUUUUCAGGCUGAACAAAAGUGGUAAGUGGUGUCCCUCAGGGUUCUGUUUUGGGACUGCUUCUAUUUAACAUAUUUAUAAAUGAUCUUGAAAUAGGCAUUGAAAGCCAUGUAUCAGUGUUUGCAGAUGACACAAAACUUUGUAAAGUAAUAAAAUGUGAGCAGGAUAUUGCUUUACAGCAGAGGGAAUUGGAUAGAUUGGGGGACAGGGCAGAUGCAAUUUAACGUAGAUAAAUGCAAACUUAUGCACUUCGGGGUUAAGAAUGCACAAGCAGUUAAGCAGAAUAGCGAGAUAACCAAAAACCCAUAGCAUGGCAUAUAUAUGUGUCCCCUCAGACCACCCCUUAUGUCUCUGUGCAUAUUAGGAUGGUACGCAACAAUAUAGUUUUAGUGGCAAUUUUUGUGUUCUUUUUUUAUUUUUUUAUUUUACCUUCUUACUCAGUAACAUGCACACCACGAUUGCCGAUUUACUAUACCUAUUAUUAUUGACCAUAAGUUUACACCCUGUAUUACCAAAAUGUGCGACUGAAGUUUGUCAUGAUGAUGUUUUGCUUUACCAUGCCUGUGCAUGCUGUCAUGGCACUGCAGGCCUGUUUGUACAUCUUGUUGCACGAAAAAUAAAGAAUUAAAAAAAAAAAAUGCACAAGCAAUUUACACCCUAAAUGGUAGUGAACUAGGGAUAACAGCACAUCAGAAGGAUUUGGGAAUUGUUAUAGACAACAAAUUAGGCAGCAAUAUGCAAUGUCAAUCUGCAGUUGCUAAGGCCAGUAAGGUGUUUUUUCAUGUAUAAAUAGGGGCAUAAAUUCUCGGGAUGAAAAUAUAAUUUUGCCUCUUUAUAAAUUGCUGGUAGGACCACACCUUGAAUAUGCUGUGCAAUUUUGGGAACCUGUUAUAAAGAAAGAUAUCAUGGCACUAGAAAAAGUGCAGAGACAAGCUACAAAAUUGAUAAAAGGAAUGGAGCAUUUUAGUUAUGAAGAAAGGUUAAAAAAAUUUAAUCUGUUUAGUUUGGAAAAACGGCGCCUGAGAGGGGAUAUGAUAACAUUAUACAAAUAUAUUUGAGGGCCAGUACAAACCUUUACCUGGAAAUCUUUUCAUAAACAGGGCUAUACAUAGGACACAAGGUCACACAUUUAGGCUGGAAGAAAGGAGAUUUCAUCUAAGGCAAAGAAAAGUUUUUUUUUACAGUAAAAAUAAGGAUAUGGAAUUCUCGGCCUGCAGAGGUUGUUUUGUCAGAGUCAUUACAGAUGUUUAAACUGCAAUUGGAUAAAUAAUUGCAAAAACAUACAGGGAUAUAAUUUCUAAUUAGUGGGGUAAUAGCUGCUUGAUCAAAGGAGACAUCUGACUGCUAUUUUGGGGUCAAAAAUGAAUUUUUUCCUAGUUUGUUGCAAAAUUGGAAGUGCUUCAAGACUAGGUUUUUUUGCCUUCUUUUGGAUCAACAGCAAAAACAUAUGUGAGGAAGGCUAAACUUGAUGGACGCAAGUCUCUUUUUAGCUAUGUAACUAUGUAAUGGAAGCCAAAGGAGCUGAUGAGUUUUCCAAGUGAGGAAAAAGCAUUGGGAAAGGUAGGAGGAGCAUCAGGAGAGAGCAGUGUCCUGUAGACCGAGAUUACGGAGAAUGAGAAGAAGCUGUUGAUGAUGAACAGUGUCAAAGGCAGCAGAAAGAUCAAGGAGAAUUAGGAUAGAGUAAUGGCCUCGAGAUUCAGCAGCGAUUAAAUAGUUGAAUACUUUGGUCACAGCUGUUUCAACAGAGUGACAAACGCGGAAUCCAGACUGCAGCGGGUCAAGCAGAGAGUUGGAUUCAAGGAAGUCUGUCAAUCUCACAUACACAACUCUCUCAAGGAUCUUGGAGGCAAAUGGCAGUAGCGAUAUAGGGCGGUAGUUGGAUGGGGAGUUGGGGACAAAGUUGGGCUUUUUCAUAAUCAGCAUUAUGGUUGCAUGCUUGAAGGGUGUGGGAAAUGUGCCAGAGGAAAGGAAGAGAUUGAAAAUUUUAGUGAGAGGAAGAGCAGGAGAGGGAGGCAGAGUGCUAAUGAGAUAUGAGGGAAUAGGAUUGAGGGAACAGGUGGUGGGGCAGGAGGACUGGAGCAGAACGGAACCUCUUCCAUUGUAGUAGGUGUGAAUGAGCAUAGAAUAGCGGAGGGAAUGGGGUUUGGUGAUGUAUUGGAAGUAGAGGGAGAGAGUUUAGAGAUCUCUUCCCUGAUUGAAGAAUUUUUUUGAGUGAAGUGAGUUGCAAAGUUUGAGGCGGACAGGGUGGUAGGAGAGGGGGAGCAACAGGGCAAAGGAGAGCAUUAAAAGUGUGAAAGAGUCAUUUGGGUUUGCAGGAGAGUGUGGUUAUGAGGAUAUUGAAGUAAUUUACUUUUGCAGAGGAAAGAGCCAGAGUGUAGGAGAGCAGCAUACAUUUAAAGUCGAGGAAGUCAGGUGCAGAUUGAGACUUUCUCCAACAACAUUCAGCAGUUCUUCAACAGUUUCGGGUCAGCUUGGUGUGCUAGGGUUGUAAUUGGGAAUGCUUGCUGCAUUUAAAUGUAGGAGGUGCCAUGAUGUCUGGUUGAGAGGAGAGGAUAGAGUGCUUUAUACCAGUCCUUCCAUUCAUUUCUUGGAAGCCUAAAUUGCUGUAACAUUUUAUCUUGCCAAUCACAUAUUUAUAUCAACAGUCACUCAUUCAUCUUUUCUUAGAUACACUCAUUAACUUGCUUAUUUCAGAUUUCACUGGAAUUGUAUUUAUUUAUUUUGAAAAGAUCAAUAAGUCAAAGACCACCCAGGUGCAGUGAUACACAAUUUAGUAUAAAAAGGUAAUUACUUCCCUUCUUAGCUUUAGAAAAAGGAUUCCUCUCAAUCCUCAACAAACAGAUAAAGUUAUAGAAUACGCCUAAAUAAAAAACAGAGAAACCUCAUAGGGAAACAACAUUUAACAGUGAAUGGCACCUGAUAUUUGAAAUGCACUCACAAGCUCAAUAUGUCAUUCAGGCAUCGAUAUGGCUUUAAAUCUUCUGAGAGUGAUCAUCAUUCAGAUAUCCAUAUCCACGGAGGCAUGUAAAGAUAUAUAAACGGACAUAAUACAGGACUGCUGCAAACUGCAAUUAACACACUUUUAUUUAUAAACACUUACAAGAAGUCGGUAGUUAAAAAUAAAACAUAAAAAAUAUAUUUUUAUUUGAUUUUUAUUAUAUUUGUUUUAAUCGCCUGAUACAACUGUGAUCCAACUCUAUUGAUAUUACUCUGGAUGGAGGAACACAGAGAUUGUUUGAUGGGCUUUUAACUACCGACUGUGUCGAUUGUUUAUAAAUAAAAGCGUGUUAAUUGCAGUUUGCAGCAGUCCUGUACUAUGUCCGUUUAUAUAUCUUUACAUGCCUCCGUGGAUAUGGAUAUCUGAAUGACGAUCACUCUCAGAAGAUUUAAAGCCAUAUCGAUGUGCUUGAAUGACAUAUUGAGCUCGUGAGUGCAUUUAAAAAAUUAGGGGCCAUUCACUGUUAAAUGGUGUUUCCCUAUGAGUUUUCUCUGUUUUUUAUUUAGGUGUAUUCUAUAUCUUUAUCUAUUUAUUUAUUUUGCAUUAAUGUACUUUAAAACCAGUUUGGUGUAUGUUUCUUUUGCAUUUUUUUGUAUUAAUCUACAGCUAUCUUCUUAUUUUAUAGAUAAAGUACAGUUGUCUGGAACUCUAUCACGAGAUAUACUUC